UUUUGCUUCUCAGAACUUUGCAUAGCAACCAGUGUUUUAGCAACUCCAAUGGCAAUUUCAAUUUUUUUAUCCCAAGAUCCUUCUUUGAUGGAAAAGGAUUCUGCAAAACCAGGCAAUUCAAUGAUAACUACAAAAAUAUCCAUAUGUAUGCAAUCUUUAUUUUCUUUUGUUUCUAAAUUUCCUUCAGUUCUUCUGAAAAGAUGAUUUUCCAAGCUCUCCUUCUUCCUGGGCCAUUUAUCCUUCCAGCAGUAUCCCAAUGGUUUUACUUGGUUUGGAUAUGAUAGUUUCUCUUCAAAGCCCGCCUGCCUGCACAAGCACUGAAAAAUAGGCAACACAUAAUUAGCAACGGUAAAGGGAUCAUGAAAUUUGCCUAGUAUGGCAAAACAUCUUUCAUUCUGUCUUUCCCAAAAACUUAUCAUUUACCUAUUGUGAACCCAAAAAUGAAAGAAAAAAAAAAUUCCAUACCGUAAUCAAUAUUGACAAUAUUGCUCCCAAUCCUAUUAUUCUUAAUAUAAAAUUUGCCAGAAAUUAAAUGUCCCCAUCCUGUGGUAAGAGUUGCUGGAAAAAAUUAAACUAGUGUGAUUUGCUUCUAUUCGAGUGAAAUAUCAAGCGAGGUCGAUAAAAGUAUUCAUGUGUUAAUAUGCCAAUAUGCUCUAGAAAUUUCAAUUAUAUGCUAUGUCAAACAAUCAUGCAUCAAUGAAUUGAAACACUAAUAAUUGUAGGGAUAAUGCUUGAUACAUGCAUCUUUGUCAUUAGUGAACAUCAAUGAGCAACCAUAGAACAAUGCCCUCCAUCUUUAUGCUGUUUCUCUUAGCCAGCUCCAGUAGCAACAGUUAGUGAUUGCCUUUCAGGUUAGCUAGUUGGGAACUGUAUUUGAAUCGCUAACCUGAUAGUUGCAUCUCUGUCAUUAUUGAAAUCAGUGACCAAUACUUGCAGGAAUUGUGCUUGAUACUUCACAGCAUGCAAUAUCAAUUACCAAUACUUGUAUCUCUGUCAUUAUUGAGAUCAAUAACUGAAUAUUGUUGGGGAACACGCAAUAAACAUGCAUCACUGUCAUCAUUGAACGUCAACGACUGAUAAACGGGAUCAGGCUUGAUAAUUGCAUCUCUCUCCUUGGUUAACAUUAAUGAACAAUAUUUGCAGGGAUCAUGCAUGAUGCCUAACAUCAAUGACUAACAACUGUUGGGAUCAUGUUGGCACCUGAAUCUCUCUCCUUGCUGAAGAUCAAUGACCAAUAACUGCAGGUAUCAUGCAUGACACAUGUAUCUCUGUCAUUAUUGAACACCAAUGACCAAAACUUAUAGAAAAACAUGCCAUUAUACUUUUAUCUCUGUCAUUAUGCAACAUCAAUGGGAAAUACUUGUAGUGGAUCAUACUUGAUACUUGCAUCUCCCUCCUUGUUUAACACCACUGACCAUACUUGUAGGGUUUGUGCAUGUAACUAGGUCUCUCUCAUUCUUGAAUAUCAACAAGCAGAACUUAUAGAGAUGCACCCAGAAUAUUUGUACCUCUGUUGUUAGUGAACAUCAACGAGCAAUACUAGCAUGGGUUCAUGCCUGGUAUGUACCCAACUCUUCUUGUUGAACAUCAAGGACCAAAACUUGUAGGAUAUCCUCAUGUUUCAUACUUAAAUGCAUGUCUCACUUAUGGAACAGCAAUGAACAAUACUAGUAGGCAAUCAUCAUGGAUACUUGAUCUCUAUGGAUAUGGCCACCAAACAAUGCUUGUGACCUUGAAGGAUAUCAUGCUUGAUGUUUGCAUCUCCCCCAUUAUUGACCAUGUACGGGAGCUUGCAUGAUACUUUGCACUUCUGUCAUUACUUGACAUCAAUACUUCUUACAUUCGGUUAUCAAAGUUCUCAUAGAACAACAUACUGGAUUUCUUCUGUACCUCUAAUGAGAUAAUGCACCACAGAGUUUCAGUGUGGCUUCUAAUAUCUAGAUUAAAAUAUAGUUAUAAGCAAAAUUAACAUAGGAGAUUUUUAAGUGUAAAUAUAUGUUACUUCAGCACUUGUCAGCACUCAGCAGGGACCCAAUUACAAUCGGAAUGCACGAGAUCAAAUCUAUUACGCUGUUUUGCUAAUGAAGAAUUUUCCUUUAAAAAUAAAAACAGAAAAUAAAUCUUUAAAAUAAAAUUAAACAAUUUAUUUGGCUUAAAAACUAUUAAAAAAAUGACAUGACUAUUAAAACCCAACCCAAGUUUAAAAUAGGUUAAUUAAUAUAGACAAAAAUUAAAUAAAAUCGAAUAUAAUAAGAUAAUUGGGUCCAAGAAUAUAAUCAAAACGAUGUAGUUGGAGCUGGAACAACCAUACCUUGAGAUCACAUGUAACAACAUUCUCCAGCAAUCUCUGGUUGAGAAGGCCUUCUUCAACGUGAUGAAGCAAGAAUUUUGAAGCUCCAACGAAAAUGUUCAAACCUACAGUUUUAUGCCCAAGAAUCAUUCCCAAGGCGCCCCUUAUCGGUGCUCGCAAGCCGGAUCCCAGAGGGAGCACGUUCUCUUCUAGCAUACCGAUCUCACAAUCUCUAUCAAAUUCUGACCUCAUUUUUUCUUCUUUUUUCUCUUUCUCGCAGUGCCUUCUGUUGGUGAACGUACCACCCAGAACUAAGAAGUUAUGCAUGCGCAGUAAUCAGAGAGAAUUUGAAAUUGUCUAGAACCAUUUCAAAGAAACAGCCAUGGAUCUGCUUAGCCAGGCUGCAGGGUUUUAUAUAGAUAAUAAUUUUCCAUGGACUCACACGGCCCCACUUUUUUUAAUGGGCCCCACUUACGAUAUGUCCUCGUAGUCGUAACGGAGAACUACAAAGUUCGAGCCCCAGUAACUCUUAUUAUUAUUAUUGCUAUGGAUAUGUUGGAACGUAUUUGUGAAUCUCAAUUAUAUAUGUAAAGUGAUAAAUAAUAAAAAAAAAUUAUAAUUUUAACUAUGUGGUUAUGAAAGGGUGUUCUACCUUAAAACAGUUUUAACAUAACCUGACCCUAUUUUUUUGNNNNNNNNNNNNNNNNNNNNNNNNNNNNNNNNNNNNNNNNNNNNNNNNNNNNNNGAAAAUAUGUUUUAAUAUGGCAAAAAAUUAAUAAUAAGAUGCUUUUCUUAUACUUUUUAUUUUUUAAAAAUAUUUUAUUUAUAAUAAAUAUAUAUUUUAUAUUCUCAAGAUAAAUUAUCAAGUAAAUGACUUAUUUAUCUCUUUUUUCUUUAAAUUUUUUGUGCUGGAGAGAUUUUUGGAUAUUAUGAAAAUAAUUGAAAAGUAAGUGGUGUAUUUUAACUUCAGUCGGGAGAGCGAUUUUCGCUUUAAAAAAAAUAUAUACACAAAACUUAAUAGAAGUAAGCUCAAACGCAGCAAAAUAUAAUAAUAAAUUCCCCUAAUUGCAUAGGAAAACUCAAAUCCUCUUCCUUAAGAUUAAAAGAUAAAAAAUACUACUAAUAAUAAUAGUUGAUAGUGUAUGGUAAAUAUAAUUUUUAAAUAAUAUUUUUAACAAAAAUAAUAAAUAUGUUAUAAAUUAAUCAUCAUAUAUAUAAGUAUGAUAAAAUAGUAAUUUAAUUACAACUUUCUAAUCACAAUAUAAUAUAGUACCUUAAAAUAAUCUAUUUGCCCCCAUGAACUAAUUUUUAUAUUGCAGUAAGGCUGUGGACCAUUACAGUCUAUUACAUGAACAAGUCACGUAUGAAUAAAAUGAUAAAAAUGUCCUUACUUUAAUAAUUUCUUAUUGCAACAUGAUAGUUUUAACCCAGGCUUCUUUUCAUAUUACAAAAGUUGGAAAGAAGCCCUUACCCCUUUUUGUAUAUUUUCUUCAAUCCAUACUCUCAUAGGAUAUGUGACAAUAAUAUAACUAUGAUGUACAAUAUUUGAAUAUUUAGCUUUAUUCAAUAAAAGAAGAGAUAAAAAGUUUUGAUCUUGUCAAAUAACAUUAUUUUCAGGUUGAUGACGUUUAUAUACAUGUGUAUGUGUGUGUGUACUCAUACAUUCAUACAUAGAGUCUUGAUUUAGUCCGAAAUUUUAAAGUCUGUGAAAGCUAUUAAAUUGUGGGGGUUUGAUAGGCUUAAUAGCAUUAUGCUAUUAAAUCUCACGAUUCAAUAAAUUUUUUGAAUAUUCUCGGACUUUAAAAUUUACAAGCACCCUUAUUUUUUUUAAUGCCGAUAUUCUUUUAAACUGUGAAGUUUAAUAGGCUUAUUUUAAAAUGAAUUAUGAAGCCGUGUGGUUUAAUACCAUUAAAAAAUUAAUUCUCUUAAACCACACAACUUAAAAAUAUGUCCGCAUGAAAGAAAAAUGAGGCGUCUGCAUUAGAGAAAAAAAUAUAUAUACAUAUAUAAAGUAAUGUGAAAGCUAUUAAUAUUUACAAUUAAAAAUCGAUUCAAAUUAUUUUAAAUCAAGUCUAUUUUAGCACAGUCCAAGUUUUGUAUAUUCACGUAUAAUCGCGAGGGCAACGAUUACAACUUGGCCAAAGACCGAAUAAUUUAUGUUAUUUAAGUCAACUAGUAAAACUUCAUAAAUAUACCGAAAAGAUUUGUUUCCAGUAAUUUUAUUUUUAAAAUAAAAAAAUGAUGGGGCAUUAAUUUUGGAGCUAAUUGCUACUUUUUAAAAAGUUGUAAGCUAAAGUGUCUACAGCACUGGACCCGUCCACUGCCCCUUUAGUUGUUUGCAAGUAGUGUACCGAAAGUAGAAUUUGUUGUCAAAGACGGAAUUUCGUCGAACGAUCUAAAUCUGGCCGUUGGAAAUUUCUAUGAAGUUACCGGUCUGUUUGAAAGCGCCCUAACACAGAACAAAAGGCUCCUCGGAAGUUACUAACAUGUUUAUGAGACAAUUAUGUCCAUAAAAGAAAAAUGCUAGUGCCGGACAAGGAAUGAUGGUAAAAUUCUCUCUGUGUUUGGGGCUCCAAUGGUACUCAUUAUAUCCUAAAUAAGCUGUUGAUAUAUAUGAUUUUUAUGGAAUGAGGAGGUAACUAAUAUAAUUAGUACACAAAUUAUUCAUGGGAUUGGGUUUAUUUUUGUACUCUGUGCUCUCGAAUCUUCAUUACUUUUACAAUUUCUAUUUUUAUUCUAAUUCAAGUAUUAGUUAUCAAAAGAAAUUGUUCUAAUAUGUUGAGGAUUGUUUUUUUUAAAGAUUUAAAUCUAAUGUUGAACUGACAUUUUUUUACUAAUUUUUUAGAAAUUUAUAUUUGUUAGUUAUUAGAUAAAAAUAAAAAAAUAAGGAAGAUUAUGAAGAACUAAGCAUAGGCCAGUUAAGCAUGAGAUCCAAAUUAUUUUUUCAAUUCAAAAAUUUAAAUAUUAUCUUUAUUUGAAAAAUUUCAACUUUAAUACUACUAGAACAAUGUAUUAGUAUAUUCUUGUACUACACAACAAACUAGUAAAGGAGAACAAGGUGGGGCAGGAGGAAAGUGUUCCUCGUAUGUAAUUUCUUCACCAUCACCCCCAUUAAAUUUAUUAGAAAAUAGGGUUAGAUAGUAUAUUAAAUAUAGUGAAAAAUAAAGAUUAAGAUCCUUUUUUUAAUCUGAGCUUCUCCUGAACAGAAAUUUAUAUGUUGAUUGGUAAUUAAUAAACAAAAAAUAUAUCAUCUACAAUUUCUUUAUCACCACCCUAUUAAAUUUAUUAGAAAAUAGGGUAAAUAAUUCAUUAAAUGUGGUGAAAAGUAAAGAUUAAUCUCCUAAUCUUAACUUCUCAUGAGCAAAAAUUCAUAUGUUGAUUGGUGAUUAAUAAAUAUAAAAAAUGUGUUGAUUAGUGAUUAAUACAAAAUAGUAAAAAGUUAAAUCCUAUCCUUCUACUACUAGAAAAUAAUAUAUGGUAUAAAAUUAUUAAAAGUUCAAGAAAACCCAGAUCAAGAAAUUAAGACGCCGUCCCGUCCUCAUUGGCUCAAAUGCUAUCCUUAAGUCGUAUCACAUGAGCAGGCUAUACAGUGUGAACAUAAUUUUUUUUUCUUAAAAAACACGAAUUUUGAUUAAAAAAAGCAUAAAAAGAAAAAUUUCUACGAAGUUUCUGUCUUUUUCUUUUUUAAAGGAAAUUUCUAUGAAGUUUUACUAUAAUGAUGACGAGUAUGAACGUAAAAUUUUUUCUCCAACGACACGAAUUUUGAAAAAAAAAAAAAGAUAAAUUUCUUCGAAGUUUCUUUCUUUUUCUUUUUCUUUUUGAAAAAAAUUUCUAUAAGUCUUCCUAUAAUGAAGGUGGCCCCAUUACCCUCCUUAAUUGCACUAUUUUCUCAUGCUUUAAGCUUUUCAGUGGAAGAAUCAAAAUACUACAUUAUCUUUUUCGUCUACUCCUAAUAUUAGCUUUACUCAUUAAAUCUAUAAAUCUAAUUACUGUGAUGAUUUUUGAAGUUAUCUAAUUCUUCUUUAGCUUCCCUUAAGGUAAGUUCUUGGAAAUUACUGUCAUCUUUACGUGUUUAACUUGCACAAGAAGCCUUUCAAGUUAUCAUAAAUUCAUAUUUUUCCUUUUGAAUUUUAUGCCUUGUUUGAAAUUAAGGUUGAAACGCUAUAAUAAUUAAUAAGCAGUUUAUUUAAUUAAUUUUGACAAAAAUAUUCUUUGAUAACUUUUUUAAAGGAAUGCAUUUCAUAAGUUUUUCUAUUUUCAAUUUUUCAUCUCUGUUUUAAUUUUAAAAGUAAGUAACAAAUUAUUUUUCAUAAGCAGCUUAUUAAAUAAAUCACCAAAUUUUUAAAAUUUUUAUUAUAAUCUUAAUAUUUUAAUAAAAAUAUAAUUUUAUCUUAUUUUUUUUCUAUAAACUCUAAAUACAAAUAAAAGUUUCUUCCUCUAACGCGUGCUUAAGGAAAUAUCACCUUAUUAACUUCACGGAAAUUUUCUUAAAAAAAAAGAAUAGGGGAAACUUCCUUUUGACUUCUGAUCUUCUUCCGUUCUCUGUUGUUAAAUUUGAAAGAAGAAUUACUCAGAUUCAGAGUCAAUCAUGUCUAAUGAAUUAAUAGAGUUAGCCAAAAAGGACAGCAUCCAGAAUCAACAUGGCUGCACGUCAAUGCACAGAGCCCCCGUAGAAGACGACGCGUUGACGACGCCGCUACACAGAGCAGCUGUCAAUGGCGAUACUGGUGUGAUUACGGAAAUAGCAUGCUCGGAAUCCCUUGCAAAGCUGACUUCCAAUGACGAGACAGCUCUUAUCCUUGCAGUGAAGAAUUCUCAAAUCAAUGCUUUCAAGAUCUUGAUGGAGGAGACAAAGAAACAUAACCUGGAGCGUCUCUUCACAGCGACAGAUAAGGAGGGCAACAGUCUUCUGCAUCUUGCUGCGCAGAACAAAUUAACCCCGGUAAGCUCUCCCCGCUGUCUCUCACACUUUCUCGCACAAACACACAAAACUUUUGAUUACAAUUAAUUUGUACAUGGAGAAAUUAAUCAUAAACUUAGGUAGAUCAUGAUAAGCAUAGUAUCUAUAAAAUUGAGUAGGCCAGUAGCUAGCUAGUGUCAACUCUCUAGAGAAUUUGAGGCGAAAGUUUUGUUUCAAAGCCUUUUUUAUCAGAGUUAUAAUAAAAAUACUAGUUUCCUUCACGUAUUUCUAACGGUUCAAUCGCAUAUUUAUUUUUCUAUGAUUUUUCUAAUUAACAAAUAUACAAUUUAGCUUUUGUUACGAGGGAAAAAUAUGGAAAAUAGCUAAAGGUAAGGGGGGCAAAAAUUGUCUUGAUGAGGGAAAUUUGUUUUUAAGAUUUCAUUUGAAAAAUAAAAGUUAAAACAUUUCUUUUGGAAAGAAUAAUAUAGAGGAUUUUAUUUUAGGAACUAGAAAGUGUGCACAUAUGUAAGAAAAUUUACUUAAUACUAAUUAAUAAAUUUUAAAAAAUAAACUUCAAUUAUUCAAUGAUUUAGGGAUCUAAACUGAACUGAUAGCCGCCUUAGUUAAUUGUCAAGGCCAAGAGAGAAAAAUGGACAUUCCUAAUUUGUUAAAAUGAGGAUAUCACUAAAAUAAAAUAAAACAUAAAUUUAAAUUUAAUUAUCUGUUAAUGCGUUGAAAUUUAUAUAUUUUUUUUCAUACUAACAUUCUCACUUAUAUUAAAGUGAAAGUGUUAUAUAUAUAUAUAUAUAUCUAUAUAUAUAGUGGAGGCCCAAACAUAGAGAAAAUUUGAAUGGAUAGGCGCACCAUUUACCGGGACCCAUAAUCUAAAUAACAAAAUAAUAUUUCUAUUCUAUUCAAAUUAGGUCUUGGCUAUUUUCGUUACGAUUCCCUCAACUAAAUUCCUCCCCACUCUGCCCAGGCUUCUGCCUAGUUCCACUUCUUGGUGAUGUUUAAUAAUUGCAGAUUGUGAAUCUGCUUCUUGAGAGUUCCUACAGUCACAUAAUUCAAAUCAAUUCCAAGAACAAUGAGGGACAGACAGCCUUGGAUAUAUGCAAUGCCAAUUCUCAAGAUGAUGUUUCCAAAGAAAUUGGCUCGAUCCUUGAAAGAGCUGCUGCUCGGCAACAAAGUGCUCGUGAUCCAGAACAAAUUUCCGAUCCCACUAGUGGCUCAUGGAAUUUCACACGGUUUCCGAUAGAGACAAGAAACGGGAUACUGACGGUCCUAGGAAUGAUUGCUACAGCUUUUUUCACCGCAGCCUGUGAUUUCCCAAACGGCUUCGUUAAAGGAAAUCAUCCUCAAGGUAAACUAAACUUACCUAUGGAGAAAAAAUUUAUCUUAAAGGAAUGCUUAUGACAAAAUUCAUUACUCGAAAGUCUACACCUUUUUUUUUUCUCUUUUUGUUUUUUUGGGUCGUUUACUUGUCCUCAUUUUAUUAUAUUUACAUUGUAAAAUUACUAUAUUUACAUAAGGGCAACUUUUUUUUAGCAGUAAUCUUGCAGUUUGCUUGCUUCCUUUCUCAUAGAAGAUUAUAUAUAUAUAUAUUUUGCAGGUCAAAAAUUUGAUGCUAAGGAUGUCAUAUCCGGUAACCUACCAACGGUUGUCUACCUGAUGGUUUUCAGUUCGGCUGGGUUUAUGACUGCUAUGGCUGCAAUUACCGUACUUGUGUGGGCGUUACAACUUAGAAGAAUCCUCCUUUUUCUUGUGAUCUGCAUAUGCGUUGUUUAUGUUAUGUUAGUGGAUGAGGUGACGCCUAAGUUCAGUGUAAGUGUUGGGAAAUUCAGCAUUUCAAGCAUUGCUUUGAUGUGGUCACUAGUCGCAGCCCUUUCUCUAACAGGAAUCUCUAUACUAAGUAUGCGGGAGAAAUGCACUUCAUCCCUUUGGCGAUUCAUCGUCUGGCUGUCCAUGAAAAGAGCAAAUUGGUGGGGCAGCAAUACUGUUGAAGAUUCGGAGGCUAGUUCAAUUGGAUGAUAGAGUUCAAUUUGAUUCUUUUUUUUUUUUUUUUGUAGAAAUAAGUUGUUAGGAAAAUGCAAAAAGAAACUUCCACUAAAGACAAACGUUGCUUAGGGGAUUUGACGAAGUGAAAAUAGCUGUAUUCUUCUCGCUUUCCUAAUUUUUUCCUGGAAAAUAUAAAAACCUACUGAGUGUGUGUAAUGAUUGUAUUUAUAUGAUUGCGUUGAUCAAUCACAAUCACAAUACUAAACUGUUUUUAAAUGAUAAAGAUUCUAAGUUAAUAACAUUACUAAAUUUGCUUUAAAUGGAUGCCUAUAAAUUGUCUGUGGUGGCUAAUCUAACUUGUUUACUAAUUUUUUUUCAUUGUUUAAUAAGACAACACCAAAUAUAAUUUUAUUGAAUUUUUCUAAUUUAUCCUAGCCCAAUUUUGUUUUUCUUCGACACCCCUUAACAGUGUAUGUAAUUUCCAAAUUCCAAUCCAAAACUCCAAGACCCACGUUAACGCGAAAAGCGGGAAUGCGGGAGGAAACUUUAUAGCAUACAUCCUGUUUAGUUUUGGGACCAUCUCGGAAGUUAUACAUUGAAGGGCCCACGCGCAAAAAUGCCUUUUUGCUUUAUUAGGUGGCAUUUGUUUUUUACCAGAAAUAUGAAUUGGUCUGAAUGCACGUGUUAGGAUAAUAUAUUUAUUUUUAUUUUUUGAUAUCUGAACGUAAGUUGUAACUUGUAAGCUGUUUGUUUUUAUAAACUCAAAACAUUUUAAAUCUAAUAUUUUUUCACUUAUGACCUUCAAAGUAUUAUAUAUGCAUGAAGUUUAAAUAUGUAUAUGUUUACAGUACAAUAAUUUUUAUAUGUUAUAAAUAUUUAUAACAUAAGAAUUUGAUAUAUAAUUUAUGAAAAAAUAAUUUUGAUAACAUCAUUUUUUACAAUUUAACAUAAUAUUAUACAUAAAAAAUUGUUAUCUAAUAAUAAAAAUAUUUGUUUAAGAUUCAAAUUGAAUCUAUGAUAAGUAUUUAAUACCAAGUAAAAUUUGAGAACUAGGAAAAUUUUAAUAUGAUAUCUAAUAGCUAGGUAGGUAAUAAAUAUAUUUAAUGAGUGUAUUUGUGAAAAAAAAUUAAUUUUUUAUUCAGAUAUUUAAUCAUUUAAAUAAAAGUAAUGAAAUUUUACUUUUUCUAAACAUUAGUUAUAAAAAACAAAGAAAUCAAUAUAUCAAAACAUCUUUUAAAUUAAUUCAAAUUAAGAUUUCAUAUCCUUACACUUACCAUGUAAUUUCCAAUCAUUCCAAAAGUUGGCGUAAGUAAGGUGAAGACGCGGCAAUGCAGAAGGAAAUGCGCUGGUAGUCCGGUGAACUAAAGUUAUUUGGGAAACUUUAGAGAAAGUUACACAAGUUAUGAUAUUUUUUAUAGAGUAACGACUAGAUGCUCCUCAAAAAAAAAAAAAAAAAAAAGGACCAGAUGGCUAGUGUUACGACUGCACGCGUGUCAAGAUCUUAAAUAGAUCUAUGUUGUGGGGCCCAGAGAUGUCUCUUACUCAGAUCCUCCACAAGGUCUAUCUUUUAUAUUUUCUGUUUAGCACUAAACUCAAUUCUCAUCUUCUUGAUCGAUAUAUGCUCCGCAACAAAUAGCCAUUUCUCAAACUAUAUAAUCCAAAAAUGGACAAAAAACUAGAGUGAAAAUUUGUUUCUUUAAAAAUCAAACAUGAAAACACCGUACUUUCUGCUUACAUUCGGGACUGUAUCAUUGUCAAAUAUGGCAAAGCUAUGUAGGAUUCAUUUGAUAAAUUCUCUAUAAUAUGGCAAAGCUAUAUUAUAUAAUUUAGUUAUUGAAUAAAUUCUCUAUAUUUUGUUCCCAUGAUAGGUUCAUUAUCCUUAUCCUUAACCUCACAUUGUUAAGUGUUAUUUAAAAAUCCCAUGAUGUUGAGUUAUUUAGAGUAGAACGAUAUCUAGUCCAUCACGAUGUCGAGACAUUUGGAUUAGAACAAUAUUUCAUCCAUCAUAAAGUUGGAUUCAUUUGAUAGAGUGAUUCACAAACACCACAUGAAACUUAGAACUAUGUAUUCGCAUCUUUGUGUCGAGUGAGUGGGGUUUAUCUUACAAUAUUUUCGCUUAUACUAUCCCAUUUGUCAGUUAUCAUAUAAUCAUUUUCAAGUGCAAAUUUAAAGUUUUACAACAUUUUAAACUACUAAAUUAUCUUACAAUGUUGUAAAAUCAUGAAUCAACGUUUUAAAAAAUACAGACAUCCUCACUAUCAAAAUAAAUUUAGUAUAGUUAGAAUCUCCAUCGGUGGAUCGAUCAACACAAUCAUAUAAAUAUCAUCAUUAUAUAUGAUUUACAAUUUGUUGAAAAAAUUUAUUAAUUGAAUAUUUUGUUACUGUAUAUAUUUUUGUAAGACAGUGACGCGUUGACCUACAUCCAUCAAGAAUCGCUCGUUACUCAAGUCAUUGAGGGUAGUGUUGUUGGUCAAGUCAAGAGUUCAUGUGUUUAUUUUAAGUUAUUUUUUAUGUUUUUACUCAGUUGUUGUGAAAGUAUAAGUUUUUACCAAUAAGUGUCCAUGGUGGCUAAUAUACCCGUCCAAUAAGUUUUUCAUUGUUUAAUCAGGCAACACCAAAUAUAAUUUUAUUGAAUUUUUGUAAUUUAUCCUAGUAAAAUUUUGUUUAGUGCACUCGCGGCCAGGCAGUCUAACAAAAAUGCCUUUAUGGGUUUAUCAUUUUCUUCGACACACCGUGAUCGUGUGUAAGUGUAAUUUCCAAAUUCCAAUCCAAAAUUCCAAGACCCAGUGUUCGGUGAAAAGCAGGAAUGCAGGAGGAAAUUCUCAAGUUAUUGCAUAAACAUCCCAUUGAAUUUUGGAAGCAUCUUGGAAGUUAUAUUGAAGGGCCCACACACAAGAAUGCCCUUUUCCUUUCUCACACUCACCGUGUAAUUUCCGAAGGCCUUCGUAAGUGAGGUGAAGACGCGGCAAUGCAGAAGGAAAAGCGCAAGUAACCCGGCGGAAAAAAGUUAUUUGCAAAGCUUCAAAGAAAGUUACACAAGUUAUGACUUAUGAUAUCUUUCCCAGUGCACGACUGCAUGCGUAUCAAGGUUGUGAGAUUCACACGUCUCUCUCGGAUCCUCAACAAAUCCAUCUUUUAUAGUUUUUCUAUAGCACUAAACUCACUUCUCAUCUUCUUGGCUACGCAACAAAUAUCCAUUUCUCAAACCACGUCAUGCGAAAAAAAAAAAAAAACUAUAGAGAACAAUUGUUUCUUUAAAAAUCAAACUGCAAAACGCCAUGCUUUCUGAUUGGACGGUAGCAUUGUCAAAUUUGGGAAAGCUAUGUAUGAUUUAUUUGAUUAUGCAGAAACAAACCAAAUGCGGUAUCAAUAAACGCAGCUAUACUAUUUAUGUGUUAGUUAUUAGUCCAAACAAAAUACGAGUAGAGUCAUGUUCGCCCAAUUCUUCACUAGGCUAAAAAGGAGAAUUUUCAUUAUAAAAUGGGGACUGUUACAAAAUAAUUUCUCAGACUUCAUCAAUCUUUAUCUACUUUUUCAAAAUAGAUGUAGAUGAACUUUUAUUGAAAUAUGAUAAUAGAGUCUUUCUUUAGUGAAGAUGUUCACAUUUUCUAAAAUACAAAUUCAAGAUUUUACAAUGCUGUAAAAGAUUUUUAUAACGUUGUAAAAUGAUUCAUCAGUUUACAAUACUAUUUUUAAAAUAUUGUACCGAAUUCGUUUUUAGAAACAUGCGGACAUUCGCGUCUGCAAAUGUUUAUAUGAUAAUUGACGUAGGGAGGUAGUGUAAGUAGAAAUAUUGUAAGAUAAAUCCAGCUUACUCAACAUAAAGACGGGAAUACAUGGGUCUAAGUUUGAUAUGGUGGUUGUGAAUCACUCUGUCAAACGAAUCACAUUCCAUUAUAGACUAGAUAUCGUUUUAAUCCAAAUGAUUGAACAUCGUGAUUUUUAUUUUUUUAAAUAACACUCAACAAUGUGAGGUUAAAGAUAAAGAUAACAUAACAAAAUUAAAUGGAGAUAUAUAUAUCUACUGGAAAUACUAAAACGUCAAGCACCAAAGAUAUACGAUGUAUUAUCUGACAGGAUUGACAAGAGAUGAGCUUGACAAGAGAGGCUUCAAAGGGUCCGACAUUGUGCAAAUGUAAGCGGCGGCCAUUGAGAAUGCAGAAACUAGGGAUAGUGGCCAGAGCGGGAGCUCGCUGAAAAGAGUCAUCAUCAAUGCUACGGAUAUGAAAAAGGCUAAGGAAUUGAAGACAAUGACUGAUUGGAUAAAAUAUGGAUGUUGAUUCGCAAUCUGGCAGAAGCGACUUAGGCUGCUAGAAUUGUAUUCGUAGGCGUCUUCAGCUCUGCAUCCCAGGAUCUUCAAUUGUACGUGGAAGGUUGUGGUUGAUAACAGUGCUGAGAUGAGNNNNNNNNNNNNNNNNNNNNNNNNNNNNNNNNNNNNNNNNNNNNNNNNNNNNNNNNNNNNNNNNNNNNNNNNNNNNNNNNNNNNNNNNNNNNNNNNNNNNNNNNNNNNNNNNNNNNNNNNNNNNNNNNNNNNNNNNNNNNNNNNNNNNNNNNNNNNNNNNNNNNNNNNNNNNNNNNNNNNNNNNNNNNNNNNNNNNNNNNNNNNNNNNNNNNNNNNNNNNNNNNNNNNNNNNNNNNNNNNNNNNNNNNNNNNNNNNNNNNNNNNNNNNNNNNNNNNNNNNNNNNNNNNNNNNNNNNNNNNNNNNNNNNNNNNNNNNNNNNNNNNNNNNNNNNNNNNNNNNNNNNNNNNNNNNNNNNNNNNNNNNNNNNNNNNNNNNNNNNNNNNNNNNNNNNNNNNNNNNNNNNNNNNNNNNNNNNNNNNNNNNNNNNNNNNNNNNNNNNNNNNNNNNNNNNNNNNNNNNNNNNNNNNNNNNNNNNNNNNNNNNNNNNNNNNNNNNNNNNNNNNNNNNNNNNNNNNNNNNNNNNNNNNUGUUUACUUUUUUAUUUUAUUUGCGCAGGCAUUUUGCAGCUUUGGAAGGCUUGCUUGGUUAGUACUGUUGGAUUUAUGUCAAAAAAUAAGAUAAUAUGAGUUUUUAAUUUGAUGUCCAAUCUUUUUGUACAUGUUAUUUUCAACCACCACAAGGAGUUAAACUAUUAAAGCACUAAUAAAAUAGUAUAAUAUAUUAUCAGAAAUAUAAAUUUAGAUUUUAUAUCAUUUAAAAGCUUAUUUAAUUAUUAUAAAGUAUACAAUUAUAGUAAUUUUAUAUUUUUUAAAAACCAUUGUAUUAAUAAGAUAUUAACGUAUUAGUUAAACAAACACACUAAAAAAUUAUGUCAGAAAAGUUAGAUAAUAUAAUAUCAACAAGGGUCUAUGGACGUGGGAGCCAUUCGAUUAUGCAUAAGAAAAUGUCAAAGUUGCACGACUGCAUGCUUGUCAAGGUUGUGAGGUUCACGUAAUCCUCAACGAAUCCAUCUUUUAUAGUUUUUCUAUAGCACUAAACUCACUUCUCAUCUUCUUGGCUACGCAACAAAUACCCAUUUCUCAACCACGUAAUGCAAAAAAGAAUAAAAAAACGAGGGACAACAUUUGUUUCUUUAAAAAUCAAACUGAAAAACGCCAUGCUUUCAGGUUGGACGGUGGCAUGGUCAAAUUUGGGAAAGCUAUGUAUGAUUUAUUUGAUUAUGCAGAAACAAACCAAAUUGCAGCGUGAAUAAACCCAGCUAUAUUCUUCAUGUGUUAGUUAUCAGUCCAAACAAAAUACAAGUAGAGUCAUGUUCGCCAUAAUUCUUCACUAAGCUAAAAAGGAGAAUUUUCAUUAUAAAAUUGGGACUGUUACAAAAUAAUUUCUCACACUUCAUCAAUCUUUAUUUACUUUUUCAAAAUAGUUGUAGAUGAACUUUUAUUGAUAUAUGAUAACAGAGUCUUUCUUUAGCGAAGAUGUUCACAUUUUUUAAAAUAUAGAUUUAAGAUUUUACAAUGCUGUAAAAGAUUUUUAUAAUGUUGUAAAAUAAUUCAUCAGUUUAAAACAUAAUAAAUUUUUUCUUAUAAUAUCGUAUCGAAUUCUCUUAUUAGAACAUGCGGACAUUCGCGUCUGUAAAUUUUUAUAUGAUAAUUGAUGUAGUGAGGUAGUGUAAGCAGAAAUAUUGUAAGAUAAAAUCCAGCUUACUCGACAUAAAGACGGGAAUACAUGAGUCUAAGUUUGAUAUGGUAGUUGUGAAUCACUCUGUCAAACGAAUCUCAUUUCAUGAUAGACUAGAUAUCGUUUUAAUCCAAAUGAUUAAACAUCGUGAGAUUUUUAAAUAUCACUCAACAAUGUGAGGUUAAAGAUAAAGAUAACAUAACAAAAUUAAAUGGAGAUAUAUAUAUCUACUAGAAAUACUAAAACGUCAAACACCAAAGUUAUACAAUCUAUUAUCUGACAGGAUUGACAAGGGAUGAGCUUGACAAGAGAGGCUUCAAAGGGUCCGACAUGAUAAGAAUAAAUUUCAAAUCAACCACAAUCAAGACAAUGACAGCAAGGCAAUCAUGAAUUCUACAAAAGGAAGGAAUAAAUUUUCCAGUUAAAGGCUUACCAAGUUCAAGACUUGACAACAACGGUAUUUAUCCAAUGGAUGAAUAAUGAUGGAUUAUUGAUGACAUGGCUUAGAGGGAUGAUGGUUGAAGAUGUUCUGAGCUUGAUUGUAGAAGGCCAAACCGCUUGUGAAGUAUGGCUCUCCAUUGAAGAGCAGAUGCUUCCAGCCACCAAGGAAUAAGAAUCUUGGUUGAAGGAUAGCCUCUACUCCCUUAAAAAGGGAAAUACCAAGCUCAAAGAAUUUCUUAAGAAAUUCAAAUCAUUGUGCGACAACUUGACAGCAAUUGGGAAACCAAUUUUUGAUGAAGACAAAGUCUUCCAACUUGCACGAUCCUUGGGGCCUAAGUACGCAGAUUUCAAGACUGCCAUGCUAACUAAGCCUCCAUAUCCAACUUUAAAGCAGUUCAUCCUUGCCCUUCAGAAUCAUGAACAAACCAUAAUGGUACAAAAAUAAGAAGAUGUUACACUUGUUAAUCAAAAUCAGGCGUUCUUUGGUGCUACAGGAAGGGGAAGAAACCAAAGAGGAGGUAGAAACGGUGGUCGUGGAAGAGGUUUUGUGCAAAAUGGUGGGGGCCCAAACAAAAAUGGGAGCCAUUCAUAUCAAAACGAAAACAAAGUCAUUAAUUCUAAAAAAAAAUUGCCUCAAAUGCUCAAACUGCUCCAAAAAGCAAUGCAAACCAUCAAGAAAAAGAAGACAUCAUUAUUUGCCAAAUAUGUGGAAAAAAGGGCCACAGUGCUGCUGUAUGUUGGAGUCGAUAUGAAUAUCUGGAUCAAGAAGAAGUGCCACAAGGCCUUGCUGCGAUGAACUUCAAUGAAUCAAACGAUCAACAUUUGUAUGUGGACUCGGGGGCUUCUGCACACAUGGUCAAUGAUCUAGGUAAACUCGACAAAAUUUUUAGUUAUAAAGGCCAUGAUAAGAUUUUUGUAGGUAACAGACAAAAACUUGAUAUAUCACAUAUUGGAAAUAUUUCUAUAAAAACUAAAUAUGGCCCUUUAUUACUAAAAGAUGUACUUGUUGUCCCUCAAUUGAAAAAGAAUUCACUAUAUGUGGCACAACUUACUAAUGAUUUUCCUUGUUCUCUUGAAUUUGAUGCUAACGGCUUUAUUGUUAAGAAUAAACAGAACAAGGUGCUGGCGAAAGGCAGUAGAAGCGGCAAUCUCUAUGUUUUGGAGGAAAGCAAUCAGAAAGCAUUAAAUGCAAUAAAAGGAAAUUUUGAUACAAUAGAACGUUGGCACAAACGGCUUGGACAUCCAAGUCUUGAAGUUUUACGUAUUUUAAAAUCAAGGAAGGAGAUCAACUUUUCUAGUUGGAAUAAAAUAUCUAGUAUUUGUGCUUCAUGUCAAUUAGGAAAAAGUUGUAAACUUCCAUUUAAUUUGUCUAAUAAAAUAUCAGAAUUUCCGUUACAAAAAGUUCAUUGUGAUUUGUGGGGUCCUGCCUCAGUUAAUUCCAAUCAAAACUUUAGAUUUUAUGUGCUUUUCAUUGAUGAUUGCACUAGAUUCUCAUGGUUAUUUCCUUUAAAACAAAAAAUUGACUUCUUUGAUUGUUUUUUAAGGUUUCAGCGUCAAGUGGAGAAUCAAUUGGAAAGGAAAAUCAAAAUUUUCCAAUGUGAUGGGGGUGGUGAAUUUAAUUCAAAAAUAUUUAUUGAUCAUCUGCAGAUUUGCGGUAUUACAAGACAAAUUUCAUGCCCUUACACACCACAGCAAAAUAGAGUGGCAGAGAGAAAACAUCGGCAUAUUUUAGAGACGGCAUUGACAUUAAUGUUCCAAGCUCAAAUACCUUUGACUCUUUGGGUUGAAGCAUUUAUGACAGCCACAUAUCUAAUUAAUCUCAUGCCUCUCUCUAUUGUUUCUAUGAAAUCUCCUUAUGAAAAGCUUUUCAAAAAGGCUCCUGAUUACAAGCAAUUAAGAAUUUUUGAAUGCAGGUGUUUCCCUUAAGCGAUUACAAUAAAAUAAAUUUGACAAAAAAUCUCUUCCAUGCGUUUUCCUUGGGUACAGCCCCAUACACAAGGGCUAUCGUUGUUUGGAUCCGGACACCAAACGUGUCUAUAUAUCUAUACAUGUGAAAUUUGAUGAAAGUGUAUUUCCUUUUGCUGAAUUAUCUCCUUUAAUGAAUUUGCAGGAAAAACUUAACAAUGAAGAAUAUCCUAGCAGUGAAGAAAACAAUUUGAUGCCAUCAAAUUCUUCAUCUUUACUUCCACGAUGUUGCUUAGAGUCAUGUGAAAGGCCCACAAUUGUUGAAAACAUGGACAUUUCAGAAGUUGUGAUGAUGCCAAACUUACCAUCUGGAGCUGAAAAAGGCAAAUCAAAAGGCAAUAACAGCUCUUAGAAUACUGGAGAAAAUGUCUCCAACACUAGCAAAGAAAUUGUAAUACAGCCAAUAGCCAUGCCAACUCAACCCCAAAAUUUGAUUGAAAUUACCAACCAUGACUUCCCUGAUAUAUCUAAUCGACUUUCCAUUGAAUUACCAAUUCAACCUGUGAAUGCAUUAUCCCAAACAAAAGCUACCACAAACAAUCAGCCUGUGACCUCAACCGAAACAAUUUCAAAUACACACCCAAUGGUCACCCGUCAUAAGUUAAAAAAUAACCCCAGUUUAUCAUUGCAAACAUCUAUUACUACUGAGCCAAAAACAUUGAAAAGUGCACUAAAAUAUCCUCAGUGGGUUACUGCAAUGAAGGAAGAACUUCAAGCCUUAAAUCAAAAUAACACAUAGACUCUUGUUCCUAGACCAAAAAAUGCAAAUAUUAUUGGGUCCAAGUGGGUGUAUCGAAUUAAGUACACAGAUACGGGAGCCAUUGAAAGAUUCAAAGCACGACUUGUAGCAAAAGGGUUUACACAAGUUCCUGGAAUUGACUAUGAAGAAACCUUUAGUCCAGUCAUCAAGCAGACAACAAUUAGACUUGUCGUAGCCCUUGCUGUGAAUCUCAACUGGUCAAUGAAACAACUUGAUGUGAGAAAUGCAUUUCUUCAUGGCCAUUUAAAUGAAACAGUGUACAUGGAGCAGCCACCAGGUUUUAUCAAUCCUAAACUACCAUCGCAUGUGUGCAAAUUGAACAAAUCACUCUACGGGCUUAAACAAGCCCCGUGAGCAUGGUUUGAUUGCUUGUGUCGUGCACUUCUUAAUCUUGGCUUCCAAAAUAGCAAGGCGGAUACUUCCCUUUUUAUACUGCAUUUUGAAUCUAAUAUUGUUUUAUUAUUGGUUUAUGUUGAUGAUGUGAUAAUAACGGGCAAUAAUAGUAAAAUAAUUCAACACAUCAUUUAUACUCUUAGUUCUCAAUUUACCUUAAAAGAUCUUGGCUCAUUAAAUUAUUUCUUAGGUAUUGAAAUCAAGAAAUUUAAACAAGGUAUCUUUCUUUCGCAGGCCAAAUACGCAAGGGAUUUACUUGACCAAACAAAGAUGCAAGAUAGUACAGUCGUUGCCACACCAAUGGCUGUGAAAGAGGUACCAAGAUUUGAUGAUGCACAACCGGUCAAUGCGACUGAGUAUCGACAAAUAGUGGGAAGCCUUCAAUACCUCACUUUUACUAGACCAGAUAUCACACAUGCAGUCAACAAAGUGUGUCAAAAUUUCCAACAACCAACGAAGGCUGAUCUUCGAGCUGUCAAACGGAUAUUGCGGUACCUCAAAGGGAUGCUUGACUUUGGACUUCGCUAUUUGAAACAAAGUUCCUUGACACUCUAUGGGUUCUCAGAUUCAGAUUGGGCGGGUUGCCCUUUAACUCGACGAAGUACUAGUGGCUUCUGCAUUUACCUUAGAUCAAAUUGUAUCUCAUGGAGUUCAAAAAAGCAAACCACCGUUGCUCGUUCGAGUGCAAAAGCUGAAUAUCGUUGCAUGGCAUCUACGGCAGUCGAACUCACUUGGCUUACGUACAUAUUCAAAGAGAUUGGCAUAAACUUGAUAAAGCCUCCAGUUCUUAUUUGUGACAAUAUCAGCGCCCUCCAUAUGUCAAAAAAUCAUGUUUUCCAUGCACGGACCAAGUACAUUGAGCUUGAUUAUCAUUUUGUUCGUGAAAAAGUAACAAGUGGACUACUCAACACAAGAUAUAUUCCAUCAUCACAACAAACAUAAGAAUAAAUUUCAAAUCAACCACAAUCAAGACAAUGACAGCAAGGCAAUCAUGAACUCUACAGAAGGAAGGAAUAAAUUUUCCAGCUAAAGGCUUACCAAGUUCAAGACUUGACAACAACAGCUAGUAAUAGUUUUAGCCUAAACUUUCUCAAAUCACAAUCUUCGUGGAUAUAAUAGGAAACUCUCCUAUGUCAAGCCAUAACAUAGUCCUAAAAUACCUCCUUAUCUUUGUAUAAAUUGUAUAGGAUCAUGUAAAGAAAAGAAGUGAAGAAGAAAUAAUAUUUUCCUUCAGCUAUUUAAUCUAUAUCAAAUUAUCUUUUACGACAUUGUGCAAAUGUAAGCGGCGGCCAUUAAGAAUGCAGAAACUAGGGAUAGUGGCCGGAGCGGGAGCUCGCCGAAAAGAAUCAUCAUCAACGCUACGGAUAUGAAAAAGGCUAAGGAAUUGAAGACAAUGACUGAUGGGAUAAAAUAUGGAUGCUGAUUCGCAAUCUGGCAGAAGGGACUUAGGCUUCUAGAAUUGCAUUCGUAGGCGUGCUCAGCUCUGCGUCCCAGGAUCUUCAAUUGUAUGCAGUGGCGGAGCCACUUGAGAAAAAAAUUAAAUUCAUUUUCGUUUUUAGUGGAUUUACAAUAAAGUCCCUGGUAAAUUUUUAAAAUAGCUAAAAGGCCAAUGUUUAAUAUAGAGCCUAGAAAUCCCAAAAAAAAAACCUCAAAAUCAAAUCUGUAACCACCCGUCUACACCACCGCAUCUUUGCAUUUUUUCUGGUACUACCGUCGCACCUCUGUAGCUUUCAUAUUGAAUUGAUUAAAUUAUUUUGAUACCUCUGCCACUUUAUGAUUUAAUAUUUUAAUUCCUGAAUUGGUUUAUGCCUUUUUGAAUUGAAUAAUAUUAUUAGCUUUCAGUUAUUGUGGCAAUGCUUCAUAGGUUGAUAAAGUGCCAUUGCUUUUAACUUUACUGAUUGUAAACAAUAGAAUAGUAAUGCCAUGGGUGAUGUCGUGAUGGGUUAGUAACUUAGUGGUUGAGAAUUUAGUUAGGCAGUUGGUUUAUUAAAUUAAUAUUUUGUAAUUUUUUCAUUCUUUUUAAAUUUUGACAUGGAAAUUGUCUUCAAUUUUUCUUUAAAUUCUCACAAUUAAUUGUGUUUGUUUGUCAUAGUUAGGAGAAAUAUUACUCAAGAAAGCCAUUGUUUCGAACUCAAGGGAGAUCACAACGCAAGGCUCAAAAGAUCACAAAUUUGCAUCGUUUUCGUGUUGAAUUAUUUUAUUUAAUUUUGGACAUGCAACUUCAAGAAUUAAGCAAUCGUUUCAAUGAGACGAAUACUGAAUUGCUUCUUUGUGUGGCAUGUCUAUACCCCAAUGACUCAUUUUGAUAAACAAAAACUGCUUCGCCUUGCUGAGUUUUAUCCAAAUGAUUUUUCUCUAGUGGAUCUUGUGGCUCUUGAAACUCAACUUGAUGUUUAUAUUAUGGAUGUGAGUUCUAACAAUAGUUUUUUAGGAUUGAAAGGGAUUGGUGAGCUAGCAAGAAAAUUUGUUGAGAUUAAGAAGUAUCAAUUAUAUUCAUUAGUUUAUUUAUUGGUGACAUUAGUAUUAAUUUUACUAGUUGCCACAUCUACAGUAGAAAGAGCAUCUUUAGCUAUGAAUUUUGUGAAAAAUUAUCUGCGAAAUCGGAUGAGACAUCAAUGGUUGAAUGAUAGUCUUGUUGUAUACAUACAAAAAGAUAUAUUUUGUAGUCUUAAUAAUGAGGUUAUUGUUCAACAUUUUCAAUAGAUGAAAUAUCGUCGAGGAUAGUUAUAAGUGUAGUAAAUUAACUAAUUUAAAUAAUUUUUAUUUUGAUAUAUGUUAUUUGUUAACUACUUUGUUGAAUUAAAUUACUAAUUGAACUUAACCCCCCGCUAAAAAUAAUUUCUGGCACCGGCACUGAUUGUAUGUGGAAGGUUGUGGUUGAUAACAGUGCUGAGAUGAGUAAUAAUAAAUUAUAUACAUUAACGCCUUUAGAGUGCUUCUUUCCUGUUUCCAUGGGCCAGUUAUGCCGCAAACUUGAAGCAGCUGAUGAGCUAGCUGUCCUCCAAGAUGAGAUGUCUAAAGCUGAAAAUUAAUACAAUAGCGGCAGAAUUCAAAUAUAAAAUUACAACAAACUAAAAAAAAAAACUGUUGGUGGCAAAAGAGAUCUAGCUAGAUUAGUUAAUAAAAAAACGAACACCGACAUAUAAAAGGUGACGAUCAAAUGAAAUUACGUAGGAAUCGCGAAAGAAAGAUUGCGGACUCAUCCCAAAGGAAUAGGAAAGACGGAAAAAAAGGACAAGAAAAAUGGAAGCAACCGCGUUGUUUACUUUGUUAUUUUAUUUGUGAAGCAUGCCGCUCGCAUUUUGCAGCUUGGAAAGCAUAUUGCUUGCUUGGUUAGUACUGUUGGAUUCAUGCCCAAAACAAGAGUUAAUAUGAGUUUUUAUUUUGAUGUCCAAUGUUUUUGUUUAAAGGUUUUUGUUGUUGUACUUAUUAUUUUUAACCAAAAAAAAAAACAAUUAAGCUGUUAAAGCAGUAAUAAUAUAGUAUAAUAUGUUAUCUCAAAUACAAAUUUAGAUUUUACAUCAUUUAAAAACUUAUGUAAUUAUUAUAAAGGAUAUAUAAACCUAGUAAUUUUAUGUUGUAAAUAAGCAAUUGUAUUAGUAAAAAAUUAUAUAUAUAUAUAGAUAUAAAGUAAGAUAAUAUAAUAUCAAUAAAGUGCUAUGGAUGUGGGAGCCAUUCAAUUAUGCUUAAAAAAAUGUCAAAGUUACAGUUCUACUGCUCUGGGCCCUGGUGAGAACACAGACGAAAAAGACUCGGUAUCAAAUAUGUUUCAUUUUCUAAACUAAUGCUUGAUUCGACUCUACCAAAUGCCUUUUUCUCUCUUUUUUUUUUUUUUUUUUUUUUUUUUUUUUUUUUUUUUUUUUUUUUUUGUUCUUGUAAAAUGAAAAAAAAAAUGAUGGGUGAAAAAUGGUAUUAUAUGAACCAAAAAAACAUUAUCAAUUUCAAAUUAUUUAUUCAUUUUCGUACUGACAAAAUGUCAAAGUUACAAUUAUACUGUGUCAAAAAAGUAAGCGGUGCAGCACUGCUCUUCUUUAGGUAAGAAGAAAAUAAUAAUAAUAAUAAAUAUAAAUAAUCAAAUAUUACAUGAACAAUAGCUAAUUUUUUUGGUUAUAAAUAGAGGAUGCUCCUCCUCAUUUCGAUCAGCAUCUGAUUUUUCUUUUCUUCUUCAAUUUCAUUUUGAGAAGAGAAAAGAAUAGUGAGAGUUGAAUGUUUUGCGAGUGAGAGAUUGGAUGUAUUGAGGUUCUGAUUAGUAAGAUAAAAUAUUACAAUAUUUGUAAUCCUCAUAUCAUUAGUGAAAUAUUUUCCUUUUAUCUUCGCUUGUGGAUGUAGGUUAAAAGCUUAACCACGUAAAUUUUAAUGUCACUGUGUGAUUUUGUGGUCUUAUUAUUUCUCAAUUUCACUUUAAUUACGUGCUUACUUCACCAAUCAAUUUCCCAAUACACUGGCCCUUAGCAAAAACAAAAUGGGAAAACAUAAGCAUAAAACGUGUUUCAUUUUCUUGAAAAAUAUAAAUCGAACCCUAAUUCAGCCCAACUAAACGUGUUUUUAUUAAUUUAUGUUCUUGCAAAAUAUAAAAUAAUAGGUGCAAAACAGGGGCAUUUGCACCCUGUGUUAAAUUUUUUACAUCUUAAUACAGCACAUUAAAAUACGUUUUAAUCCAUUUUGUGUCACCCUUGUGUCGCUGGCUUCUCUUGAGGCUAAAUAUCAUUAUUCAGCAUAUAUUUCUUUUCUUCCACUACGCUUACUUUCUCUUUUUGUUUGUGUUUUAAGAAAAGAAAAAUUUAUAAAUAACUUGUAUAUGAAAAAUAAUUAAUUAACAAAAUUUUUUUUGUGUAUCCUUCAUUAACUAGGUCUUUGUUUUAGGCAGUUGGGAUUUUAUUUGUUAGAGGUUUUGCAAAUCAAAAAGCAAUGGCAUAUGUAUUAUUUUAAUUGCAUAUUACUCUAUGUAAUUACAUGGGAGUCUCAAAGGAAAGAUUGCGGACUUAUAUCAAGGAAUAAAAAAAAAAAAAGGAAAAACAGGACAAGAAAAUGGAAGCAACUGCGUUUUUUACUUUUUUAUUUUAUUUAUGCACCACACUAUCACAGGCCGCUCAAAUUUCCCACAAACAGAGGCUGAAUUGGCCCGCAUGGGUUCGCUUAGUAAAAGUCUGUCUAAAAACAGGAUGUAGCAGCAGCAUGUGCUCAGCAAUACGCCAACUUAUACAAUUAGCGAGCCGAGGUGCGCUUAGCAAGCAGACAACCCAGGAUCACAAGCCUUCUAGAAAUCUUUACAACACACUAGCAAAGCUAGAGAAUUUUACACUUAUGUAUUCUAGAACCUAGAGAAUUUUUAGGCAACUUGCCCAACUUGUGUGGAACUCCCUAGACCUAGACAAGCCCCUCUAUAAAUAGGGAAAGGACCAACCAUUUUGCUCAACACCACACCACACACAACACCAAGUGGCUCAAGCAUCCUUGUAAGCUUUCUUGUAUUCUCUAUUGUGAGUAAUAAAAUUCGCUUCGGCCAUGUUGCUCAUUUCUCUUUUCUCUCCAUCUUUCUCACAUGCAUCUUUAUUUAGCUAGCUUAAAAAGUUCAUUAGGCUUACUUAACAAUUUUUGUGCUAGAAAGUUGUCUAAGUACAGUACGGGUUGCUUUGCAACAUACUCUUGGAAAGCAUAUUGCCUGGGAACUGUUGGAUUUAUGCCCAAAAAUAAGUUAAUAUGAGUUUUUAAUUUGAUGUCCAAUGUUAUUUUUAACCAAAACAAAGAGUUAAGCUAUUAAGGCUCUGUUUAGGAUUAAAAUUGGACAAUUAUACCUUAAAAGUUAUAGCAUUAAAGUGUUUGGUAAACAUUAACUGCUAUAACUUGGAAGCUAAACUUAUUUAAUUUUACAUUUGUAUGAUGAAAAAUCUAUUAUAUAUUUACUAAUUUUGUUGAAAUUAUUAUUUAAAAAUAAUAUUUACUAAGUAUUAUGAACUUCUAAUUCGCAAUUACAGUUUUCUUUCUAUAACAGCAGUAACUUAAAAGUUACAACACCUCAAUACCAUACAGAGCCUAAAGCUCUAAUAAAAUAGUAUAAUAUAUUAUCAUAAACACAAAUUUAGAUUUUAUAUCAUUUAAAAGCUUGUUUAAUAAUUAUAAAGUAUACAAUUAUAGUAAUUUUAUAUUUUUCAAAAACCAUUGUAUUAAUAAAAUUUUAACAUAUUGGUUAAAAAAACACACUAAAAGAGUAUAUCAGAAAAGUUAGAGAAUAUAAUAUCAAUAAGGUGCCAUGGACGUUGGGGGNNNNNNNNNNNNNNNNNNNNGGGGGGGGGGGGGGGGGGGGCGCCAUUUGAUUAUGCUUAAGAAAAUGUCAAAGUUGCAGUUCUACCAUACUGGGCCCUAGCGAAAACUAAAACGAAAAACUCAAGUAUAAAAUGUGCUUCAUUCUAAAAUCUAUAUUAAUGCUUGAUUCGACCCAACCAAAUGCCUUUUUCUUAUUUUAUUUUCUUGUAAAAUGAAAAAAAAAAAUGAUAGGUCAAAAAGGGUACCAUGCGCACCUCAAAAACUUAUCAAUUUCAAAUCAUUUAUUCAUUUUCGCACAAAAAAAAAAAAUGGAAAAUCAAAGUAUGAAACGUGUUUCAUUUUCUUCUAUAUGUGCUUUUCUUAAUUUAUAUUCUUGAAAAAUAUAAAAUAAUAGGAGUAAAACAAUACCAUUGGCUCCUGUGUUAAAUGUAGUACAUCUGAAAACAACACACUAAAAUAAGUUUUAAUUAAUCCAUUUUAUAUCACCCUUGUGUCACUAGUUGCUCUUAGGGUUAAAUAUCAUUAUUCAGCAUUCACGGAUCCAUAAAUCCUUCAAUGAUCAAGUCUUUAAAAAAGUAAUGAUUUAAAUUAUAUCUGAUUCUUCAGAAUGCGUAAAAUUCAUUCUCAUCUUUUACAUUUUCUCCGCAAACGUAACUCAAGUGUGUACUUGAGAAGGCACUUCAACGGUCUUGUCACUUUUAUGUUUAGUGAAUUUUAGUAAAUUUGGAGUUGGUUUUCUCUAACAGAUGAGAAAAUAGUCAAAAACUCAUUUCUCAAUCCUUUUGGCUCGUAUUUAUAGACCAAAAAGAGUGGAUUUGAUGGAAGAUUUGAUUUUAAAUCUAAAUCUACAGUGUUCUAUCUAUUUUUAUUUUUAUUUUAUGUCAUUAGAUUUAUAGCUGUUUUUUGCUAUAUUUUAGCUUUUGCCACAUGAUUUUGUUAACAAUUGUGUGCCUCUCAUUGCUAUAUUUUCGGAUUCGAUCAGCAACCUUUUUCGGGUUUCUUGUGAAUUUUCAUGAAAUUCUUUUGGACAAGCACUUACAAGCAUAUAUUUCUUUUUUUUCUAUUGUACUUCGCAUUUUUUUUUUAAAUUUUUGUGUUUUAAUAAAGAAAAAAGUUUCAAAUAAUGUGCGUGUGAGAAAUAAUUAAUUAAAAACAAAAUUUUGUGUAUCCUUCAUUAACUAGGUCUUUGUUUUUGGCACUUGGAUUUCAUUUGUUAGAGGUAUUGUGUGUGUGUGUGUGUAUAUAUAUAUAUAUAUAUAAUUUUGCAUAUUCUUCUUAAGCCACGUCUAUUUUCACAUUUUUGCUUCAUUUAGACAUUUAGCAUUGCUUUCAAAACUAAUAAAAUUUGGGUGUAUUUGGUGUGACUUAUAAAGAGAGUGACACUCUACUGCACAUGCGGAAUUGAAAAUUGGGAGAGGGAGAACUUGAUUGAAUGAAGAUGCAAUGAAGUGCAGUCUAUGAUAAUUGAAUAUCGUUGAAUAUCGUUAUCUACUGGUUACGAGGUCAUUUUAAUAAUUUUUUUUGUAUUAUGUUAUACACAGAUUGUUACUGAUAUUACAUCAGAUAUUACAAUUAACAAUUACAAUAUUUACAAUCGUACUAAACAACUGGGACCACCGCCAUAUACAUACAUUAACUCACUGAAGCACUUGUCCAAAUACUUUAAACCCUCUCUAAUAUUCGAGGGGUGCCUACUCCACUUACAUUUCAUAAGGGAGAGACCGUUUCUACUCAAUUAGUUAAUAAUUGAGGGAGUACUGAAAAUAACCUCUAUAAUGCUAUUAUGGAGGCUCGAACUCUUGCACUUAACAUUGUAAGUGCAAAACUUCUCCCAUCAGACCCAAGGCCCAUUGGAGUACUGAAACUAAUAUAUUUGGAAUGCAGUUUUCAAAUUAUCGGGGUGUUAUACGGUUGUUACUUAGGUGUGCGGAUUUAUAACAGAAAUUUAUGGGGUGUCAAAAGCUUGACUCAGAAUUAAAGCGAUGGCUUGAAUUGGUCUUAAAUUUGAUGGGUGUGGAUUGGGCUGAUAUCAGGGACACUGGGUUCGAGAGACAGAGAUGGAUCCGCUAUAGAGCCGCCCAUUCCCAUUUGUCGGGUUUAGUCCAUCGAAAAUUGAAACUUGAAAGUCGUCUUCCUCCCAUGGGGAACAAGGAGAGAAAUUUUCAGGACGUUUACGGGAAAGAGAAGAGGGAAAAAAGCAAAAUACAAAAAGGGGAUGCUCGUAGCUUCUACGAUACUUCCAAAAUUCAAUGGGAUGUAUGCAUUGCCAUGUCCUCACGCUAUAGAAAGUCUGGUUUGCCAGUGUAAAAUACUUUUAUAAUCUGAAAAAUUAAUUUACAACGUUUUAAGAGCUUUAUAUAUAUAUAUAAAACAAUUGUAUUUCAUAAAAACUUUAUAUGUUAAUCAAUAUUAUUCAAAUGUCCAGUAUCUUUUUUUUGAAUUUUUUGUCUUAAAAUUUUGUUAAAAAUGUGCCCAACUGGAUCUAGUUAUGGCACCCGAUUUGUUGUGCUAUGUAAUAUGUGUUUAUUUUCAUUAUUAAUAGAUGUUGUAUAUAUCAACCUAGAUAUCUUGGGGAAAUUUACGAAAAUAACCAUUAUUAUUUUAUUAUUUUUGCAAUUAACCCUCUCAACUUUUUUCUAUCAACAUUAGCCAAACACAAGCCUUUCUUCCCAAAUUACCCUUCUUUACAUAACAAAAUCAACAUCGUUUCUCCCAUAUCGCCAAACCAAAAGCAGCUUUUCGCUCUUGAAUCAUCAGUCAACGGCGACCGCAAAAACAUCGAUAAAAGUGAUAUCCGAUCAUAAUUUAUCCGGAUCCAACACAAAUCGACAUCCGGAUCCAACACAAAUCGACAUCACUUAGUGGUAUGAGUUAUUUUGUGAACUUACUGAACUGAAUCGGGUAAAUCUGAAUCUGGCGACAGGCUGCCUGUCGCAGCAAAACUUGGUGCGACAGGUUGUUGGUGCGACAGGCAACCUGUCGCAUCAAGCAAGGUGCGACAGGUGCCUGUCGCACCAAGCAAGGUGCGACAGGCACCCUGUCGCACCAAGAUUCGGGCGACAGGUUGCCUGUCGCACCCACCAUUAAAUACAUCAUUAAAACUGUAUUAUUUUAAUAUGGCUGAAAUAAUUUUUUUUUAAUAAUUUCCGCGCGCUGCUGCCCAGCGAUGGGCGCGCGCGCGCGCCCUGCCCCCCUCCCUCCCCACCCGCAAAAUUAAGCACAAUCACUCCAAAAUCGAAAACAAUACUCCCAAACACCACCAACCACCACAAACAUCAUCACCACCACUAUUAAUCUCAAGCUAUAACUAUUAUUAUUCUAAAAUCUCAUUUUAAAUUAAUGAAAAUAAGAAAAAUGACUAACCUAGAUUUUGUUGAAGGUUGUAGAUCGUAGAUCGUAGAUCGGAUGCCGGUGAGAGAUGGAGCCGCCGCCGACGAGGGUUGAUGUCGCCGCCGAUGAUGGGAGUUGGAUCGGUUUGGGAGAGAUGAGUGAAAGGGAGUGUUGGGGGAGAGAUGAGGGAGGGGUAUUUUGGUCUCAAAUGUUGUUUUAUGGCUAAUGUUGAUAGAAAUAUUUUUGGGGGGUUAAGAUGAAAAAAAAGGAAAUUUUUUUGGUUAUUACUGUAAAUUUCCCGAUAUCUUGUCAAUUGAAGCAAUUGAUCUUAUGAAAGUUCAAUAAGUCGGAUAUGUAAUAUAUCAGCAUUUAAGUACGAACAGUAUAAAAUUCCAAUUUUUUUUAUUAAAUUGAAGGUAUUGAAGAAGUAUAUACCUGCAUUGUUCAUUUCCCUGAAUUAUCCACCACAAGGUCCAUCCUUCUCUUCGUAGAGAUGCCGCGUUUUCGUGCAAUUCGUUCCAUUUGAAGUUACAUGGUGAGGGGGAAAGAAACAAGAAAGUUCUUGGAUUUUUUACUUAUUCUUUUUUUUUUUAAUUUUACAUACAAUUAAUUUGCAUACACACACACACACAUAUAUAUAUAUAUGUGUGUGUGUGUAGACGGACUAAGAAACCUCACCCUAGAAAAAAAGAAAAGUUGUAAUUAAUUAACAACACAAGAGUGAUGUGAGCUCAACUGCGAGAUGGGAAGAAGAAUGUAACACAUAAACACAGUGUGAGUGUCUGUCAAUUGUCAUGGCUAACUUGGAGCAGUUGUUUCAGGAAGCUUGCCAAAAAAACGAUGUCGAAGAAGUCAAGUCAUUAAAUUCAAAGCAUCCGAAUUUACUGGAUGAGAUUAUAAGAGCAUGCCAACGCUCGGAGGAUCCUCUGCUCAUCACCGCCUGCUUGCCUGGAAGCCUUGAAGCAGCUAAAGAAAUGGCAAGGCUGUGGCCUCAACUUGCCAGUAUUAAAAAUCAGCGAGGUGAAACAACCAUGCACUUACUUUCUACGGAUGGGGAUGCCGAGAUGGUUCGGACUUUCGGAGAGAUUAAUCGUGAACUGUGCCUUGAAGUAGACAACUCUUCAAUGAUACCGCUACACAGAGCAGCUUUGGAAGGUAAUUCUGAUGUUAUUAGGGCUUUAGUUUCUAUUUGCCCGGAGUCUCUUGAGAAGCUGACUUCAAAUGGAGAGACGGCCCUACACCUUGCUGUGAAGAAGUCCCGAUCGGACGCCUUUCAAGCCUUGGUGGAUGAGGCUAAGAGUCACAGAAAAGAGCAUCUCUUCACUUGGAAAGACAAGGAGGGCAAUACAGUAUUGCACCUUGCCACACUUAACAAAUUAGAGCAGGUAAGCUCUCUGUCUCUUGCAAACACAGUUUUUGAAUUUUGAUUGCCAAAACAUAACGCAUCCCUUGACAAUCCUGUUGCGUUCAUUGCAGAUUGUGGAGCUACUCAUCCGUGAGAAUUCCAAUAGGCGCAUAAUGAUUCGAAUUAACACCGUGAAUAAGCAGGGACAAACAGCCUUACAGUUAUGCAAUGCUAAUUCUCAGGACUCUGCUUUCAAGGAAAUAGGCUGGAUCAUUCAACAAGCUAUUGCUCAGCAAUAUCCGCAGCUCCCUGCAGAUGGAACCGCCAAUAGCAGCAGGAACCAAACACGGUGGCCCAUACAGACAAGAAACGUGUUAUUGAUGGUAGUAGUAACGAUUGCUGCAGCAUUUUUCACGGUAGCUUGCAAUUUGCCAGAUUCCUUACUCAGAGAGGAUACUCUUGCCGGUAAAAGUUUUUAACUAAAUUAUUAUUUUUCUUUUGGUAGUGUUUACAAUUUGCUAAAGAAGAUUAUCUUGCAGUUAAAACAUUGCAUGCUGAUAAGGAUGACGUACUCAGUAAGUUGCCAACCGUUGUCUACAUCAUGAUUUUCAACUCUGCUGGGUUCUUGACUACCAUGUUUGCGAUUGUAUUGCUCGUAUGGCCGUUACAUUUGAGAACAUUUCUGCUCUUCCUUGUAAUCUGCACGGCCAUUGUUUAUAUUCUCUUAGUGGACGAGAUCAUACCUAAAUUCUAUGUGAAAGUCGGGAAAUCAAGCAUCUCAAGCAAUGGGUUGGUGUGGUCAUUAGUCCUUGCCCUCAUUUUGUUCGGAAUGGCUGUACUAAGUAUGGGGAAAUUCACUUUGUCCUUUUGGCGCUUCAUUAUCUGUUUGCGGAGGAAUAGAACCAAUCCAGGGCAACAGUCUUGAAGAUCUUCACGAAAUCACUGCCUUAUAGUUAUCAAGAGGCUUAAAUCAUUACCGACUACCUGGUUAAUUUAGCCCUUGCUUGUCAUAAUUUCACUUGGUGGGAUGCUCCACAUCCUGAAAUGUCAAAGAUGCUUUUUAUGAUGCUAAUGGUUUCCUUCGUCAUCAAUUUUACUUAUGAUGCUAAUGGUUUCCUUUGUCAUCAAUUGUACAUAGUUUAUGUUGUUUCAUCUCCAUUUAUUUCUCCACUGUAAUAGGCGUUUCGAGAUUUUUAAGGGGUAAUUUGGUGUACUGCUACUUUAUUUAAGAGUGCAAGUGACAUAUCAUGUUGCCAUGAGAAGCUUCAAAUAUGUCUUCUAACAAAAGGAAGUUAGCUUCCUUUGUCAUUGCAAAUAAUGAUCUCUUUCUAAAUAGGAUCCUUGUUAAUUUACGCACAAAAGAAAAAAUAACUAUUAAGAUUCAAAUCUGUUUCAAGACACCGGCUCUCUCUCAUUCCCAGUCCUGAUUUCUCUCUCCACCUUUACCCGGACAGCCAUUUAGUCUCAGGGCUCGUCUUGCACAGGAGUUCUUUUCUCAUUAAUCCAGACCACAGUUUUGUCCCUCUUAAAGACAAGCCAAGUCUUGCGCCCUUUAAAUGCCUUAAUGUUUUGAAAUAGUUGUUCAGGUUUACGAAUUGAGCAAUCUUCUCAUUGGGUUUCUAUUUUGUUCCAGCUUUGACUAUAGCAACUGGUAGUACAUUUAUAUUUAUAUACAAUCCUACGACGGAGCAAUUUGCUGUACUUCCUCUACCCAGCGGCCAAAUUGUUCAAUGAUGUUAGUUUAGCUUAUGAUCCUGUAAAGUCACCCCACUAUAAAUUUGUACAUUUUAAACUUGUAUGUGUUGAUUGUUUUCAAUCAUCUGUUCCUGUAAAAGAUGCUUACCUCAAUUAUGAAAUUGAAAUAUACUUGGGGGCUCUCUGGUUGAUGAAACAUAAUUAGCUUGAGGGGUUAAUUACAUAUUUCAGGCCAUCAAGCUAAAACACAAAAAGACUGUUCUGAGUCAGGGGUUGUCUCCUCUCACAGGAUAAACCCAAAUGCAUAACUUGUCAAUUAACACAAUUGGUUACAUGAUUGGUUACUCUUUUUGCUCUAGCAGUACCCAAAAACUCUGUUUCAUUUGUCUUGCUGGAAUUAACCCUACUUCCGAUCGUUGAUGUUAUAUAGAAUUACUGGAUCGGUGGCUGCAAUGUUUAUGCACCCAGGUCAAUUUAGGUGGUUAUAAACUGAAGUAAAACUACUAGUGAAUCAACUGUAAAAGUUUUAUUGAUAACCAUGCCUGCUGGCAUGACAGUUUUCAGACUGUUCAUAUUUUACAUUCAUAAUUUAUUAAUACAGCAGUGUCAAACGUUAAACACACCAGACAUCUUAAUAAUAAAAAUAGGAACUUAAUUGUCUGCUUACACCACAUCUAGUGUAUUGAUCGAUGCAAAUCCAUAGGACAUAAUGAGCUUAAUUAUUGCAAUAGUGUGUCGCAUUCCAAAGAAAAUAUGUCAUCUUCCAGGAACCUUAAAAUGUUGAGUAGAAUGGGCUCAAGUUAGGCUUUGUAGGGCCAGAUAUUAUGCACAUGUAAGCACCGAGCAUGGAAAAUGCAGAUACCAGAAGCAAUGGCCUAAGCGGAAGCUUAUUGAAGAAAAUCAUCAUCAAUGCUAUGGAUAAGAAAAAGGCAACGGAAUUGAAGGUAGUGACGAGUCGGGCAUGGUGCUCUUCAAAUGGGAUGACUUGGACGGCCAUUGAAGUGGCUGCUCAUCUUCAUCAUGAGCCCUCCAAGCUCCACUCUCUAGCUGAGCCAUCUUCAUUUCCAUAUCUGUCUUCCCAGAUUGCGCCGACACAGAUGACAUGUCCAAAGCUGUUAACUCAGCAUUCUCCAUAGCACUAACCUUGGCUAUGGAGAAAUCGGACAGAUUACAUUUAAAAGUCUGCAUAGCGUAGCAAGAAUAAAAUCAGAUAAGACAUAAGGCAGUGGUAACAAAAGAUAUCGAGUGUAAACUAACCUCAUCGAGCAGUAUAUUGGAGGCCUUAAAAUCUCUGUGAAAACCUGCUUCUCUGAACUAAGUAAAAAAGCCAGGCCUUGACAAAUUUUCGUGACAAUUUCAAGUCGUUCAGCACGAGGCGAUUGUUGAACAGAGGCAGGAUGUUCUGCACUGCCAAGCAGGAAGACAGUUAAUGCAAAUCUUUUAUAAUUUAUUUUCUUUCUUUAAUUAUCUGAGGUCCUUACCUCCUAAAUGAACAUUUUCCAAGCAUUUCUUCUGCAUGAGCCAUUUAUUCUUCCAGUAAUAUCUUUUGUCUCCUGUUAGGCAUAUAUUCGUUGACCAAUAUCCUUGUGAAGACCUAAUCUUGGCUUCUGUUUGCGAUUUCCUUGUGUAGGCUAUAAAGAUAUCGAGAGAAGGCUGAUUUGUAGACUGCUAAAUUAUAUAUUUAUUGAGCAACAAAAUCAUCUAUUUAUACAGCAUAAUGAAAACUAAAGUGCAGAAAAAUCUGCUACAUUUGAGCAUCAUAACUAAGUGCAGGAAAAUAGCAUGAAGAAGUGGUCAUAGUCCUAAAAAAUAGCAACAGAAAAAAAACUGAUUUAACUUCAUGAGUCAUUCCAGUCAACAUUCUCCUCCUUGACUCUGGAGCUGCAUACACCAAGCUUUUGCCUCAAGAAUUCAUAUCUAAUCUUUGGAAGUGCUUUUGUUAAGAUGUGAGCACUUUGAUUCUCUGUUUUGCAGUAGAUCAGCUGCACUUCUCAUUCUCUUUGUACCUCUCUUAGAAAAUAAAGUUUAAUCUUGAAGUGUUUUGUUUUGCCAUGGAACACUGGAUUAUUAGCAAUUGAAAUUGCAGCUUGGUUGUCCACAAAUAUUUGUGUGCCUUCUUGUUGUUCCAUAUGCAAAUCUGUCAUGAGUUUCUUGAUCCAAAGAGCUUGAUUCACAGCUGCAGCAACAGCUACAUAUUCUGCUUUUGCUGUGGAUUGAGCUAUGACUUCUUGCUUCUUAGAACACCAUGAAAAAAUUCCAGAACCAAAGCUAAAACAGUAACCUGAGGUGCUUCUCAUGUCAUCAACACACCUAGCCCAAUCACUAUCAGAAUAUCCAUGAAGAUGGAAGUUUUUAACUUGAUUAAACUUUAUUCCAUAAUCAAUUGUGCCCUUAACAUAUCUAAGAAUUCUUUUUGCUGCCUGAAAAUGAAUUUUACUGGCACAGUGCAUAUACCUUGAUAGCAAACUCACUGCAUGCAUGAUAUCUGGCCUGGUUGCAGUUAAAUACAUUAGGCAGCCUAUUAGGCUCCUGUACAGCAUUUCAUCCACCUUUUCAGCUCCAUCUUCUUUGCAAAACUUCUCCUUUUGAUUCAUUAGAGUUGCAGUUGGCUUGCACUCUUCCAUGUUGAAUUUCUUGAGAACUUUGCAUAUUUUUGCUGGGAUAGAAAUAUUUCAUUUUCCUUUUGAUGUACCUGCAUACCAAGGAAAAAUGUCAUCCUCCCAAGGUCUGUCAUUUCAAAGACAUCUUUCAUUUCUUCUUUAAACCUGUCAAUCAACUCCUUGCUACUUCCUGUAACGAGUAGAUCAUCAACAUACAGAGAUACCACAAGUACUUCGUUAUCAGCCUUCUUGAUAUAUAAAAUAGAUUCACUCAGACUUUUUUCGAAGCCUAAGUUUGUUAAGUGUGUGUCAAUUCUGCUAUACCAGGACCUUGAUGCCUAUUUUAAAUCGUACAGGGCUUUCUUCAGUCAAUAGACCUUCUCAUCUUGUCCUGGAAAAACAAACCCUUCAGGUUGCUCCACAAAAAUCUCUUCCUCCAAGUAUCCAUUCAAAAAGGUUGAUUUGACAUCCAUUUGGUGUAUAACCCAACCUUGCUGUGCAACAAGAGCUAGCGACAUCCUUAUGGUAUCCAACCUGGCAACAUGGGCAAAAGUUUCAGAAAAAAUCUACCCCAAACAUCUGGGCAUAUCCCUUGACAACAAGUCUUGCCUUGUGCUUGUUUACAGAACCAUCAGGAUUGAGCUUGGUCAUGUAAACCCACUUGACUCCUAUAGCUUUCUUGUGUUCAGGUCUGUCUACCAAUUCCCAUGUCUGAUUCUUUUCAAUUAUUUUUAGCUCGUCCUUCAUUGCAGUUAUCCACUUCUGAUCAUUUGCAGCUUCUUCAUACCCUGCAGGCUCCAUUACAGCAAUAUUACACAUCUGAUAGAUGUCAGAGAGUGAUCUGGUUCCUCUAACAUUUUCAUCGUCCGUAUCAUCAUUCUCUUCGACCUCAAGCUUCUUGUCAUUUUCCCAACUCCAAUUAUCUAACUCAAAGAAUUGAACAUCCCUGCUGACGAUUACUUUGUUUCUUUGCGGUAAGUAAAUCUUGUAGGCUUUUGAGGUUGAGCUAUAGCCUACAAAAAUCCCAAGUUCUGCUUUUUUGUCUAAUUUGUCUCUCUUCACUUGAGGGAUGUAAGAGAAACAUAGACAACCAAAUAUCUUCAGAUUAAACAGCUUUGGUUUGUAGCCAUACCAUGCUUCAAAUGGAGUCUUUUUCUGUAAAGCUUUUGUUGGCAAUCUGUUCAAUAAAAAAACUGCAGUGUUUACGGCCUCAGCCCAAAAUUUCUUCGGCGGCCCUUUAUCAUGAAGCAAGCAUCUUGCCAUCUCCAUUAUUGUCCGGUUUUUUCUCUCCACAACACCAUUUUACUGAGGAGUGUAAGGUGUAUCCAUGAAGAUGGAAGUUUUUAACUUGAUUAAACUUUAUUCCAUAAUCAAUUGUGCCCUUAACAUAUCUAAGAAUUCUUUUUGCUGCCUGAAAAUGAAUUUUACUGGCACAGUGCAUAUACCUUGAUAGCAAACUCACUGCAUGCAUGAUAUCUGGCCUGGUUGCAGUUAAAUACAUUAGGCAGCCUAUUAGGCUCCUGUACAGCAUUUCAUCCACCUUUUCAGCUCCAUCUUCUUUGCAAAACUUCUCCUUUUGAUUCAUUAGAGUUGCAGUUGGCUUGCACUCUUCCAUGUUGAAUUUCUUGAGAACUUUGCAUAUUUUUGCUGGGAUAGAAAUAUUUCAUUUUCCUUUUGAUGUACCUGCAUACCAAGGAAAAAUGUCAUCCUCCCAAGGUCUGUCAUUUCAAAGACAUCUUUCAUUUCUUCUUUAAACCUGUCAAUCAACUCCUUGCUACUUCCUGUAACGAGUAGAUCAUCAACAUACAGAGAUACCACAAGUACUUCGUUAUCAGCCUUCUUGAUAUAUAAAAUAGAUUCACUCAGACUUUUUUCGAAGCCUAAGUUUGUUAAGUGUGUGUCAAUUCUGCUAUACCAGGACCUUGAUGCCUAUUUUAAAUCGUACAGGGCUUUCUUCAGUCAAUAGACCUUCUCAUCUUGUCCUGGAAAAACAAACCCUUCAGGUUGCUCCACAAAAAUCUCUUCCUCCAAGUAUCCAUUCAAAAAGGUUGAUUUGACAUCCAUUUGGUGUAUAACCCAACCUUGCUGUGCAACAAGAGCUAGCGACAUCCUUAUGGUAUCCAACCUGGCAACAUGGGCAAAAGUUUCAGAAAAAAUCUACCCCAAACAUCUGGGCAUAUCCCUUGACAACAAGUCUUGCCUUGUGCUUGUUUACAGAACCAUCAGGAUUGAGCUUGGUCAUGUAAACCCACUUGACUCCUAUAGCUUUCUUGUGUUCAGGUCUGUCUACCAAUUCCCAUGUCUGAUUCUUUUCAAUUAUUUUUAGCUCGUCCUUCAUUGCAGUUAUCCACUUCUGAUCAUUUGCAGCUUCUUCAUACCCUGCAGGCUCCAUUACAGCAAUAUUACACAUCUGAUAGAUGUCAGAGAGUGAUCUGGUUCCUCUAACAUUUUCAUCGUCCGUAUCAUCAUUCUCUUCGACCUCAAGCUUCUUGUCAUUUUCCCAACUCCAAUUAUCUAACUCAAAGAAUUGAACAUCCCUGCUGACGAUUACUUUGUUUCUUUGCGGUAAGUAAAUCUUGUAGGCUUUUGAGGUUGAGCUAUAGCCUACAAAAAUCCCAAGUUCUGCUUUUUUGUCUAAUUUGUCUCUCUUCACUUGAGGGAUGUAAGAGAAACAUAGACAACCAAAUAUCUUCAGAUUAAACAGCUUUGGUUUGUAGCCAUACCAUGCUUCAAAUGGAGUCUUUUUCUGUAAAGCUUUUGUUGGCAAUCUGUUCAAUAAAAAAACUGCAGUGUUUACGGCCUCAGCCCAAAAUUUCUUCGGCGGCCCUUUAUCAUGAAGCAAGCAUCUUGCCAUCUCCAUUAUUGUCCGGUUUUUUCUCUCCACAACACCAUUUUACUGAGGAGUGUAAGGUGUUGUCAGCUGAUGUUCAAUGCCUGCAUCUUCACAAAACUUGUUAAAUUUUUCAGAGGUAUAUUCCAUUCCAUUAUCAGACCUGAUCACCUGCAUCUUGCAUCUGCUUUGAGUUUCAACCCAAGCUUUAAACUUCACAAAGAUGUCAGCAACCUUAUAUUUAAGCUUCAUAAAAUAAAACUAGCACAUUCUUGAGUAAUCAUCAAUGAAAACAAUAUAAUACUUACUGUUAUUCAAAGAUGGUGUUUUCAUUGGCCCUCCCACAUCUGUGUGUAUUAAUUGCAACCUCUGUAUAGCCCUCCAGGUCUUAUUUUGUUGAAAUGGAAUCCUGGUUUGCUUUCCAUACUGACAGGCAGCACAUUUAGGAGACUCCUCCUCUAAUUCAGGCAAGCCUUUGACUAGAUUGUUGUUCUUCAUGUAGAGUAGAGUUAUAUGAUAGAAAUGCCCUAACCUCUUGUGCCAAAGCACUGUAAUGUUAUCUUCUCUAUGUACAGAAGCAUGCUCUUCUUUCAUUAAAUCCAAGGCAAAGCUUUUGCCUUUCAUUUGAACUUUGAAUACUUCUUUGUCUUUUGCAUCUUUGAUCACACAGUUCUUGUCUUCAAACAGCACCUUAUAGCCUUUUUCUAACAACUGAGUAACACUCAAAAGAUUUUGAUUAAUUUCAGGAACAUAUAAAACAUCAUAAAUCAAUUUCAGACCUGUAUGGCCUUCAAUCGCUACUGUUCCUUUACUUUUUACUGCAAUGUGUGCCCCAUUUCCAAUUCUGACUUUGGAAAUAGUAGUCUCAUCAAGCUCUUUGAAGAGCUCUCGAUCAUAAGUCAUGUGGUUUGUACAGCCACUAUCUAUAAGCCAACUCUCUGUGGAGCUGUUGGUGGCAAAGCAUGAUACCACAAACAGUUGUUCCUCUUGGAGUUGAUCCUUAAUAACAUUGGCUUCUCUUUGUUGUUGUUGAGUCUUGCAUAUCCUUUCCACGUGCCCUAACUGACCACACUUGUGACACUUUGCAUCUGGCCUCCACCAACACUUAUUUUGUGGAUGAUUGGUUUUUUUGCAGUAAGGGCAAGGUGAAAAGACAUGAGUGUUGCUGCUUUGGCUAUUUUUGUUACUGCUUGCAAAACCUCCAAGCUUGUUGUCUUUGUUCUGUUUUUUCUUAUUUUUGCCACCUUUAUUGUUUUGUGAUUUGGCUUGAAAAGCACCCUCCACAUAUCCUUCUUGUCUCAUAAGCCUCAUUUGUUCCAGUGCCUGCAGUGCAUUCAACAAUUCUGCCAAGGUAAUACUUGACAGAUCUCUUGAGUUUUCCAAAAAUGAAAUUGUAGCCUCAAACUUUUAGGAACUGUGACUAGGAUUUUUUGGACAACUCUAGAAUCAGAAAAAUCAAUGCCAAGGAGUCUUACCUUGUUGACAAUCUUAAAAAGUCUGUCAUAAUAUUCUUGAAUUGUUUCUGAUUCUUUCAUCUUUUGCAUCUCAAAUUCUCGAAUCAAAUUCAGCACUUGCAUCCCUUUGACCCUUUCAUUUCCUUUGUAUUCUUGCUUCAAAAAAUCCCAAAUUUCCUUGGUUGUUUUGAGCGUCAUUAUUCUGAUUUGUAGGCUAUAAAGAUAUCGAGAGAAGGCUGAUUUGCAGACUGCUAAAUUAUAUAUUUAUUGAGCAACAAAAUCAUCAUUUAUACAACAUAAUGAAAAUUAAAGUGCAGAAAAAUCUGCUACAUUUGAGCAUCAUAACUAAGUGUAGAAAAAUAGCAUGAAGAAGUGGUUAUAGUCUUAAAAAAUAGCAACAGAAAAAAAAAACUGAUUUAACUUCAUGAGUCAUUCCAGUCAACACCUUAGCAGUCCUCGUGCACACGAGCAACUGACUAUUACGAAUCUCCUCGAUCAUUGCUUUGAUCAUGAGGAGGCUACAAUCUCGCGGUAGCGUUUUAAUCACCCAAACAAAAACCCUAAAAGUUUUGAAUCAAAUUAACCUUAAUACAACAUACAUCACGCAUUACACUUCAAAAUUAACAAGAUUAAAAACGACUCAAUAAAACACCUUUUUUUUUUAUAAUAUUGACCAUGAUGAGUGCGCCUGCAAGUUAUUUGAGAAAUUGACUGCUAUGAGCACAUACGAGGCAAAAAGAAUCUUAUAUCAUGCACAUGUAGGCAGCAAGCAUUGAAAAUACAGAAACUAGCAGCAAUGGCUUGAGCGGAAACCCAUAAAAGAGAAUUGUCAUAAAUGCUAAGCAUAAGAAAAAGGCAGCGAAAUUGAGGGUGAUUAGUAAUUGGAAUAAAUACAGAUGUCUAAUCACAAUCCGACAGAAGGGAUUUAGACUUGAAAUCUGUAAGAAAAAUAAACACACAGUGAGAUAACAAUUCAAUACAGUAGCUAAUAUAAAACAGCAACCGAAAAUCACAAAUUCACAAAUGGAAAAACAGAAGAGAAAUGAAACCGAAACAGAAAAUUAAACCCGAGGCCUGCACUGGACAGUUUUCUUAAAACAGAUUUAUCACAUACUGUAUUGCUUUAGGUUUGCUGGUAACUGUUUCCCAUGAUACAACGGGUACGAAUUAUCCGUCAAGCACAAACUGAUAAUUCCGGCGAACCACAACAGCGUACAAGCUCGAUCAGAACAGAACAAUGAAAGGAAGAAAGAAAUUUUGGAGUGCUCUUUGUGCUGGUUUCAAUGUGUGUAAAAACAGAAGAGGAGGUGCCUUUUUAUACUCAUGUGAGGAUGUAACAGCAGCAUUGUAUUGAAUUUCUGAAUUCAAUAUAUGCCAUUAAAUAGUUAUAACAACCAAUUCAAUUCAAUCAAUUGAUUUAAAAAUUGAAUUCCAAAAAACGUGAAUAGUAUAACAGCUAAAAUAAUGGUUGUGAAGCUGUUACAAAUCCUUUGAAUUCAAAACGUGAAACUAUUACAACAAAAAAUUUAAAAGGAAAUUAAAAACAUGCCAUGCAACCUCGGAUGAUUUUGGGCUGACAUUCGCAUACACGUGGGCGCACACGAGUUCAACCAAAUCGGUCUUGGAUUUGCACCCCCUGCGCACGCGCAUGUGGAGAGAGUCUCUAUCCUUAUAAUUCUUAUUCAUGCACGGUUAAGUGUUUAUAAAUAAACACUAAUCCCUUGGCUUCUUUUUCCCAUGUGGGAUAAGCCUCAUUUUCCUUUCAAAUUUCCAACUUCAAGGGUGAACUUUGGGAGACAAUUUCUCAUUCACCCAAACACCAUUUUGAGAAAAUAAAAUUACACUUUUGAAGUAUUAACGGAAUAGAAUCCGAACCUCACAAGAUUUCUCACUUUCACUAAGUGGGACCCACUCAAAAUGUGCCCUCAAAAUAGCAUAUAGAUAUGCUAUUUUUUCAACAAAAUUUGCUGGAAACCUUUUUAUGAUCUACAGCCCAAGAUCUUCAAUGCUACGUGGAAUAUUAUGGUUGAUAACAAUGCCAACAGUAACAGUGGAUGAAAGACAUAGCCUUUAGACUUAUUUUUGGUUUUCAUAUUGAGCCAGGUGUUCAGCAAAUGCGAUGAGAGGUGCCCUCAUUUAAAUCCCUUCCUCAUUUGAUCAUAUUUAGCUCCAAAAGCACGCCAUACAUGUUGAGUUGCCUUAAUUUUCAGUUCUGUCUUCCCAGCUUGCGAUAAGUCUUCUAAUACAUUCAACGUUGUACACUCACCACCAUCCAUUAAGUUAACCUUCGCAGUGGAGUUAUGAGGUGUAUCAUCCAGGAAAGAUUUUGGAGUCUGCAACAUGCAUAAAAAGAGGGCAGAGGCUGGGAAAUAAGAAUUAAUCAAAGUACUUCUAUGGAUAGUGUUAAAAUGAACAUAAGAAAUAGAGGCAAGGAUCAAAAUGAAUAAUAACCUCUUCAAGCAGUAUACUUGAGGGAUUGAGAUCUCUGUAAAUAUUUUGCUUCUCAGAACUUUGCAUGGCAACCAGGGUUUUAGCAACUCCAGUGGUAAUUUCAAGUCUUUUAUCCCAAUAUCCUUCUUUGAUGGAAAAUGAUUCUGCACAACUAGGCAAUUCAAUGAUUACUAUAAAAAUAUCCAUAGAUAUGCAAUCUUUAUUUUCUUUUNNNNNNNNNNNNNNNNNNNNNNNNNNNNNNNNNNNNNNNNNNNNNNNNNNNNNNNNNNNNNNNNNNNNNNNNNNNNNNNNNNNNNNNNNNNNNNNNNNNNNNNNNNNNNNNNNNNNNNNNNNNNNNNNNNNNNNNNNNNNNNNNNNNNNNNNNNNNNNNNNNNNNNNNNNNNNNNNNNNNNNNNNNNNNNNNNNNNNNNNNNNNNNNNNNNNNNNNNNNNNNNNNNNNNNNNNNNNNNNNNNNNNNNNNNNNNNNNNNNNNNNNNNNNNNNNNNNNNNNNNNNNNNNNNNNNNNNNNNNNNNNNNNNNNNNNNNNNNNNNNNNNNNNNNNNNNNNNNNNNNNNNNNNNNNNNNNNNNNNNNNNNNNNNNNNNNNNNNNNNNNNNNNNNNNNNNNNNNNNNNNNNNNNNNNNNNNNNNNNNNNNNNNNNNNNNNNNNNNNNNNNNNNNNNNNNNNNNNNNNNNNNNNNNNNNNNNNNNNNNNNNNNNNNNNNNNNNNNNNNNNNNNNNNNNNNNNNNNNNNNNNNNNNNNNNNNNNNNNNNNNNNNNNNNNNNNNNNNNNNNNNNNNNNNNNNNNNNNNNNNNNNNNNNNNNNNNNNNNNNNNNNNNNNNNNNNNNNNNNNNNNNNNNNNNNNNNNNNNNNNNNNNNNNNNNNNNNNNNNNNNNNNNNNNNNNNNNNNNNNNNNNNNNNNNNNNNNNNNNNNNNNNNNNNNNNNNNNNNNNNNNNNNNNNNNNNNNNNNNNNNNNNNNNNNNNNNNNNNNNNNNNNNNNNNNNNNNNNNNNNNNNNNNNNNNNNNNNNNNNNNNNNNNNNNNNNNNNNNNNNNNNNNNNNNNNNNNNNNNNNNNNNNNNNNNNNNNNNNNNNNNNNNNNNNNNNNNNNNNNNNNNNNNNNNNNNNNNNNNNNNNNNNNNNNNNNNNNNNNNNNNNNNNNNNNNNNNNNNNNNNNNNNNNNNNNNNNNNNNNNNNNNNNNNNNNNNNNNNNNNNNNNNNNNNNNNNNNNNNNNNNNNNNNNNNNNNNNNNNNNNNNNNNNNNNNNNNNNNNNNNNNNNNNNNNNNNNNNNNNNNNNNNNNNNNNNNNNNNNNNNNNNNNNNNNNNNNNNNNNNNNNNNNNNNNNNNNNNNNNNNNNNNNNNNNNNNNNNNNNNNNNNNNNNNNNNNNNNNNNNNNNNNNNNNNNNNNNNNNNNNNNNNNNNNNNNNNNNNNNNNNNNNNNNNNNNNNNNNNNNNNNNNNNNNNNNNNNNNNNNNNNNNNNNNNNNNNNNNNNNNNNNNNNNNNNNNNNNNNNNNNNNNNNNNNNNNNNNNNNNNNNNNNNNNNNNNNNNNNNNNNNNNNNNNNNNNNNNNNNNNNNNNNNNNNNNNNNNNNNNNNNNNNNNNNNNNNNNNNNNNNNNNNNNNNNNNNNNNNNNNNNNNNNNNNNNNNNNNNNNNNNNNNNNNNNNNNNNNNNNNNNNNNNNNNNNNNNNNNNNNNNNNNNNNNNNNNNNNNNNNNNNNNNNNNNNNNNNNNNNNNNNNNNNNNNNNNNNNNNNNNNNNNNNNNNNNNNNNNNNNNNNNNNNNNNNNNNNNNNNNNNNNNNNNNNNNNNNNNNNNNNNNNNNNNNNNNNNNNNNNNNNNNNNNNNNNNNNNNNNNNNNNNNNNNNNNNNNNNNNNNNNNNNNNNNNNNNNNNNNNNNNNNNNNNNNNNNNNNNNNNNNNNNNNNNNNNNNNNNNNNNNNNNNNNNNNNNNNNNNNNNNNNNNNNNNNNNNNNNNNNNNNNNNNNNNNNNNNNNNNNNNNNNNNNNNNNNNNNNNNNNNNNNNNNNNNNNNNNNNNNNNNNNNNNNNNNNNNNNNNNNNNNNNNNNNNNNNNNNNNNNNNNNNNNNNNNNNNNNNNNNNNNNNNNNNNNNNNNNNNNNNNNNNNNNNNNNNNNNNNNNNNNNNNNNNNNNNNNNNNNNNNNNNNNNNNNNNNNNNNNNNNNNNNNNNNNNNNNNNNNNNNNNNNNNNNNNNNNNNNNNNNNNNNNNNNNNNNNNNNNNNNNNNNNNNNNNNNNNNNNNNNNNNNNNNNNNNNNNNNNNNNNNNNNNNNNNNNNNNNNNNNNNNNNNNNNNNNNNNNNNNNNNNNNNNNNNNNNNNNNNNNNNNNNNNNNNNNNNNNNNNNNNNNNNNNNNNNNNNNNNNNNNNNNNNNNNNNNNNNNNNNNNNNNNNNNNNNNNNNNNNNNNNNNNNNNNNNNNNNNNNNNNNNNNNNNNNNNNNNNNNNNNNNNNNNNNNNNNNNNNNNNNNNNNNNNNNNNNNNNNNNNNNNNNNNNNNNNNNNNNNNNNNNNNNNNNNNNNNNNNNNNNNNNNNNNNNNNNNNNNNNNNNNNNNNNNNNNNNNNNNNNNNNNNNNNNNNNNNNNNNNNNNNNNNNNNNNNNNNNNNNNNNNNNNNNNNNNNNNNNNNNNNNNNNNNNNNNNNNNNNNNNNNNNNNNNNNNNNNNNNNNNNNNNNNNNNNNNNNNNNNNNNNNNNNNNNNNNNNNNNNNNNNNNNNNNNNNNNNNNNNNNNNNNNNNNNNNNNNNNNNNNNNNNNNNNNNNNNNNNNNNNNNNNNNNNNNNNNNNNNNNNNNNNNNNNNNNNNNNNNNNNNNNNNNNNNNNNNNNNNNNNNNNNNNNNNNNNNNNNNNNNNNNNNNNNNNNNNNNNNNNNNNNNNNNNNNNNNNNNNNNNNNNNNNNNNNNNNNNNNNNNNNNNNNNNNNNNNNNNNNNNNNNNNNNNNNNNNNNNNNNNNNNNNNNNNNNNNNNNNNNNNNNNNNNNNNNNNNNNNNNNNNNNNNNNNNNNNNNNNNNNNNNNNNNNNNNNNNNNNNNNNNNNNNNNNNNNNNNNNNNNNNNNNNNNNNNNNNNNNNNNNNNNNNNNNNNNNNNNNNNNNNNNNNNNNNAACAAAAUCAUCUAUUUAUACAACACAAUGAAAACUAAAGUGCUGAAAAAUCUGCUACAUUUGAGCAUAAUAACUAAGUGCAGGAAAAUAACAUGAAGAAGUGGUCGCAGUCCUAAAAAAAUAGCAACAAAAAAACUGAUUUAGCUUCAUGAGUCAUUCCAGUCAAUAUUCUCCUCCUUGACACUGGAGCUGCAUACACCAAACGUUUAACUCAAGAAUUCAUAUCUAACCUUUGGAAGUGCUUUUGUUAAGAUGUCAGCACUUUUAUUUUCUAUUUUGCAGUAGAUCAACUGCACUUCUCCUUCUCUUUGUACCUCUCUUAGAAAAUAAAGUUUUAUCUUGAAGUGUUUUGUUUUGCCAUGGAACAUUGGAUUAUUAGCAAUUGAAAUUGCAGCUUGGUUGUCCACAAAUAUUUGUGUGCCUUCUUGUUGUUCCAUAUGCAAAUCUGUCAUAAGUUUCCUGAUCCAAAGAGCUUGAUUCACAUCAGCAGUAGCAGCAGCUACAUCUUCUGCUUCUGCUAUAGAAUGAGCUAUAACUUCUUGCUUCUUAGAAUACCAUGAAAAAAUCCCAGAACCAAAGCUAAAACAGUAACCUGAGGUGCUUCUCAUGUCAUCAACACAUCUAGCCCAAUCACUAUUAGAAUAUCCAUGAAGAUUGAAGUUUUUAACUUGAUUAAACCUUAUUCCAUAAUCAAUUGUGCCCUUAACAUAUCUAAGAAUUCUUUUUGCUGCCUGAAAAUGAAUUUUACUGGCACAGUGCAUAUACCUUGAUAGCAAACUCACUGCAUGCAUGAUAUCUGGCCUGGUUGCAGUUAAAUACAUUAGGCAGCCUAUUAGGCUCCUGUACAGCAUUUCAUCCACCUUUUCAGCUCCAUCUUCUUUGCAAAACUUCUCCUUUUGAUUCAUUAGAGUUGCAGUUGGCUUGCACUCUUCCAUGUUGAAUUUCUUGAGAACUUUGCAUAUUUUUGCUGGGAUAGAAAUAUUUCAUUUUCCUUUUGAUGUACCUGCAUACCAAGGAAAAAUGUCAUCCUCCCAAGGUCUGUCAUUUCAAAGACAUCUUUCAUUUCUUCUUUAAACCUGUCAAUCAACUCCUUGCUACUUCCUGUAACGAGUAGAUCAUCAACAUACAGAGAUACCACAAGUACUUCGUUAUCAGCCUUCUUGAUAUAUAAAAUAGAUUCACUCAGACUUUUUUCGAAGCCUAAGUUUGUUAAGUGUGUGUCAAUUCUGCUAUACCAGGACCUUGAUGCCUAUUUUAAAUCGUACAGGGCUUUCUUCAGUCAAUAGACCUUCUCAUCUUGUCCUGGAAAAACAAACCCUUCAGGUUGCUCCACAAAAAUCUCUUCCUCCAAGUAUCCAUUCAAAAAGGUUGAUUUGACAUCCAUUUGGUGUAUAACCCAACCUUGCUGUGCAACAAGAGCUAGCGACAUCCUUAUGGUAUCCAACCUGGCAACAUGGGCAAAAGUUUCAGAAAAAAUCUACCCCAAACAUCUGGGCAUAUCCCUUGACAACAAGUCUUGCCUUGUGCUUGUUUACAGAACCAUCAGGAUUGAGCUUGGUCAUGUAAACCCACUUGACUCCUAUAGCUUUCUUGUGUUCAGGUCUGUCUACCAAUUCCCAUGUCUGAUUCUUUUCAAUUAUUUUUAGCUCGUCCUUCAUUGCAGUUAUCCACUUCUGAUCAUUUGCAGCUUCUUCAUACCCUGCAGGCUCCAUUACAGCAAUAUUACACAUCUGAUAGAUGUCAGAGAGUGAUCUGGUUCCUCUAACAUUUUCAUCGUCCGUAUCAUCAUUCUCUUCGACCUCAAGCUUCUUGUCAUUUUCCCAACUCCAAUUAUCUAACUCAAAGAAUUGAACAUCCCUGCUGACGAUUACUUUGUUUCUUUGCGGUAAGUAAAUCUUGUAGGCUUUUGAGGUUGAGCUAUAGCCUACAAAAAUCCCAAGUUCUGCUUUUUUGUCUAAUUUGUCUCUCUUCACUUGAGGGAUGUAAGAGAAACAUAGACAACCAAAUAUCUUCAGAUUAAACAGCUUUGGUUUGUAGCCAUACCAUGCUUCAAAUGGAGUCUUUUUCUGUAAAGCUUUUGUUGGCAAUCUGUUCAAUAAAAAAACUGCAGUGUUUACGGCCUCAGCCCAAAAUUUCUUCGGCGGCCCUUUAUCAUGAAGCAAGCAUCUUGCCAUCUCCAUUAUUGUCCGGUUUUUUCUCUCCACAACACCAUUUUACUGAGGAGUGUAAGGUGUUGUCAGCUGAUGUUCAAUGCCUGCAUCUUCACAAAACUUGUUAAAUUUUUCAGAGGUAUAUUCCAUUCCAUUAUCAGACCUGAUCACCUGCAUCUUGCAUCUGCUUUGAGUUUCAACCCAAGCUUUAAACUUCACAAAGAUGUCAGCAACCUUAUAUUUAAGCUUCAUAAAAUAAAACUAGCACAUUCUUGAGUAAUCAUCAAUGAAAACAAUAUAAUACUUACUGUUAUUCAAAGAUGGUGUUUUCAUUGGCCCUCCCACAUCUGUGUGUAUUAAUUGCAACCUCUGUAUAGCCCUCCAGGUCUUAUUUUGUUGAAAUGGAAUCCUGGUUUGCUUUCCAUACUGACAGGCAGCACAUUUAGGAGACUCCUCCUCUAAUUCAGGCAAGCCUUUGACUAGAUUGUUGUUCUUCAUGUAGAGUAGAGUUAUAUGAUAGAAAUGCCCUAACCUCUUGUGCCAAAGCACUGUAAUGUUAUCUUCUCUAUGUACAGAAGCAUGCUCUUCUUUCAUUAAAUCCAAGGCAAAGCUUUUGCCUUUCAUUUGAACUUUGAAUACUUCUUUGUCUUUUGCAUCUUUGAUCACACAGUUCUUGUCUUCAAACAGCACCUUAUAGCCUUUUUCUAACAACUGAGUAACACUCAAAAGAUUUUGAUUAAUUUCAGGAACAUAUAAAACAUCAUAAAUCAAUUUCAGACCUGUAUGGCCUUCAAUCGCUACUGUUCCUUUACUUUUUACUGCAAUGUGUGCCCCAUUUCCAAUUCUGACUUUGGAAAUAGUAGUCUCAUCAAGCUCUUUGAAGAGCUCUCGAUCAUAAGUCAUGUGGUUUGUACAGCCACUAUCUAUAAGCCAACUCUCUGUGGAGCUGUUGGUGGCAAAGCAUGAUACCACAAACAGUUGUUCCUCUUGGAGUUGAUCCUUAAUAACAUUGGCUUCUCUUUGUUGUUGUUGAGUCUUGCAUAUCCUUUCCACGUGCCCUAACUGACCACACUUGUGACACUUUGCAUCUGGCCUCCACCAACACUUAUUUUGUGGAUGAUUGGUUUUUUUGCAGUAAGGGCAAGGUGAAAAGACAUGAGUGUUGCUGCUUUGGCUAUUUUUGUUACUGCUUGCAAAACCUCCAAGCUUGUUGUCUUUGUUCUGUUUUUUCUUAUUUUUGCCACCUUUAUUGUUUUGUGAUUUGGCUUGAAAAGCACCCUCCACAUAUCCUUCUUGUCUCAUAAGCCUCAUUUGUUCCAGUGCCUGCAGUGCAUUCAACAAUUCUGCCAAGGUAAUACUUGACAGAUCUCUUGAGUUUUCCAAAAAUGAAAUUGUAGCCUCAAACUUUUAGGAACUGUGACUAGGAUUUUUUGGACAACUCUAGAAUCAGAAAAAUCAAUGCCAAGGAGUCUUACCUUGUUGACAAUCUUAAAAAGUCUGUCAUAAUAUUCUUGAAUUGUUUCUGAUUCUUUCAUCUUUUGCAUCUCAAAUUCUCGAAUCAAAUUCAGCACUUGCAUCCCUUUGACCCUUUCAUUUCCUUUGUAUUCUUGCUUCAAAAAAUCCCAAAUUUCCUUGGUUGUUUUGAGCGUCAUUAUUCUGAUUUGUAGGCUAUAAAGAUAUCGAGAGAAGGCUGAUUUGCAGACUGCUAAAUUAUAUAUUUAUUGAGCAACAAAAUCAUCAUUUAUACAACAUAAUGAAAAUUAAAGUGCAGAAAAAUCUGCUACAUUUGAGCAUCAUAACUAAGUGUAGAAAAAUAGCAUGAAGAAGUGGUUAUAGUCUUAAAAAAUAGCAACAGAAAAAAAAAACUGAUUUAACUUCAUGAGUCAUUCCAGUCAACACCUUAGCAGUCCUCGUGCACACGAGCAACUGACUAUUACGAAUCUCCUCGAUCAUUGCUUUGAUCAUGAGGAGGCUACAAUCUCGCGGUAGCGUUUUAAUCACCCAAACAAAAACCCUAAAAGUUUUGAAUCAAAUUAACCUUAAUACAACAUACAUCACGCAUUACACUUCAAAAUUAACAAGAUUAAAAACGACUCAAUAAAACACCUUUUUUUUUUAUAAUAUUGACCAUGAUGAGUGCGCCUGCAAGUUAUUUGAGAAAUUGACUGCUAUGAGCACAUACGAGGCAAAAAGAAUCUUAUAUCAUGCACAUGUAGGCAGCAAGCAUUGAAAAUACAGAAACUAGCAGCAAUGGCUUGAGCGGAAACCCAUAAAAGAGAAUUGUCAUAAAUGCUAAGCAUAAGAAAAAGGCAGCGAAAUUGAGGGUGAUUAGUAAUUGGAAUAAAUACAGAUGUCUAAUCACAAUCCGACAGAAGGGAUUUAGACUUGAAAUCUGUAAGAAAAAUAAACACACAGUGAGAUAACAAUUCAAUACAGUAGCUAAUAUAAAACAGCAACCGAAAAUCACAAAUUCACAAAUGGAAAAACAGAAGAGAAAUGAAACCGAAACAGAAAAUUAAACCCGAGGCCUGCACUGGACAGUUUUCUUAAAACAGAUUUAUCACAUACUGUAUUGCUUUAGGUUUGCUGGUAACUGUUUCCCAUGAUACAACGGGUACGAAUUAUCCGUCAAGCACAAACUGAUAAUUCCGGCGAACCACAACAGCGUACAAGCUCGAUCAGAACAGAACAAUGAAAGGAAGAAAGAAAUUUUGGAGUGCUCUUUGUGCUGGUUUCAAUGUGUGUAAAAACAGAAGAGGAGGUGCCUUUUUAUACUCAUGUGAGGAUGUAACAGCAGCAUUGUAUUGAAUUUCUGAAUUCAAUAUAUGCCAUUAAAUAGUUAUAACAACCAAUUCAAUUCAAUCAAUUGAUUUAAAAAUUGAAUUCCAAAAAACGUGAAUAGUAUAACAGCUAAAAUAAUGGUUGUGAAGCUGUUACAAAUCCUUUGAAUUCAAAACGUGAAACUAUUACAACAAAAAAUUUAAAAGGAAAUUAAAAACAUGCCAUGCAACCUCGGAUGAUUUUGGGCUGACAUUCGCAUACACGUGGGCGCACACGAGUUCAACCAAAUCGGUCUUGGAUUUGCACCCCCUGCGCACGCGCAUGUGGAGAGAGUCUCUAUCCUUAUAAUUCUUAUUCAUGCACGGUUAAGUGUUUAUAAAUAAACACUAAUCCCUUGGCUUCUUUUUCCCAUGUGGGAUAAGCCUCAUUUUCCUUUCAAAUUUCCAACUUCAAGGGUGAACUUUGGGAGACAAUUUCUCAUUCACCCAAACACCAUUUUGAGAAAAUAAAAUUACACUUUUGAAGUAUUAACGGAAUAGAAUCCGAACCUCACAAGAUUUCUCACUUUCACUAAGUGGGACCCACUCAAAAUGUGCCCUCAAAAUAGCAUAUAGAUAUGCUAUUUUUUCAACAAAAUUUGCUGGAAACCUUUUUAUGAUCUACAGCCCAAGAUCUUCAAUGCUACGUGGAAUAUUAUGGUUGAUAACAAUGCCAACAGUAACAGUGGAUGAAAGACAUAGCCUUUAGACUUAUUUUUGGUUUUCAUAUUGAGCCAGGUGUUCAGCAAAUGCGAUGAGAGGUGCCCUCAUUUAAAUCCCUUCCUCAUUUGAUCAUAUUUAGCUCCAAAAGCACGCCAUACAUGUUGAGUUGCCUUAAUUUUCAGUUCUGUCUUCCCAGCUUGCGAUAAGUCUUCUAAUACAUUCAACGUUGUACACUCACCACCAUCCAUUAAGUUAACCUUCGCAGUGGAGUUAUGAGGUGUAUCAUCCAGGAAAGAUUUUGGAGUCUGCAACAUGCAUAAAAAGAGGGCAGAGGCUGGGAAAUAAGAAUUAAUCAAAGUACUUCUAUGGAUAGUGUUAAAAUGAACAUAAGAAAUAGAGGCAAGGAUCAAAAUGAAUAAUAACCUCUUCAAGCAGUAUACUUGAGGGAUUGAGAUCUCUGUAAAUAUUUUGCUUCUCAGAACUUUGCAUGGCAACCAGGGUUUUAGCAACUCCAGUGGUAAUUUCAAGUCUUUUAUCCCAAUAUCCUUCUUUGAUGGAAAAUGAUUCUGCACAACUAGGCAAUUCAAUGAUUACUAUAAAAAUAUCCAUAGAUAUGCAAUCUUUAUUUUCUUUUGUUCCUAGACUUCCUUCAAUUCUUCUGAAAACAUGAUUUUCCAACCUCUCCUUCUUCCUGGGCCAUUUAUCCUUCCAGUAGUAUCCCAGGGGAUUAACUCGGUAUGGAUAUGAUAGUUUCUCUUCAAAGCCCACCUGCCCGCAUAAGCACUGAAAAAUAGGCAACACAUAAUUGAUAACGGUAAAAGGGAUCAUAAAAUUUGCCCAGCAUGGCAAAGCAUCUUUUAUUCAAUCUUUCCCCAAAACUUAUAAUUUACCUCUUGUGAACCCAAAAAUGAAAAAAAAUAAAUAAAUACCAGAAUCAAUAUUGAUAAUAUUGCUCCCACUCCUAUUGUUCUUGAUAUAAAUUUGCUAUAAAUUAAAUGUCCCCACUAUCCUGUGGUAAAAGUUGUUGGAAAAAAUUAAACUGGUGUGAUUUGCUUCUAUUUGAGUGAAAUAUCAAGUGAGGUCAACAAAAGUAUUCAUAUAUUAAUAUGCCAAUAUGCUCUAUAAAUUUCAAUUAUACACUAUGUCAAACAAUCAUGCAUCAAUGAACUGAAACACUAAUAAUUGUAGGGAUAAUGCUUGAUACAUGCAUCUAUGCCAUUAUUGAACACCAAUGACCAACUAUAGAGCAAUGCCCUCCAUCUCUAUGUUGUUUCUCUUAGCCAGUUCCAGUAGCAACAGUUAGUGAUUGCCUUUCAGUUUGGCUAGUUGGGAAUUGAAUUUGAAUCACUAACCUGAUACGUGCAUCUCCAUCAUUAUUGAAAUUAGUGACCAAUUAAAAAUUAAAAACUGACAUAACAACCAAGACCCAACCCAUGUUUAAAAAAGGUUAAUUAAUAUAGAUAGAAAUUAAAUAAAAUCGAAUAAAGUAAGAUUACUGUGUCCAAGAAACCAUACCUUUAGAUCAUCGUUAAUAACACUCUUCAGUUGUCUGUGGUUGAGAAGGCUUUCUUCAAAAUGAUGAAGCAAGAAUUUUGAAGCUUCAAUGAGAAUAUUCGAAUUUGCAAUUUUAUGCCAAAGAAUCGACUCCAAGUUGCCCUUUACCGGUGCUCGCAAGCCUGACCCCAGAGGGUACUCGUUCUCUUCUAGCAUACCAAUCUCGCAAUCUUUAUCAAAUUCUGUCAUUUUUUUUUUCUUUCUUGCGAUGCCUUGUGUUGGUGAAGGCACUACUCAAUAACACAAAUCAGAGAGAAAAGCAACAUCCAUAAAUCUUCUUAGUCGAUUGCAGAGGGUAAUUGUUGAAGAGUGAGCUUUAAAAUUGGAUUCCAGAAAAAGUGUCGUCUUGUCGGUUUGUUGAAUAAGUGCCGAUUGCUUUGUUAGUUCUUGGCUGACCAGCAUGUCGUUGGAAUAAAGGAUAUUGCAGAUGACAAAUCAGCUGAGCUUCUUAAGUAAAGCGUGUGUGUAUCACGUGCACAUACUUAAACAACUUAGCAUGAAACGACGGAUGAGAUGAGCAUUUUGAUAUCACUUAUUAUCACUUAUUCAUGGCACAAGAUUUUCAUGUGUCUAAGGCUGUUAUAGGCUAUUAAUUAGAGUAGGAAAUUUCUGGGUUCAGUUGUAAUAGAUUCAGGUCACAGCUGGUGUGAGAGAAUCUGUCCAGAGUCCUCUAAAGUGUCAUAUAAAUAGCUUGUAUCUUCUUCAUAAGACUUGUAUCUUGAAAUCAGUGAUUGAAUGAAAAUCUGCUGCUCUGUUCUUCAGUGGAUGUAGGCUGCUCCAGCUGAACCAUUUAAACCUUUAGUCCUUUGAUUGAUUGUUUCUGUGUUUGUAUUCUCGUGUGUGUUGUUUUGCUAGUUUCUUUAAUUGAGUUUUAGAGAAUUUAGAUUGAUCUUGGAGUUUCUUGAUCGGUGUCAAAGCUGAUCUUAGAUCAACAAAUUGGUAUCAGAGCUUCAUCUCUGAUUCUUAAUUCAAGAAAUGACAAUAUCCAAGUUUGAGGUGGAGAAAUUCACUGGCGAAAAUGAUUUCCAUCUUUGGAGGUUCAAGAUGAAAGCACUGUUGGUUCAUCAAGGCUUAGAGGAGACAUUGGGGGAGCCAAGAACUGGCAAGAAACCAAGUAAGCUCACUGAUGAAGAAUUACAUAAUGCUCUAGAUAAGGCUUAUAGCACCUUAAUCUUGAGCCUUGGAGGUGGAGUGCUUAGGGAGGUGGGAGAUCAAACAAGUGUUGCAGGCCUCUAGAAGAAGUUAGAAGACUUAUACACCAAAAAGUCCCUAGCUAAAAGACUUUUUACAAAGAAGAGAUUGUAUACUCUAUAGAUGGAGGAAUGCAGCUCGUUAGCAAAUCACAUUGAUAAUUUUAAUAGGAUUAUUCUUAAUCUUGAAGACAUCAAUGUGAAGUUGGAAGAUGAGGACAAAGCAAUCAUCUUGUUAUCCUUUCUACUACCAUCCUACGAGCAUUUUGUUGACACAUUGUUAUAUGGGAGACAAUCUAUAAUUAUUGUAGAUAUAAAAGACUCACUUAGUUCUAAAGAAGUCACAAAGAAGGCAGAAACAAAUGAUGGAGAAAGUUUGAUGGCAAGGGAAAGGCCUGAGAAGAAAGAGAACAACAAAAAGAAGAAAAUGGGAAAAUCUAAGUCCAAGGAUAAGGUCUUGAAAUGCUUCCACUAUCAUAAAGAAGGGCAUUUCAAGAGGGACUGUCUAGAUAAAAAGAACAAGAGCAAAUAAGGGCAUGGAAAGAAUGGAUAUACUACUGUUGCAUCCGAGGAUGAUGGUUAUGACUCAGCUGGUGUCCUUUUGGCUUCUGAAACUCAAACAAAUAGUAAGUAUAUUUUUUAUUUUGGAUGUUCAUAUCAGAUGUGCCUUGACCAAAAUCUUUUUACUACUUAUAAUCAUUUUAAUAGAUAAGAGGUAAUGAUGGAGAAUAACUCAAUAUGUAAGGUAGUUGGAUUAGGAACCAUUAGAUUUAAGAUGUUUGAUAGGAUGAUUAGAAAGCUAAGAGAGUAAGGCAUGUUCCUGCUUUUAAGAAGAAUCUAAUCUCUCUAGGCACUUUAGAUCAAGUUGGCUGCUCCAUUAAGGUAGAAUUUGGUGUAAUGAAGGUAAUCAGAGGGUCCAUUGUGAUAAUGAAGAAGAAUAAGCACAAUGGUUUAUAUGUGCUUCAAGGCAUUGUUGUAACUGGAAAUGUCAGUGUUUCAUCAAGUCUGGGUUUGGAUAAGACUCUUAUGUGGCAUUUAAGAUUGGGACAUAUAAGUGAGAAGGGGUUGAGAGUUUUAGAAAAAUAGGGAGUCUUUGGGGAUGAUAAGUUAGGGUCUUUUGAGUUCUGUGAGGUUUGUGUCCUAGGUAAAUCCUCUAGAACUAGUUUUAAAACUACAGUGCAUAACACAAAAUGGAUCUUAGAUUACAUCCAUUCUAAUCUGUGGGGACCAGCACAUACAGUUUCUCUAGGUGGAGCCAAAUAUUUCCUUUCCUUUAUAGAUGACUAUUCCAGAAUGGUUUGAGUGUAUGUCUUAAAGAGAAAUGAUGAGGUCUUUGAGAAGUUUAAGCAAUGGAAAGCAUUGGUUGAGUUAAGAGGCUAAGAAUUGACAAUGGGUUAGAGUUUUGUAACCAGCAGUUUGAGGUUUUCUGUAACCAGAAUAGUAUAGCAAGACAUAAAAUUGUUGCUAACACUCCACAACAAAAUGGGUUAGCAGAAAGAAUGAAUAGAACCUUGAUGGAGAAAAUUAGGUGUUUGCUGAUACACUCAAAGUUGCCUAAGGCGUUAUGGGCUGAAACUUUAAUGACAGCUUGUUACCUAGUAAAUAGGAGUCCAUCCAGUGCCUUAAGCUUAAAAACACCAAUAGAAAUGUGGUCAGUGAGGCGGCAAAUUAUCUAAGUUUGAAGAUUUUUUGCUGCCCUGCUUAUGCACAUAUAAAGCAAGGAAAACUGGAGCCCAGAGCAUUGAAAUGUAUUUUCUUGGGUUAUCCAAAAGGUGUGAAAGGCUAUAAGCUCUGGUGUACUGAUUUAAAACCACCAAGGUGUAUCAUUAGUAGAGAUGUUUUUAAUGAAUAAAAAAUAUUGAGUAAAAGACAUGUAACAGAACCUGGAGAUACAGAUGAGGGUUCAAACUCACAAUGGCAACAUCUGAAGGUGGAUUUUCUAGGGAAGUUUACUCAGGACUACCAUGGUACAUUAACAGAUGUAGAUAUGGGUGAGACUGAGGAUGUCAAUGAUAUUUCUGGUGGUCAAACUGAAAUCCAGGACUACCAACUUGUCAGAGAUGGGUAAAGAAGAGAUAUUAAAGCACCAAAGAGAUUUGCAUAUACAUAUUUAAUCGCAUAUGCUCUAACAGUAGCUCAUGAGCUGGAGAAAUAUGAACCAAGAACUUACAAGGAAGCUGUUUCAGGAAAAGAUGCAGACAUGUGGAUAAGAGUCAUAAAUGAAGAAAUAGAAUCAUUAUACAAUAAUAACACUUAGAAACUUAUUAAAAAACUAGAAAAAAAUGAAGAUGAUAGGAUGUAAAUAGGUCUACAAAGUCAAAUCAGGCAUACCAAGAGUUGAACCCGAAAGGUUUAAGGCCAGGCUGGUUGCCAAGGGCUACACACAGAAGGAGGGUAUUGAUUUUACUGAAGUUUUUUCCCCUAUGGUUAGACAUGCCUCAAUUAGAUUAAUUCUAUCACUUGUAGCUGCUAACAACAUACAUCUUGAAUAGAUGGAUGUUAAAACAACAUUUUUCAUGGAGAGUUACUAAAAGAAAUAAUAAUGACUCAACCUGGAGGUUUUGUUGAUUAGGAGAAAGUUGAGUAUGUAUGCCUUCUGAAGAAAUCCUUAUAUGGUCUCAAAACAGUCACCUAGGCAAUGGUAUCUUAAGUUUAAUAACUUUAUGAUGAAGCUUUGUUUUCAAAGGUGCAAUUUGGAUUGCUGUGUGUAUUAUAGAAAGAUAUCUGUAGAGAAGGUUUACUUGGUUUUAUAUGUAGAUGAUAUGCUUAUUGCCAGCAAGAGCAUGAAACAAAUAGAUCUUUUGAAGCAGCAACUUAGAGGGGAAUUUGAGAUAAAGGAUUUAGGGCCAGCCAAGAAAAUACUAGGAAUGCAGCUUAUCAGGGAUAGAAAGUAUGGUAGCUUGUUUCUUACACAGGAGGAUUACAUCAACAAAGUGCUUGAUAAGUUUGAAAUGAGAACUGCAAGACCAGUUCAAACUCCUUUACUAGCUCACUUCAGACUAUCAGAACAGCAGUGUCCUAUAACUGAAGCUGAUAAGUCUGAGAUGAUGAGAAUUCCUUAUGCAAGUGUUGUAGGAUGUUUAAUGUAUGCUCUGAUCCUUACCAAACCUGAUAUAGCAUAUGUUGUAAGUGUAAUAAGCAGAUAUAUGGCAAACCCUCGGAAUGAGCAUUGGAAGGCUGUAAAUGGAUACUUAGGUAUCUAAGGGAAACAUCUGGAUAUGGACUAAUGUAUGGAGGACAGAGGACAGAGGUAGAGAUGGCAAAACCUCGGGCCGGAUCCGGGUAUUGCAAUGACCAAACCCUACCUGGAUGCAACCGGUCUGGGUCCGAGUCCGAGCCGGGUUUUAAUCCGGGUACCCGAAUUUAUAUUUUUUAAUAUUAUAUGUGUAUAUACUUUUUAUUUUUUGGUAAUCUUAUAAGUUUUAAAUUUAUUUUAAUAAAAUUUGACAUGAAAAUAUAAACUUUAAGUGUUUAAAACUUUAUAUAUGUAUAAUAAAUGAGUCAAAUAAAUAUAAAUAUUUAAAAUAAUAUAUAUUUUAUAAUAUUUUUUUAAUAAAAUCCGGGUUCCGAGUUUAUCAAGUGAUGCCCAAGACUGACCCGGCUUCAUACCCGGGCCGGGUAAUACCCGGCCCACAAUGUCCGGGUCCGGACCGAGCGGGUAUUUUUGCCACCUCUAGGCAGAGGGCAGAUGACAGUUUGAUCGUAGGUUAUGUGGAUGCAGACUAUGCAAGGGACUUGGAUAAGAGAAGAUCCAUUACAGGGUACAUAUUCACAUUUGACAACUGCACUAUAAACUGGAAAGCACAAUUACAAAGUGUAGUUGGUCUGUCAACUACUGAAGACGAGUAUACAACUGCUGCUGAGGCAAUCAAAGAAGUAAUAUGGUUAAAAGGCAUGUUGAAGGAGCUUGGGGUAGAUAAGAACUUAGUGGUGAUUCAUUGUGACAGCCAAAGUGUUAUAUGUUUAAGCAAGAAUCAAACACACCAUGAAAAGACUAAACACAUUGACAUUAAACUUCAUUUUAUCAGGUUGGAAGUAUCAAAAGCAACUGUAAAGCUUCAGAAAAUUCAUACAGAUAAUAAUGUUGCAAAUAUGUUAACUAAGGCUAUACCAGGAGCUAAGUUCAUGUUUUGUUUGAACUUAGUUGAUAUCUGUAGCAGAUGAAUUCCAAAUGGAUGAAGAGAAGAGUAGCAAGUUCAGGAGGUUUUCAAGCUCAAGGUGGAGAAUGUUGAAGUGUGAGCUUUAAAAUAGGAUACUAGAAAAAGUGUCGUCUUGUCAGUUUGUAGGUCCAUGGCCUCGGCCCCACUUGAUAAUGGUGAAUUAUGCUACACGUCCUUGUAACAGAGCAACACAAAGUUCAAACUUUAGUUAAUCGCCUAACUUUUUGGCAUGGAGAUUGCCGCCGGGGUUUCUCUCUGUCACAAUAACGUGCACUACUUAUUUUCUUACUGUUUUUAUAAUCUUUAGUAACUUUCUUGAUAAAAUUAUAUUAAAAUCAAAUAAACUCAUUCAAUCUCAAACUUUAAAAAAGAAAAUAGUCAAAUACAAAUAUAUAACACAUUAACAAUGCUGCUGUACGGCCAAGGCGGAUGUACGGUACAGCAGACAUCAUAUAAAAAGAAAGAAAAGUAAAAAAAAUUUAAGUAGUACAUAUAAGAAAUAUAUAUUUCGAUGUAAAUAAAAAUUAAUAAAAAAAUAUUUUUCUUUCAUUAUUUUUAAAACAUGUUUCUUAUAAUAAAUAUAUACUUUAUAUUCUUAAGAUAAAUUAUCUUCUUUCUUUUCCUUUAAAUUUUUAUGCCAGAGAUUUUUGAAUAUUGUGAAAAUAAUAGGUACAGCAGAUAUAUAUAUAUAUAUAUAUAUAUAUAUUCUAAGCUUAAUAGAAACAAAGCCGAAACAAAGUAAAAUAUAAUAAUGAACUCCUAAUUACAUGGAAAGACUCGAACCCUCUACCUUAAGGUUAAAAGAUGAAAAAUAAAAAUAAUAAUGAAAAUGACAGUUUAUAAAUAAUAGUUGAUAGUGUGUGAUAAAUACAAAUUUUAAACAAUUUUUUGACAAAAAUAAUAAAUAUGUUAUAAGUUAAUCAUCAUACAAUAUAUAAGAAAUUAACAAUUAACUACAACCCUCUAACCACAACAUGAACUAUUUUUCAUAUUGCAGUAAGGUUGUGGACCAUUACGGUCUAUUACAUGAACAAGUUAUGUCAUGCACCGCUUGGAAAAAAAAAAAAAAAGCCAAACGUGGCUGAUUUCAAAAGCAACAGCCAGUUGCCUGCUUCACCACUCCUCCACAUGCCAACUUCAUUCUUCGCUUGCCACAUGCAUAUUUGACCUGCAUGCUUCACUUGUGAGUCGAUGGCCAUGUAUAUAUAAUUGGAAACAAUUGAAAGCAACUCUCAUUUAUGCUUCCAUUUCCGAAGUGAAAUCAAAACCGAGAGAAGAAAAGAAGAAAAACCGAGAGAAAAGAGAAGGAAAAAGAAAAGAAAAGAAGAAAAGAAAUAGAAAGAAGCUGGGUGUGAGAAAUAAAGUGGAAUUAAGAGGAAAUAAUACGGAAAUUAGAACGGGAUGGUUAGAUUAAAUCCAGUUGAACCAGUGGGUAAUAGAUUUGUGAAACUUGAGCAAUUAUGUUACAGUUUGCAUGAUACGAUAAGUUAUUAUAUCAAUUCUUACAUUUAAUUUUCGAACCCUGUAUUUUAGGAGGAACUCGAGAAUCCAGGAACUUACAAUAGCCCCAACGAACCCCAGAGUGAAACAGGAUCUGUGAGUGGAUACUAUUAUUACUAUUAUGUAUUCCAUAAAGCAUUUAUGUUUGAUAUUAUGAUUUAAUAUCUUGUUAUGAUUAUAUGUACGCAUAUUAUAUGUUUGAUUGAGUCAUGAGAUGUGAUUGCCAAUCACCAUAUAUGUACCCGUCCCCGUAGAAUCUGCGCAUGCUUAUUGAGAGUUAGGUUACUCUAUCCGAGCGAUGUAGCUAAAUUCCACAGGAUAUUGAGAGGUUUUUCCCCCGCUCUACUCGUGCGAUGAUGAUCCUGACGAGCAUUGAGAGUUAUUUCCCCUAGGUACUAUUUGGUGCAGUUUGUGAUGUAUGUAUGUAUGAAUUCCAUGUUUGCUGAUGUGUGGUAUUCAAUGUGGAGUUAUGUUACAUGAUUAUGUAUAAGCGCUAGUACACAUACUUUAUUAUAAUGAUUACUGUUAAUAUUUUUAAUAUAAUAUUAUAUCCACUUACUGAGCCGCAAGCUCACUAUUUUCCUAUUUACCCACUUCCUCCCAGGAUUCCGUAGGAUUUCAUGCAGAUCAGUUCUAGUUAAUUGAGGUUGGGCCACGAGACGCAUUGCUGCAUGUCUAGCAUUUUGAGCACAUUUAUGUUGCUUAUGUUUUAUAUGUAAAUAUACAUGUAAUGUCAGUAUGUACAAUAAGACAUAAGUUAUGCAAGUUUUGAAUUCAUUUAUGAUUUCAAAAAGGCACAGAGGUGGUUAUGUGUUUAUAAGAAAGGUCAUAUUAUAUACAUAUUUUCAUGAAUUAAAUUUGUGCCACAAGUUUUUAGUUAUUAGUCCGCACGAUUCGCCUCAAAUCAGACAUGUAGGUCGGGGCGAGUCGUGUCAAGUUACAUAUGAGUAAAAUGAUAAAAAUGUCCUCACUUUAAUAUGUAACAUAUUCCUUUUACAAUAUUGCCAAUUUAAUAAGGACAGUGGCAGGGGCAAUCAACCUAUGCCCUCAAUUCUAAGAGCCAAAAAGUUCGAGGCUUCCAUUUUUUUUUUUCCAUCAAUUGUUUGGAAACAUGAUCCGCUUUUUUAUUUUCUUUUAUUGAUUUUUCUUGAUUUAUUGUUAUUUAUAUAUUUGUUAUAUUUUAUUUGAUUAGUAGUCUGUCUCCUUAAAUUAAUAGUGAUAAGGUUCUUAUAUGAUUUUUAUUUUCUUACGUUAAAAAAUGAUAAUUCUAUCAUAAAGUUCCUCUCACACAAAUAAGCCCUUAAAGUGAUAUAAUAUUAAAUAAUCUCUUGUCGCAACAUGGUAGUGUUAAUACAUGCUUCUUUUCGUAUUAUCUAAGUUAAGAAUAAGGCCUUAUAGUAUAUUUUCUUCAUACCGUUAUAGGAUAUGUGACAAUAAAGUAAAUAUGACACGUCACAGUGGUUUGUACAAUAUUUGUAUAUUUAGCAUUAUUCAAUAAAAGAAGAGAAAAAAAAAAGUUUUGAUCUAAGAAUGAUGAUGUUUUUAUUGAUGUCUCAUGUAUGUAUUACAAUAUGAAGGCUACCAAUAUUAUUUUCAAUUAGAAACUUGCUGGAAUUAUUUAAGAUCAAGUUCAUUAUAGCACAGUCCAAAUUUGUACAUACAUUCACGUAUAAUUGAGGGUAACGACUACAACUCCGUUAAUGGCCGAAUAAUUUAUGGUACUUGAUUCAACUAGUAAAUUUUCAUCAAUAAUAUAACAAUCGAUACCCAGAAGAUUUUUUUGUAGUAAUUUUACUUUUAAAAUAAAAAAAAUAAUGUAGCAGUAUUUUUGGGCGCUUCGCCUUAUUUUGGAGCUAAUAGAUACUUUUUUAAAAAGGAGUAAGUUAAAGUGUCUAAAGCACUAGACCCGUCCACUGCCCCUUUAGUUGUUCGUAAGUUGUGCACUGAAAGUAGAAUUUGUUGUCGAAGAGAGAAUUUCGUCGAACGAUCUAAAUCUAGCCAGUGAAUGUCGGAAAUUUCUAUGAAGUUACCAGUCUGCUUGAAUUUGAAAGCUCCCGCUCCCUAACGCAGAACAAAAACUCCGAGGAAUUUCCACGAAGAGCCCUAAACAGCUGUUUAUGACUGUAUGGAAAUUCUUUAUCACCACCCUCAUUAAAUUUAUUAGAAAAUGUGGUUAAAUAGUACAUUAAAUAGGUGAAAAAUAAAGACGGCUUCCCUAUCCUCAUUGGCCCCAUGACCAUCCUUAUACACAUAUCACAUGAGCAGGUUACAUAGUAUGAACAUAGAAAAAGAAAAUUUCUGCGAGGUUUCUUUCUUUACUUUUUCUUUUUUCAAAGAAAGCUUCUAUGAAGUCUUCCAAUAAUGGUGGUGGCCCCAUUACCUUCUUUAUUAAGACAUGUCACGUGAGCAGACAUGGGCAAAUCCAGAACUUUAUAUUUCUCUAGUUAAAUUAAAAAUUAUAUAUUUUGAAGUGAGAAUAAAAAUUUAUUAGUAAAAAGAAGUACAUCAAUUAAGGGGGUGUACAAAGAACAUUACCUCUAUAAAUACUUACUUUAAACAAAAAUAAUUAUAUAAAAAAAGGUAAAAAAAAAAAAGACAACUCAAAAAUAAAAGCACUAGUUUUCAAUUAUAAAAUCUGACAUUGCAAUCUAUAAUAACAUAUAAUUAUAUAAGGAUUAAUAAAUUAAUUAAGAAUUUCAAGCUAAAAUAAAUCAAUACAUGUAAUUACAAUCAAUUAAAAAUUAUAAGUAAAACAUUUAUGUUUGAAGUCAAGUACUUAAUUACCAAGUUUAAAUAAAUUAAACAAUUAAAAUGUAUUUAUCUUUUUAAAUUAUAAAAAUAUUACUAGUCAAAAGUUUCAAUAAUAAACUAAACUCAACCUAGCAAAAAAGUAUUUGGGCGUCGUCGUUUCUUCAUUAGGGACUCUGACUCUCUUUGAAGAACCAGAUGCUGAUGAUUCUUCUAUCAAAACAUCCUCAAAAUAUUCACAUUUUAUUUUCUAACAUGUCCUCCUAAUUAAUGUAACUAAUAACUAAAAUUUCAAAGUUUACGUAAAAAGUGUAUGAGAACAUAUAUUGUUUUGUAAGUAAUGGCAUAUUUUCUUUCAAUUAAAUUUUUUUAAAAUAAAUUAAAGCAAUAUUAAUAUUUUAGCCCCCUAAUGUUUUAAAUUUACUCAAUAAAUAUAUAAUUAAUUAUUUUAUAAAAUAAGUCACUAAUUCCAAAUUGGAACAAAAUACAAUUGAAUUAGAGACAUAUUUUAAAAUAAAAUAAAAACUCUAUUAUUGUAUAAAACUGAUGAAAAAAUAAGGAGUAUGUAUGAUUUUUUUGGACUAGAGGUUGGUCUAGUCCAGCUGUAUGUCUGCCACUGUGAGCAGGAUGUAUAGUAUGAACAUAAAAAAUUUUCUCCAAAGACACGAAUUUUGAUAUUAAAAAAAUUAGAAAAAGAUAAAUUUCUACAAAGUUUACUUCUUUUUCUUUUCUUUUUUUGUUUUUUUCAAAGAUGUCAUGAAGACUUCUUGUGACGAUGGUACCUGCCUACCUGUGCAAAGGGCCCCAAGGGCUAACGUGCUCGCGGAAUUGGACAUAAAGGGAAGUUACCACACAAAAUAUAGCUACCAGUCUGUUUAUUACACUAUAUUAUUGAUCGAAGAAAAGUAAUUUAAAAAAAAAUUCAGAUAUGUUUGCGAACUGAUUUUGAAGGUUAUUUAUAAGACUUUCUAUUUCCAAUAUUAAAGAAAAAAAAAGAAUUAUCUCAUUUUCUCACACGGGGAUUUGUAAGUUUUUAUUUAUUUAUUUAUUUUUAAGUAAUAAUAUGCUUAUUCACUUUAAAUACUCAAUUGAGAUAUUUAAUUAUGAGAAAUCUUAUGUGUCAUCUAUUGAAUGAAUUGUAAAAAACUUAAUAUAACAUUAAUUAAUCAUACACAUGAUAUUAAAUGAUUGGUGACAUAUCGAUAAAUAUUCCAGCUAAGUAAAUAAUUCUUAACUUUAAAAUAUGCAAAUCAACUUUCUUAUGACCUCUGUCAAGAAGAAUUAGGAUCCUCACCUAGUAUUUGUCUCUCCCAGACUCCAACCCUUUGUUUAUAUUUGAUUUUAUGAAUUUUUAAUUAUUUUACUUAAAAAAAAAAUCACAAAAUUUACAAAAGAACAAAAUUUUUUAUUAAUUUUCAAAAUUUUCUUCAAACAUUUUCCAAAAUUACAACGUGAUAAAUUUUCCUAAUUGUCCACAAGCUCGAAAGUUGAAAUUAUAAAAGCAUUUUUUUAUUUGGAAAUAGGUGGACCCCUCAUCGUCAUCACUCAAUUGUGAAUACUGUGUUGUAAACUUUUUGAUAAACGGGCAGUUUCAGCUGAUAAAAUAAGUUGCUUUAUUGAUUUAGAAAGUAGUUUGGUAUUUAGUAAAUUAUGUUGUUGUGAGUUUAAAAAAUAAAGUAUGUGCAUUUGAUAAAUUUUAUUAUAUAUUUUUUAUUAUAUGAUGAUCAAAAUAGACAUAAGUUUAAAAGGUUUUUAUUUGUAUAUUAGGAUUUAUGAAAAAAUAAUAUAAGUUAUUUUUUUGUUAAAAUAUUAAGUUUGUAAUAAGAACUUUAAAAGAUAUGGUGACUUAUUUAAUAAACUACUUAUAAAAAAUAAUUCCUUACUUUUAGAAAUUGUAAUCAAAGUGGAAAAACUUGUAAAAUAUAUAUAUAGCUUGUUAAAAAUUUAUCAGGUAUCCUUUUUAUUAAAAAUUAUGUGUUAAACCGCUCGCUUAUAGCGUUUUAACCUCGAUUCCAAAUAAGGCAUAAAAUUCAUAGGCAAAAAUAUGAAUUUACGAUGACUUACAAGACGUCUUGUGCAAGUUAAACGCGCAAAGACGUCCUGUGCAAUGUAGAAGCAUUCCCAUAUGCUUACCCCUUCAUCCCAUCAAAAUUACUGAAGGGAAGCUUUCUUCCGAUCUUUCUAUGAUAUUGAUGGGAUGCAGGGGUACGUAUAAUAUUCAUGUGAUGCAGCGGUACGUUUCCGAAUUCCGAUCUUUCUCGAACGCGUGCUUAGGGAAAUAUCACCUCGUUAAACUUCAUGGGAAUUUUCUAUAAAAGAGGGGAAAAAAAAGCGAAGAACAGGGAAACUUCCUCCCUGGGCUGUCCCACUCUUAAAAAGGACGCCAGAGAGAAGAAUUACGCAGAUUCAGUGUCAAUCAUGUCUAAUGAAUUGAUAGAGUUAACCAAAAAGGACAAUAUUCAGGAAAAGGAUGGUUGCACAGCAAUGCACAAAGCCCUCGUGGAAGGGGAUGGUGAGGUGGUUCAUUUUCUCGGAAAGCUUGAUCUCGAAUCUCGUCCUGUUGUAGAAGACAACGGGUUGAUGACGCCGCUACACAGAGCAGCUGUCGAUGGUGAUGGUGGCGUGAUUACGGAAAUAGCAAGCUCGGAAUCCCUUGCAAAGCUGACUUCCAAUGAUGAGACAGCUCUUAUCCUUGCAGUGAAGAAUUCUCAAAUCGAUGCUUUUAAAAUCUUGAUGGAGGAGACAAAGAGACAUAACCUGGAGCAUCUCUUCAGUGCGACAGAUAAGGAGGGCAACAGUAUUCUGCAUCUUGCUGCGCUGAACAAAUUAAUCGUGGUAAGCUCUCCCUGCUGUCUCUCACACUGUCGCAAAGACACACAAGACUUUUGAUUACCAAUUAAUUUGUACAUGGAGAAAUUAACCAUAGUCUUAGGUAGAUCAUGAUAGACAUAAUAUCUAUAAGAUUGAGGAGGCCAGUAGCUAGCUAGUGUCAACUCUAGAGAAUUUGAGGCGAAAAUUUUGUUUCAAAGCCUCUUUAUCUUAGGGUUAUGAUAAAACUGCUAGUUACAUUUACGCAACUCUAAUAGUUCAAUCGCAUAUUUAACAAAUAUAUAUACACAUAUACAGUUUAGCAAUAUAUAUAUAUAUAUAUAUAGCUAAAGGUAAGGGAAAAAAAGAAUUAGUUUAAAUGAGGGAAAUUUGUUUAUAAAAUUUCAUUUGAAAAAUAAAAAGUUAAAAGAUUUCUUUAGGAAAGAUUAAUUUAGAGGACUUUAUAUUAGGAACUAGAAAGUAUGCAGAUAUGUAAUAAAAUUUACUUAAUAUUAAUUAAUAAAUUUUUAAAAAUAAACUUCAAUUAUUCAACAAUUUAGGGGCCUAAAUUGAUAGUUGCCUCAGUUGCUAAGGCCAAAAGAGAAAAAUGAAUAUUCUUACUUUGUUAAAGUGAGAAUGUCACUAAAAUACAAAUAUAUAUAUAUAUAUAUGUUUUAAUACUUUAAAACUAAGUUUUAUUAUUUUUUAGUACAUUGAUAUUGUAUUUUUUUUUCGUUUAGUAGUAGCAUCCUCACUUUAUUAAAGUGAGGUUGUCGCAAUCAUUGGGAAAAUUUGUGUGGGUAGGUGCACUAUUCAUCGAGAGCCAUAAUUUAAAUAACAAAAUAAUAUUUAUAUUCUAUUCGAAUUAAGUCUUGGGUAUUUUUGUUAUGACUCCCUCAACUAAAAUCCUACUUCCCCACUCUGUUCAGGCUUCUGCCUGCUUCUGCCUCUUUAUGAUGUUUAAUAAUUGCAGAUUGUGAAUCUACUUCUUGAGAGUUCCUGCAGUCACAAAAAUCAAAUCAAUUCCAAAAACAAUCAAGGACAGACAGCCUUGGAUAUAUGCAAUGCCAAUUCUGAAGAUAGAGUUUCCAAAGAAAUUGGCUCGAUCCUUGAAAGGGCUGCUGCUCGGCAACAAAGUGCUCAUUUUCCAGAACUCCCCACCGAUACCACUAGUGGCUCCUGGAAUUUCACACGGUUUCCGAUAGAGACAAGAAACGUAAUACUGAUGGUCCUAGGAAUGAUUGCUACAGCUUUUUUCACCUCAGCCUAUGAUUUGCCAAAUGGCUUUGUUAAAGGAAAUCAUCCUCAAGGUAAAUUAAACUUAUUUAUGGAGAAAAAUUUUCUCUUAAAGGAAUGCUUAUGACAAAAUACAUUACACUAAAGUCUAUACUUCUUCUUUUUUUGGACUUUUACUUGUCCUUAUUUUAUUAAGAUAAGACAUUUCUUUUUUGUAAAAUUACUAUAUCUACAUAAGGGCAACUUCUUUUUAGCAGAAUCUUGCAGUUUGCCUGCUUCCUUUCUCAUGGAAGAUUUUAUAUGGAUAUUUUGCAGGUGAAAAUUUUGAUGCUAAGGAUGUUAUAUCCGGUAAGUUACCAGCGGUUGUCUACCUGAUGGUUUUCAAUUCGGCUGGGUUUAUUACUACUAUGGCUGCAAUUACCAUACUUGUAUGGCCGCUACAACUUAGAACAAUCCUCCUCUUUCUUGUGAUCUGCAUAUGUGUUGUUUAUGUUAUGUUUGUGGAUGAGGUCACGCCUAAGUUCAAUGUAAGUGUUGGGAAAUUCAGCGUUUCAAGCAUUGCUUUGAUGUGGUCACUAGUCGCAGCCCUUUCUCUCUCAGGAAUCUCUAUACUGAGUAUGCUGGGGAAAUACACUUCAUCCCUUUGGCGAUUCAUUGUCUGGCUGUCCAUGAAAAGAGCAAAUUGGUGGAGCAACAAUACUGUUGAAGAUUUAGAGGCUAGUUCAAUUUGAUGAUAGAGUUCAAUUUGAUUCUUUUCCUUUUUGUAGAAAUAAGUUGUUAGGAAAAUGUAAAAAGAAAGUUCCACUGAAGACAAACGUUGCUUAGCGGAUUCACUAAGUGAAAAUAGCUUUAUUCUUCUCGUUUUCCUAAUUUUUUCCUGGAAAGUAUAAAAAUCUAUUGUGUGUGUUUCUUCUAUGGAUUAGGCCUAUAUUCGCAUAACAACAUAAAUCUUUGUCACUUGUUUUUAUCUCAAAUUGUUACUGGAUUUAUUAGAUUUCUUGAUUUCUUUUUUCCUUUUUCCUUUUCAUUAAUCAAACUGAUCUCCGGAGUAAUUACAUAGGAUCUGAUUACCGACUUAAUCUCUGGAAGCGGCUGGUAUGAAAGCGCGCAAUGUUCUCUCUUUGAUUUAUCCAAGGAAUGGCAGCAACUAAGUUCAUUGAAUAGGGAAAAUGAUUUUAAUGAUUGGAGAGUAAAGAUAUGAUGAUUUUAUUGCUUCCUCAAGGGCUUGGAAGCUCUCUACGAGGAUUCAAACAUACAUUCGAAAUAAAACUUACUGAUGAUAAAAGAAGAGGUGACUUUGACUCUUUGAGAAGGCACCUGCCGGCAUAAUCUUGGGUUUGAGGUAAAGUUUGGAAGAGAUAGCUAGUGACAUCAGCAAAUCUCUUAAUUUGGAGAGAGUAUAAACUUAAUUCAUAGCACUAUCUAUGCUUUAGGGUUACUUACUGAUAACGUUUCAACAUUCGAUAAAGAAUAUUCGCAUCGUCUGUUCUAUUUAUCCAACCUUGCUGCUUUCUAGCCUUUUUUUUUUAAUAAUAGAUUUUGGAUGGAAAUGAGGAAUCUUAUUCACUAUUCUUACUUUAUUUUAGAUAAUUGUGAGCACAAAUUAUAUUCACAACAACUAAGUAAAAACAUUAAAAUAACUUAAAAUAAACAUACGAACUCUCGAGUUGACUAACAACUCUACCCCUAAUAAUUUUAGUAACAAACGAUUUUUGAUGGAGAUAUAGGUCAAUGCAUCAAUGUUUUACAAAAAUAUAUGAACUAAACAAAUAUUCAUUCUAUAGAAUUUUAUGAUAGGUCAUAUAAUGAUUAUAUUUAUAUGAUUGCGUUGAUCAAUCACCGAUAAAGAUUCUAACAAUACUAAAUUUACUUUAAAUGAUAAACAUUCUAAGUUUCUAACAUUACUAAAUUUGCUUUAAAUGGACACCUAUAAUUGUCUGUGGUGGCUAAUCUAAUUUGUUUACUAAGUUUUUUUUCAUUGUUUAAUAAGACAACACCAAAUAUAAUUUUAUUGAACUUUUCUAAUUUAUCCUAGCGCAAUUUUGUUUAGUGCACUCGUGGCCAAGCAGUCUAACAAAAAUGCCUUUAUGGGUUUGUCAUUUUUCUUCGACACACCAUAAUCGUGUACGUGUAAUUUCCAAAUUCCAAUCCAAAAUUCCAAGACCCACGUUAAGGCGAAAAGCGGGAAUGCAGGAGGAAACUCUCAAGUUAUAGCAUACAUCUCGAAGGGAAUUACAGCAUAUACACCUCGAUACUUUAAAAAUUAUCUCAAUACCCUAAAAUCAGAAUUUGCCAAAAUUUUCAUCAAUACCAUUUAAAAAACUGAUAGGAAAUUACUAAACUACCCUCAUUUUUAAACACUUCAACUCAAACGGCAUCACCUCUGCUCAAACAAACAAACACUCAUCCUCCAUUCUCAAUUCCUUCACCUCUGCAAUUCCCUCACCGGCAUCACAUCUACUCAAACAAACACUCAUUCUCCAUACAUGCUAAAUCGAACAUCAAUAUGAGCAAACUGAGCCUGAGAAGGGGAAGAUGCCACAACUGAGAAAGAGAAGCCUAGUUUAUCACUACACAAUCGCCGGCGAGCGCUAAUCCUUUAUUGUAAAAUUAUCAUAAUGUAACUACUUAAGGUAAGUAAUUCCCUCUAAUUAGUUUUCUUGUCGAUAUUUAGGGAAAAAACAAAAAUUUAGGGUUUUAUAUUGAAAAAAUAGAUUAAUUAGCUGUGGGUCUCUCAUAACAUGUUCGAAAAUAAUUUUUUAAUUGUUUUGCUACAUGCGAAUUGUGAAAUUUUGAUGGAUUAUGCCGAUUAUAAUUUCGUCAUAUAACACAUGAUUUGGUCGUGUAAGGUUAUGUAAGAUUUAAGGUUGUGUAUUACACGACCUUUAUGUAUUGUACGAUUACACGACCUUUAUGUAUUGCACAAUUACACGACCGUCAUGUAUUGCACGAUUACACUACUUUCAUGCAUUACACGACUAUUACGACUUUCAUGUAUUACACGACCUUCAUGUAUUACUUCUAAAUAGUUGAGUAUUGUUUUUUGAAUUGAUUAAGAGUUGUUUCUUGAGGUUUGAUUUAUUUUUAUUAUUUCUAAAUGGUGUUCUUCUGUGUAUUUAAUUGUAGUCAAUUUCCUAUAAUUGAUAUGUUUUUUUCUUAAUUGAUUUCAUGGAAUUAUUAUAUGCAGGCUGUCCUCAUGUAUGCAUGUAUGCUUGGGAAGAGGAAGAAAGCACUUUCAAGAUAAAAAAGAAUAAAAUGGUUGUAAUAUAUUUAAUUGCGAUGCUCAUUAGUGUAUUCUAUCCAAAUAUUGAAAAAUUUGUGCACUGAUAACUUUGUUUAUUUAUACUAAUGAAUCUAAUCAUUUCUCAAAUUGUCCGAUGCGCAAAUUUAGUGGACUUGCUACAAUUUAUGAACCUAAUUAACUGUAAGUACAUAUUAUACCAUAUAAAAUAUCAUAUAUUUAACCGUUACUAAGAAAUGCUUACAUGCUUGCCCAGAACUAGUACUUAUAAACUGACUAAACAAAAAACCUUUUUAAAUGAAAUCAAUUAAGUUUGAUUUCCCUUUAUUGAAAACGAGGAUAAAUCAAUAUUAACAUGAUACAUAAAUUGACAUCUAAAAAAAUUAAGUUCUUUCAUAAUGCAACAAAUUUUAGUCGAAAAAUUAAGUUCUUUCAUAAUGCAACUAUCUUCUCCACCAAUUCAGCAUAUGUUGUUGAUCGUGGUAUCAUCAUCCCUUUAGCCUUAGAAUCUUUGAACUUAUACUCGUCAUUUUGCUCAAUCCAUUCACCAUUGAAGAGAAUAAGCGCACGUACCAAAAUCAUAUCUGAUGAUACAAUAAAAAAACAAUAUCAAAUUUCAUAUACAAGUAACUACAUGACCUACACGACUACAUUACUUACAUGACUUACACGACCUACACGACUAUAUUUACUUACAUGACUUACAUGACUUACACGACCUACAUGACGUACACGAUGUCAAAAGGAAUUUAUGACGCAAAACAUUUUCACCAUAAAUAAAUUAUAUUGCUGAAAAAAUAAUUAAACAACCUACAUUGCAUAUAUUUCUGCAUAUAAGAAAAAAUGGUGAAAAUAAUUAAAAAUAAAACAUUAUAAUGUGAGAAAAUUUUCUAAAUUUUCCUAAAAAAAACACUUUGAUCACUGCAAAUGGUGUUCUUCUGUGUAUUUAAUUGUAGUUAAUUUCCUAUAAUUGAUAUGCUUUUUUCUUAAUUGAUUUUAUGGGAUUAUUAUAUGCAGACAGUCUUCAUGUAUGCAUGUGCUUGGGAAGAAGAAGAAAGCACUUUCAAGAUUAAAAAAAGAGAGAAUAAAAUGGUUGUAAUCUAUUUAAUUGCAAUGUUUAUUAGUGUAUCUUAUCCAAAUAUUGAAAAAUUUGUGUACUGAUAACUUUGUUUAUUUAUACUAGUGAAUCUAAUCAUUUCUCGAACUGUCCGAUGUGCAAAUUUAGUUGACUUCCUGCAAUUUAUGAACCUAAUUAACUGUGAGUACAAAUUAUACCAUUUGAAAUACCAUAUAUUUAACUGUUACUAAGAAAUGUUUACAUGCUUGCCCAUAACUAGUACUUAUAAACUGACUAAACAAAAAACCUUUUUAAAUGAAAUCAAUUAAGUUUGAUUUCCCUUUAUUGAAAACGAGGAUAAAUCAAUAUUAACAUGAUACAUAAAUUGACAUCUAAAAAAAUUAAGUUCUUUCAUAAUGCAACAAAUUUUAGUCGAAAAAUUAAGUUCUUUCAUAAUGCAACUAUCUUCUCCACCAAUUCAGCAUAUGUUGUUGAUCGUGGUAUCAUCAUCCCUUUAGCCUUAGAAUCUUUGAACUUAUACUCGUCAUUUUGCUCAAUCCAUUCACCAUUGAAGAGAAUAAGCGCACGUACCAAAAUCAUAUCUGAUGAUACAAUAAAAAAACAAUAUCAAAUUUCAUAUACAAGUAACUACAUGACCUACACGACUACAUUACUUACAUGACUUACACGACCUACACGACUAUAUUUACUUACAUGACUUACAUGACUUACACGACCUACAUGACGUACACGAUGUCAAAAGGAAUUUAUGACGCAAAACAUUUUCACCAUAAAUAAAUUAUAUUGCUGAAAAAAUAAUUAAACAACCUACAUUGCAUAUAUUUCUGCAUAUAAGAAAAAAUGGUGAAAAUAAUUAAAAAUAAAACAUUAUAAUGUGAGAAAAUUUUCUAAAUUUUCCUAAAAAAUAAAAAAACUUAAAACCUAACAACAUUAACAUACCUUAUUGGGUUGUUUAAUAAACAAUGCAUCUCCUUUGAGUUAAAGAAAGAGUAGGGGUUAAAGAAAUGAAUACAUAAUUGUAUUUGUGUAAGAAGUUAUGAGAGAUUUUAGGGGAUUUUGAGAGAAUUUCGACGGUAAGAAGAGAUGUGGGUGAAAAAAAUAUGAAGAUAGUGAAAUUGAGUGAAUUUGAUGCAUUCAUUAAGGGUAUUUCAGACUUUACACACAUUUGUCAGGGUAUCCAUGAAAACUAAAAAGUGAGGGGGUAUUUAAAAAAAUUUGUAAUUAUUGAAGGGUAUUUAAUUAAAAACCCCUACAUCUCGUUUAAAUUUGGGAGCAUCUUGGAAGUUACAUUGAAGGACCCACACGCAAAAAUGCCUUUUUGCUUUGUUAGGCGGCAUUCGUUUUUUACCUUAAAUAUGAAUUGGUCUUAAUGUUACUAAAAUCUAAAUGAGUCUAAAUGCACAUGUCAAAAUAAUAUGUUUGCUUUUUAUUUUUUAAUGUCCGAACGUAAGUUAUAAGUUGUUUGUUUUUAUAAAAUCAAAAUAUCUUAAAUCUAAUGCUUUUUCACUUGACUUUGAAAGUAUUAUAUAUGCAUGAAGUUUAAAUAUGUGUAUGUUUACAAUAAAAUAAUUUUUAUAUGUUAUAAAUAUUUAUAACAUAAGAAUUUGAUAUAUAAUUUAUAAAAAAUAAUUUUGAUAACAUCAUUUUUUGCAAUUUUACAUAAUAUUAUACAUAAAAAAUUGUUAUCUAAUAAUAAAAAAAUUGUUUAAAAUUCACAUUGAAUUUAUGUUAAGUAUUUAAUACCAAGUAAGAUUUGAGAACAAGGAAAAUUCUAAUAUGAUAUCUAAUAGUUAGGUGGGCAAUAAAUACAUUUAAUGAGAGUAUUUGUGAGAAAAAAAAUUAAAUUUUUUCAGAUAUUUUAUCAUUUGAAUGAAAGUCAGGAAAUUUUAUUUUUUCUAUUCAAAUAAAAAUGUCCUAUAAUAAGACUUCAGUUACAAAAUAAAAAAAAUCAAAAUAUCAAAACAUCUUGACUUAAGUCAAAUUGAGAUUUCAUACAUAGAAACAAACAUAUCCUUACACUUACCAUGUAAUUUCCAAUCAAAUUUUCCAAAAGUCAGGCGUAAGCAAGGUGAAGACGCGGCAAUGCAGAAGGAAAUGCGCUGGUAACCCCGUGAACUAAAGUUAUUUGGGAAAUUUACAGUAAUAACCAUUAAAGUUUUGAUUUUUUUCAUCUUAACCCCUCAAAAAUAUUUCUAUCAACAUUAGCCAUAAAAUAACUUUUGAGACCAAAAUACCCCUCCUUCAUCUCUCCCCCAAAAAGCUUGUUCUGUGGCUGGAAAUUUGUUCUGUGGCCAAAAAGCUUGACUAUGCCCGACAUGGAAUGAAACACUUACGAUAAUAUUGUUUUGUUUGGGGAUGAUUUUUGCUGAAUAUAUUAUAUGUUGCCCUAUCUAGCUGGUGCUUUCUUGAUAUCUAUAUAUAUAUAUGAUUUAAAGUUGUGGAGAGAAAGGGAGAUGGAGGAGGAAGUAUUGAUAUAACCUUGUCAUUAUGUCAUUCAAAACUUGGUGCGACAGGCACCUGUCGCACCAAGGCCUGUCGCACCAAGUCUUGGUGCGACAGGUGCCUGUCGCACCAAGUUUUAGUGCGACAGGGUGUCUGUCGCACCAAAACUUGGUGCGACAGGCACCCUGUCGCCAGAUUUAUCCCCCGACUCAAAUCAAUAAGUUCGAAAAUAACUCAUACAACACUUACGAUAAUAUUGUUUUGUUUGGGGAUGAUUUUUGCUGAAUAUAUUAUAUGUUGCCCUAUCUAGCUGGUGCUUUCUUGAUAUCUAUAUAUAUAUAUGAUUUAAAGUUGUGGAGAGAAAGGGAGAUGGAGGAGGAAGUAUUGAUAUAACCUUGUCAUUAUGUCAUUCAAAACUUGGUGCGACAGGCACCUGUCGCACCAAGGCCUGUCGCACCAAGUCUUGGUGCGACAGGUGCCUGUCGCACCAAGUUUUAGUGCGACAGGGUGUCUGUCGCACCAAAACUUGUUGCGACAGGCACCCUGUCGCCAGAUUUAUCCCCCGACUCAAAUCAAUAAGUUCGAAAAUAACUCAUACAACGAUGCCGAUUAGUUUUGGUCUGUAAAGAAGGGUAAUUUGGGGAGAAAGGUUUGUGUUUGGCUAAUGUUGAUAGAAAAAAGUUCAGAGGGUUAGUUACAUUUUUAGACUAUAUCUUUCUAUUCUUCUCCUGCAAAUUAUAUUCUCAUUUCUUUUGAAUUAAUGGAAAGCUAGAAAAUGAAAUUUCAUGAUUCAAACAUUAAAAUUUAAGUAAAAAUUAAAAUAUAUCAAGCUAAUUAAGGAGGAAAAAAUUGGGAUAUAUGAUGUGAAGUGAAGCCAACAACAGGUAUCAAAGGUCGGCAUUCAUAAAUCGUAAUGAAGAAUAAAACCUAGCCCCAAAAAAUUAAAAAAAUAAUAAAAAAAAGAAGGGAAAGAAACAUAUACAAAUAUAUAUGCAGUAGAGUCAACAUAUCAAUUUGACCUCAAGCAAUAAUCAUGAUAAAACUCAUCGACUAGGGGCAUCUCCUGAAGCAAUCUAUCAAAUUCCUUGAGUGACAAAUCUCUGAUCAGAACUGAAUUAUUAUUAUUAUUAAUGCUUUCACCUGCAAAUCCAUUGAUAUUCAUUCCCCCUUCCAUAAUCUUCGUGCCCAAAUUGCUUCUAACUUUUCUCGACUUCGACGCGGGUGAGAGAUUGCUGCCGCGUGCCCCAGAAUCUUUACCAGUCAGUUCCUGCACGACAGACUUGAAGCUCCUUGCAUCUGUUUCAAUGUACUGCGUCUUGAUCAACACAAUCUUCACCGGCUCUCUGCCACCGCCGCCACUGCAAAUGCCCGACAUGGAAUGAAACACUUACGAUAAUAUUGUUUUGUUUGGGGAUGAUUUUUGCUGAAUAUAUUAUAUGUUGCCCUAUCUAGCUGGUGCUUUCUUGAUAUCUAUAUAUAUAUAUGAUUUAAAGUUGUGGAGAGAAAGGGAGAUGGAGGAGGAAGUAUUGAUAUAACCUUGUCAUUAUGUCAUUCAAAACUUGGUGCGACAGGCACCUGUCGCACCAAGGCCUGUCGCACCAAGUCUUGGUGCGACAGGUGCCUGUCGCACCAAGUUUUAGUGCGACAGGGUGUCUGUCGCACCAAAACUUGUUGCGACAGGCACCCUGUCGCCAGAUUUAUCCCCCGACUCAAAUCAAUAAGUUCGAAAAUAACUCAUACAACGAUGCCGAUUAGUUUUGGUCUGUAAAGAAGGGUAAUUUGGGGAGAAAGGUUUGUGUUUGGCUAAUGUUGAUAGAAAAAAGUUCAGAGGGUUAGUUACAAAAAUAACAAAAUAUUUAUGAUUAUUUUCGUAAAUUUCCCAAGUUAUUUGGGGAACUUUAGAGAAAGUUACACAAGUUAUGAUAUUUUUUAUAGAGUAACGACCAGAUGGCUUGUGUACGACUGCACGCGUGUCAAGAUCUUAAAUCGAGCUAUGUUGUGGCCCCCAGAGAUGUCUCUCUCUCAGAUCCUCCACAAGGCCCAUCUUUUAUAUUUUUUGUUUAGCACUAAACUCAUCUUCUUGAUCGAUAUAUGCUCCGCAACAAAUAGCCAUUUCUCAAACUAUAUUAUCCAAAAAUGAACAAAAAGCUAGAGUGAAAUUUUGUUUCUUUAAAAAUCAAACAUGAAAAACACCAUACUUUCUGAUUACAUUCGGGACUGUAGCAUUGUCAAAUAUGGCAAAGCUAUGUAUGAUUCAUUUGCCCAAAUUCAUGUGUUAGCUAUCAGUCCAAACAAAAUACAAGCAGAUUCUGUUUGCCCAAAUUCUUCACUAGGCUAAAAAGGGGAAUUUUCAUUAUAAAAUUGGGACUGUUACAAAAUCUCAAAGCUUGAUAAUUUCUCUGGCUUCAUCAAUCUUUAUUUGCUUUUUAAAAAUAACUGUAGAUGAACUUUUAUUGAUAUAUGAUAAUUGAGUCCUUCUCUAGUGAGGAUGUUUGUAUUUUUUAAAAUGUUUGAUUCAUGAUUUUACAACAUUGUAAAAUAAUUAAGUAGUUUACAAUGUUGUAAAACCUCAAAUUCGCACUUUUAAAAAUGCAGACAUUUGCACUUAAAAAUGAUUAUAUGAUAACUGACGAGCGAGAUAGUAUAAGCGGAAAUACUUUAAGAUAAACCCCACUCACUCAAUACAACGAUGCGAAUGCAUUGGUCAAAGUUUGAUGUGGUGUUUGUAAAUCACCCUGUCAAAUGAAUCCGACUUCAUGAUGGAUAAAAUAUCGUUCUAAUCCAAAUGACUCGGACAUUGUGAUAGAGUAGAUAUCGUUCUACUCCAAAUGACUCAACAUCAUGAAAUUUUUAAAUAAUACUCAACAAUGUGAGGUUAAGGAUAAGGAUAACGAAUCCAUCAAGGGAAAAAAAUAUAGAGAAUUUAUUGAAUAACUAAAUUAUAUUAAUAAUGACAAGACCUCUUUAUUUAUAAUAAGUAAAAAUCUACUUCCCAAUAUAACUCAAAUAGGAAAACCGAAUCACAAUUAAACUAGAAAUAAUAUAUAUAUAAACACCUAGCUAAUAAGAUGCUAAUUAAAAUAAAAAUAUCAUAAAAUAUUCUAAUAACCUACUGCGUCAAUAACACAUCCAUUUUUAUUUUUAUUUUAUUUUAACACUCAAUCAAUCGGUUUUCGGCUUAGUUCGAUUGAAAAAUCAAAAACUGAUUGUUCAUUUUUUUUAACCAUUCAGUUUUUAUUGACCAAAUUGAAUGCCCAGCCCUACAUUAGCGUAACUAACUGAUAACGUGUCAACAUCAGUAAAGUGUUUUCGUUCUCCAACAUUGUUGUGUUACUAGCCUUUUUUUUUUUGGUCAAUAAUAGGUUUUGGUUGGAGAUGAGAAAUCUUAUUCACUACUCUUACUUUAGGUAAUUGUGAGCACAAAUUAUAUUCACAACAACUGAGUAAAAAUAUAAAAAUGACUUAAAAUAAACACAUGAACUCUCGAGUUGACCAACAACACUACCCUCAAUGACUUGAGUAACGAGCGAUUCUUGAUGGAUGUAGGUCAACACCGUGACCGUGUGUAAGUGUAAUUUCCAAAUUCCAAUCCAAAAUUCCAAGACCCACGUUGAGGCGAAAAGCAGGAAUGCAGGAGGAAAUUAUCAAGUUAUUGCAUAAACAUCCCAUUGAAUUUUGGAAGCAUCUUGGAAGUUAUAUUGAAGGGCCCACACGCAAGAAUGCCCUUUUCCUUUCUCACACUCACCGUGUAAUUUCCAAAGGCCUUCGUAAGUAAGGUAAAGACGCGGCAAUGCAGAAGGAAAUGCGCAAGUAACCCGGCGAAAAAAAGUUAUUUGCGAAGCUUCAAAGAAAGUUACACAAGUUAUGACUUAUGAUAUCUUUCCCAGUCCACGACUGCAUGUAUCAAGGUUGUGAGGUUCACACGUCUCUCUCGGAUCCUCAACAAAUCCAUCUUUUAUAGUUUUUCUAUAGCACUAAACUCACUUCUCAUCUUCUUGGCUACGCAACAAAUAGCCAUUCCUCAAACCACGCAAUGCAAAAACGAACAAAAAAAGUAGAGACAACAUUUGUUUCUUUAAAAAUCAAACUGAAAAACGCCAUGCUUUCUGAUUGGACGGUGGCAUUGUCAAAUUUGGGAAAGCUAUGUUGAUUUAUUUGAUUAUGCAGAAACAAACCAAAUUGCAGCGUCAAUAAACCCAGCUAUAUUAUUCAUGUGUUAGUUAUCAGUCCAAACAAAAUACAAGUAGAGUCAUGUUCGCCAUAAUUCUUCUCUAGGCUAAAAAGGAGAAUUUUCAUUAUAAAAUUGGGACUGUUACAAAAUAAUUUCUCAGGCUUCAUCAAUCUUUAUUCACUUUUUCAAAAUAGUUGUGGAUGAACUUUUAUUGAUAUAUGAUAAGAGAGUUGUUCUUUUGUGAAGAUGUUCACAUUUUUUAAAAUAUAGAUUUAAGAUUUUACAAUGCUGUAAAAGAUUUUUAUAAUGUUGUGAAAUGAUUCAUUAGUUUACAACAUAAUAAAUUUUUUCUUAUAAUAUUGUACCAAAUUCGCUUUUUAGAACAUGCGAACAUUCGCUUUUGUAAAUGUUAAUAUGAUAAUUGACAUAGUCAGGUAGUGUAAACAGAAAUAUUGUAAGAUAAAAUCCAGCUUACUCGACAUAAAAGGCGGGAAUACAUGGGUUUAAGUUUGAUAUGGUAGUUGUGAAUCACUAUGUCAAACAAAUCCCAUUACAUGAUAGAUUAGAUAUCGUUUCAAUUCAAAUGAUUGAACAUCGUGAGAUUUUUAAAUCACACUCAACAAUAUGAGGUUAAAGAUAAAGAUAACAUAACAUAAUUAAAUGGAAAUAUAUAUAUCUGCUACAAAUACUAAAACGUCAAACACCAAAGACAGACAGUGUAUUAUCUGAGAGGAUUGACAAGGGAUGAGCUUGACAAGAGAGGCUUCAAAGUGUCCGACAUUGCGCAAAUGUAAGCGGCGGCCAUUGAGAAUGCAGAAACUAGGGACAGUGGCCAGAGCGGAAGCGCGCUGAAAAGAAUCAUCAUCAAUGCUACGGAUAUGAAAAAUGUUAAGGAAUUGAAGACAAUGGCUGAUAGGAUAAAAUAAGGAUGUUGAUUCGCAAUCUGGCAGAAGGGACUUAGGCGGCUAGAAUUGCAUUCGUAGGCCUGUUCAGCUCUGCAUCCCAGGAUUUUCAAUUGUACGUGGAAGGUUGUAGUUGAUAACAGUGCUGAGAUGAGUAAUAAUAGAUGAUAUACAUUAAUGCCUUUAGAGUGCUUCUUUCCUGUUUUCAUGGGCCAGUUAUGCCGCAAAUUUGAAGCAGCUGAUGAGCUAGCUGUCUUCCAAGGUGAGAUGUCUAAAGCGGUAAAAUCACUAGUGCCCAUAGUUUUAUUCUUGGAGAUGGAGUUUGAGCCUGGAAAAUAAUUCAAUAGCUGCAGAAUUCAAACAUGAAAUUACAACAAACUAAAAAUUAAAAAAAGAAAAAAAACUGUUGGUGGCAAAAGAGAUUUAGCUAGAUUAGUUAGUAAAACGAACACAGCGAUAUAAAAGGUGACGAUCAAAUGAAAACUAUCCCUGACUACGAAUAAGCAUAUUGAAGAGUUUAAAUAGCUUCAGUGGAAAUCAAAUUACGUAGGAAUCGCGAAAGAAAGAUUGCGGAGUCAUCCCGAAAAAAUAGGACAAGAAAAAUGGAAGCAACCGCGUUGUUUACUUUGUUAUUUUAUUUGUGCAGGACGCCGCUGGCAUUUUGCAGCUUGGAAAGCAUAUUGCUUGCCUGGUUAGUAAUGUUGGAUUUAUGCCCAAAAAAAGAGUUAAUAUGAGUUUUUAUUUUGAUGUCCAAUGUUUUUGUUUAAAGUUUUGUCAUCGUAAUUGUUAUUUUUAACAAAAAAAAACAAUUAAGCUAUUAAAGCACUAAUAAUAUAGCAUAAUAUGUUCUCUCAAAUACAAAUUUAGAUUUUACAUCAUUUAAAAACUUAUUUAAUUAUUAUAAAGGUAUAUAAAUAUAGUAAUUUUAUGUUUUUAAAGAACCAUUGUAUUAGUAAAAUAUUAACACAUUAGUAAAAUAUAUAUAUAUAUAUAUAUAUAUAUAAUACUCAGAAAAGUAAGAUAAUAUAAUAUCAAUAAAGUGCUAUGGAUGUGGGAGCCAUUCAAUUAUGCUUGAAAAAAUGUCAAAGUUACAGUUCUAGUGCACUGGGCCCUGGCGAGAACAUUAACGAAAAAGACUCGGUAUCAAAUGUGUUUCAUUUUCUAAACUAAUGCUUGAUUCGACCCUACCAAAUGCCUUUUUCUCAUUUUUUUUUUUGUUCUUGCAAAAUGAAAAAAAAAAAAUGAUAGGUGAAAAAUGGUACAGUAUGCACCAAAAAAAAAUUCAAAUCAUUUAUUCAUUUUCGUACAGAAAAAAUGUCCAGGUUACAAUUAUACUGGCCCUUAGCAAAAACAAAAUUGGAAAACGUAAGCAUAAAACGUGUUUCAUUUUCUUGAAAAAUAUAAAUUGAACCGUAAUUCAGCCCAACUAAACGUGUUUUUAUUAAUUUGUGUUCUUGCAAAAUAUAAAAUAAUAGGUGCAAAACAGUACCAUUUGCACCCUGUGUCAAAUUUUUUACAUCUCAAUACAACACAUUAAAAUACGUUUUAAUCCAUUUUGUGUUGUGUCGCUGGCUUCUCUUGAGGCUAAAUAUCAUUAUUCAGCAUAUAUUUCUUUUUUCCACUGCACUCAGCUUUUUUUUUUCAAUAAAAGAAAAAUUUACAAAUAGCUUGCAUAUGAAAAAUAAUUAAUUAACAAAAAAAUUUUGUGUAUCCUUCAUUAACUGGGUUUUUGUUUUAGGCACUUGAGAUUUUAUUUGUUGGGAAAAUAACACCUACACUCAAGGUUUAGGGAACUGGUCACAAAGUCCCCCAAAUUUCAAUAAGGGACAUCAAGACCCCUUUUUAACUAUAAUACAUUUUGACUCUAUAAAUCCGCAAAUAAAUACCCAAAAAUUUUCUAAUAAAUGGAUGUAUAAAUUAUUAUGCAUAUAGAUGACCAUAUUAAGUCUUUAAAAGAAACUUAAAAAAUACAAAAUAACUUUAUUAGGGCCCCAGGUAUGUUGCACUACAAGGCUAACACUUUUAUUCUUUAAACAAUAUGCCCUUGGGCCUGAUUAGUUGAUCUUUUAGGUGUUACGUAUCAAUGUCCCCAAAAGAUUACCUUUUACUAAGCUUGGAGGGCUUGCCCUCUUUGGGGAACUUUACCACCUUAUAAUACAACCACCUAUUUUUCAUAAAUUCAUUUUCUAAAACGUCUUCUUAUAAAAUAGUCCAUGAAACGCAUGCGUUCAAUGCAACUUAUAUCAUAACAUGUGAAGUUCCUAUAGGAACAGCAAAAUUAACAUACAAUGGUAUUUAAGGACAACAUUCUUUAAUGUAGGCGGCAGUGCCAUCCAUAUGGAGAUUAAACAAAAUGGGACUAUAAUAUAGGCACUGCUGUACGGCCAAGGCGGAUGUACGGUACAGCAGAAAUAUAUUAUUAGAAUAAAUAUAAUAAUUUAAAAUUUUAAUAUCAUUUUAAAUGUCAAAAAUAAUUUAAUAUUAUUAGUCUACUAGAUAGAUUAAAUUAUUUAUAUUAAAUUUGUGUUAAUUAAAAACAUUUAAAGUUAAUUUUUUUAAUUACUAUAAUCAAAUGGUAUUAUGAGGAAAAAGGGAUUUUGGUAUCCUUUUUAAAAUUUGAGAUUUUUUAUGGUUAUUUUCCCAAAUUUUAGGUCUUUUUCCCUUAUUUGUUAGAGGUUUUGCAUAGGGGUGAGCAUUUUCAAACUAAAACUAGUCAAACCGAGCCAACCUAACCAUUGGCCCAAUUUGGGGCAGUUUGUAACAAGCCGCUUGAAUUUUGGGCUGAAAAUGGUUUGACAAAUCUCAACCUGGUCAAACUGACCAAAUCGAAAAGAAAUGCCACAUGUAUUAUUUUAGUUGCAUAUUACUCUAUAUAAUUACAUGGGAGUCGCGAAGGAAAUAUUGCGGACUUAUAACAAUAAAUAGAAAAAAAAAAAAAAAAGGAAAAAAAGGAUAAGAAAAAUGGAAGCAACCGCGUUGUUUACUUUGUUAUUUUGUUUGUGCACCACACUAUCAUGGGCGGCUUAAACUUCCCGCAAACGGAGGCUGAAUUGGUGUGCAUAGGUUUGCUUAGUAAAAAUCUAUCCAAAGGCGAGAUGUAGCAGCAGGGUGUACUUAGUAAAAGUCUAUCCACUCAUAGUAUUCAAACUAUAAUUUUAAUACUCUCUCAUUUUUAUAUUUUUUCUCACUUUUAUCAGUUAAUUAUUAUAUUAUUUAAUUCUUAACUAAUUAUAUGUGUGGAUAAAUAUAGAAUCAAGUACCAAAUGUGCCACAAUUGUAUUAAUGUGGCGAUAUUAUGUCAAAAUACUAUACAAAUCUAAAAAAAUCUAUAAAUUAACAUGACAUAAAAAUAACCAGAAAAUAAUAAAAUAAACUUAAAACUUACUUAAGAAAGUAAUUAAUUUAAUAAUUUGAAAUCUUGAGCUUUACCAUUCACCUCAGCUUAGUAAAAUUAGCCACUUAUAUUGAAAGAAAACAAAACACUCUUUUUAUUUGACAAAUUUUUCAAAAUAUAUUAUAAAAAAAUUGAUUACACCAAAAACAAGAAAAGAAAGAAAAAAAGAAAGAAUUCUUCAGCUUCACUCUGUUCUCUCCAGGCAUUUUUUGUCGCUUAUCUCCCUUUCUUUGACUUUUAUAGGCAACAAAUGCCUCCACCUUCAUUCCUUUUAUUUUUAUUUAAUUUAUUAUUAUAUUAUUAUUUUAAUCAUUAAAGGGAUGAGCAAGUGGAUGGUGGUAGCCACUUGCUCAUCUUGAUAAGUGGCUCACACACUUUUUAAUUAUUAUUUUAUUAGUUUUUAUUAUUAAUUUUUUUAGCUUUUAUAUAUGAAUACAAUCAAACUUUUUGUCUCCUACUUUCAAUUCUGAUUCCUUCUUAUUCUUAAAAUUUAUCUGCAAAUUAAAAUUAACAUGUUACAAAUUAGGGUCCUUCUAUGUUGCAACAGUUACAACGUACAACACUUUUUGUCCUCAUUCACAAUUAUCGUAGGAUCUGAAGAGACUCCAUCUAACGGUUAAGAUUAUUGAGUGGAAAAACAAAGUAUGUACUAGCAACCGUUGAAGCCAGUUAUCUACUCAAGUAAUGGCUUUUGAGGGGGCGUCAGUUUGAAACAGGUGAUUAGGAAGAACAUGAAUGAUUUACUCACGAGAAAAGAGAAACAAAGGGUUGAGAAGAUGGCCGUUAAGAAAUAAUCCGGAGACACGAAUAUGAAAAGAAGACGAUCGCAUUUUAUUGGGGGGAAAAUAUUCGGAGGAUUCACCUAAGUUGGAACCUGGGUUGUCAACAGAGCAAUUUCGAUGGCAAGAGGCAAAGAAACCAGCGGGUAUAUGUGAUUUAAUUUGACAAAUAAUCAAGAUACACCAAAUACAAGAGAAGACGAUCGCAAUUUUGUGGGGAAAAAGAUUCGGAUGUUUUGUUUAUGAAUAUAGGCUGUUGUGGGAACAAAUCAGAUGGUGCUUCUGUAAACGUAGUAGCAAAUUGCAACCUAUAUUUUCCGGUGCUGAAAGUAUAGGAAUUACCCAUAUCUGAAAGUAGAGGGAAUAUCUCAUCUGUUUGAUUUACUGGUGUGCAGUUCGAAGCGGAUGAAGAAGGCAAUUGGUGAAAAAAUAAUGGUUAAUUUUGUUUGAAAGAGUUACUAUUCAUAAUUCGAUUGGGAGAGCCGGUUAUGUUUAUUUAUAAGAAUGCAAUGAGGUGAUAUAGGUAAGAAAUUCUCAAUGUUUAAUUUUAUUGCAAGCAGCAGUGGAAUGAAGGAGGAAAAGGCAAUUAAUUUCUUGGAGAAGGAAAUGCCGAACAAUCUUGCAUUUACAUUUAAACAAACUGUGAGCUUAAGUUUGAUCGUAAUUUUAUUAAUCGGUAGACAAAGAUUAAAGUGAUCUUGAAAAUGUCAUUCAUAAGGAUAAUUUGUGUUCAUUUUGUUGGUCCAGAUACCUUGCUGAAUUUUAUUAGAUAGUGAGUUUAAUAGUAGAUUGUAUUAAUUGUUUGUUCUGUUUUUUUUUUUUAAUGCAUAGGCAUAUGAAUCUUUUUCUUCCCAUAUUGACAUCGUUUCUUACUUAAAGAUGGGGACACAUAUGCUGAAGAAUACAAGAUGCAUGGAUUUGGUGUCUGUCGUUUUGCCAAUAGGCAUUGGUAUGAAGGAGCCUGGCGUGAGCGUAUAAGACAAGGGCUUGGAAUGUACACAUUCAGAAAUGGGGAAAACCCAAUCUGGUCACAGGCAAAAUGGACUUCUCGACAUUCCAAGCGCACAAAAUACAACUCAUCUUAUAUCAUCUAUUGCAAUUUACCACUCCAAAGUACUCAAUGUGGUGCUGGUAUUUGAACCUUUUUAACCAAACUUUUAUUCAUUUUAACACUCAGCAGCUGCUGAUGCCUAAAAUUUAUUACAGAUUUAUUGUUUCAUUGCAGAUGUUUCAAUGUUCCUUGUGUAAUAUGAUUAAUGCACGUCUUCACUUUCAGCAUUUUACUGAUGUGAGUAAGAUGAAUGAAAUUGAAGAUAACAAUCAGAAGUUAUUUUUAAAUUUUGGUUGUCUGUGAGAAAACCUCACUAAGCUACACAAAACUUGUUAAUGUCAUAAUAACUUUCGUCAAGUUAAUUGUUGUUCAAGUGGGGAUUUUUUUUCUUAUUGUCGUUGUCUUGUAAUCAGGAAGCACGAUGAGCAACUGAAAGGCUUAUGAUGUGGCUAAGGUAGAUGAGAGAGUUAACAGGGCUGUAGCAGCAGUUAACAGGGUAGCAAAUGGAGAUAGAGUUGCUACAUUUAAGGCUGUCAAUGCAUCAUAACAACAACAAAGAUAGCAUCCCUCUUUGUAUGAUAUAUACCCAUGCACGUCUCAUAUAGUAAUACAAUUGUCUAGAUGGCUUUAAGACGAUGAUGACUAAUGAGUCAUUAAUCAUCAUCCUUUCUUCAUCAUUUUUCUUUAUCGAAGGGGCUUCAAAAUUUUGAAGUCCCUGCAUUAAUGAUAUUUGCUUCUCAGAGUAAGAUGGUGGAAGAGCACUAUAUUAGGUUUGUUCCUCUAAAAUCAUCUGUUAGAUGCAUUCCCAAACUAAUGGGGAAUGGAGGGAGAGAACAGAGGCGACGACAAUAACUUGUGUGUUUAGAUAAUAUUUGCCUUUUUCCUUUUUGUUUAGAGUUUUGUAAAGUUGGAUGUAAUUGUAAGAGUUAAGAGUGCUGGUAAGAGACCUUCGGCCUAGCCUUUGUUGUAUGUGAGCUCACUGGUUUCUACAAUGAAAUACAAUCAAUGCUUGCCUGUAUCUUGGGGCGUUUAUGGAUUUAAUCCAAAAUGAUAAUCAAUCAACCUAUGCCUUUGAACGAAUUGAUUUAUUUUUGCUAAAAUACAAUAACAAAAUAUUCAAUUUCAAUUGGAGCUAGUUUCUUAUGAAUAAUUACUAAUUGUGGAAAGCAAUUUUCAUUGUGGCCUAUUUAAAUAAUUAUAGCCAUGAUGUUUAAUAUUAAUGGGUUCCUCUAUGAUGCUGUAAAAAAUUUACAGCAUCAAUAAUGUAUUAAUUGUGAACCAUUAGAUUUAAUCAAUAGUGUACAAUAUUUGUAUUAAAAAAAUAAUUUAAAAAUAAUAGUAAACAGUUUGUUAACAUUUAAGUGGGUGGAGAAUUUUUGUAAAAUAAUUGUGACCACCCUUAGAGUUUGAAAUAAUUUCACUUAAAUAGCAUAUUUUAUUUAAAAUUACUUUUCAGCCCUCCUUUAAAUUUGUAAUAUGAUAAUCUUUUUUAAAUAAAUCUUCCAAAAUCAACUAUCAUUAAGUAUAAAAUAUAAUAUCAAGUAGGUUAUUUAACACAAAGUCUUAUAAUAAUUUGUAUUGUAUGAAUUUAAUUACAAACCAUUAAUACCUAAACAAUAAUGAUAAUAGAAGGCAUUUCAAUAAACUAUUUUAUAUGUGUUUUAUUAAUAAUACUAUAUGAGUCACAACAAAUGAGAAAUAUUUUAUUCACCAAUUAUUAUUGAAAAAUAUAUAUGUCUAUAUAACUAUAGAGUGAGAAAUAUUUUGAUUUAAAUUUUUAACAAAAGAUUAAACUAUUUAUUUCAUGCAAUUCAAUGGUAGAGGAUAUAACAUUAUGAAAUGUUGCUUUGACUUUCAAUAUCAACCAUUAGAUUAUGAGAUAUUAGUGGCUCAAAUAUUGUGCUAAAAUUUUAAGUUAAAGUAUCCCAAACCAUAUCUUUAUAAUGGAAAUAUAAAAACAUGCAAUGAUUUUUUUUCCUCAUUUUGUCCAUUAAAUAUUAUUUGAUGUGAUAUUUUAUUUAUUGUCACUAUUAAUUAUCAUAAUAAAAGUAAUGACUCUUCGUAACAUAAAAUUUUUAUAAUUACUAUAAAAGAAUAACAAUAAAAUAAUCUUUCAUGAUUCAUAAACUAAAACUCAUUAGGAAUAUAUAUUCGAUUUAACUUUUAUGAAAUUAACAAAGUGAUAUUUGAAAAUAAAAUGAAAAUAUAUAAGCUUAUAAAACUUAAAACUCCCACCAUGUAAGGAUAUUAACUGUAAGAUAAAUAUAAAGUAUAGAAAAUAAGUACGUUAAAUGGGUGUUAAAAAUGAUACAUACUUCAUGAUCAAUUAUACAAUGGCCCUUAAUAUUAUAUAAAAUAAUGAGUAUUUUAAUAUACGAUAUUAAAUUUUAUUAAAACAUGUGUGAUCAAGUAAUUUUUAUGUUACAAGCAAUCUCAACAAUGAGUUUAUUGAUGUAUCUAUGACAUUUACUUAACUAUAUGUACUUGUUGUGUUAUUUAUUAGUGUUAUAUCACAUAUAAAUUUUGCAAUUGCAACUUAUUUAUUGUAUUUGUGUUAAAUAACCUACCAUUAUAUUUUAUACUUAAUGGUAAUAGAUUUUGGAAGAUUUAUUUAAAAAAGAUUAUCACAUUUCAAAUUUAAAGGGGGAUUGAAAAAUAAUUUUAAAUAAAAUAUGAUAUUUAAGUGAAAUUGUUUCAAACUAUAAGGGUGGUCAUAGUUAUUUCACAAACUUCUCCACCCCUUACACGUUUGUUAACCGUUUAUCAUUAUUUUUUAUUUUUAUUUUUACCUAAAAAUAUUGUGUACCAUUGAUUAAAUCCAAUGGUGCACAAUUAAAAACAUUAUUGAUGCUGUAAAAAAAAUUACAGCAUCAUAGAGGAACCCUUAAUGUCAACAUUUUGAAGCAACAGACCAUGCAGUUAACACCACAAAACUAAAAGUCAAAAUCUAUUUCAUAAAGAGAUUCAAAUUCAAAACUUUCUAACCAAAUACCCAAGCAUAACCAAUUCACGACAAGGAUGGCCGACGCUGCCCAAGGUUUCUCUCAAUUUGACAUAACGAAAGAGGAAAUAGAUAAGCUUGUUGCAAAAGUUGUAUAAUAUGUCCGUUUUAAAACUCAUUAGAACUCGGGGUGUCCGAUCAAGAGAGAAGACCUUGUUCAAUUGGUUACCAAAACUAUAGCCAGUGUGCUAUUCCUGCUCAUGUGAUCAGUGCGGCUAAAGAGAAGCUCUCUAAUGCUUUUGGCUAUGACUUGAGAGAGCUUCUGAGAUACCGCCCUUCAUCCGCUACUCAACGCCACUCUACUCAACAAACUGAUGUUGCCAAGGCAAAGUCCUAUGUUCUCAUAAGUAAGCUACCAGCUGAGGUGUACAAAAAAUAUGUAGAAGAUGAAAAUUCAGCACAUUUUAUCUAGUUUUACAUUUGUUGUAAUUAGCAUUGUGCAUCUUGCUCGAGGUAAAACCCCAGAAGAUAUCCUUUGGCAUCACUUUGAAACGUAUGGGAUUGUGUGAAACUAAUGUAAGCCAUCCGCCGUUUGGAAAUGCCAAGUAGGUGUUGGAGACACUAGUCCAGCAAAGAUAUUUGCAGAAAGACAAGGUUAAUGGCCCUAAAGGCAAUACUUGGUUUUAUGAGCUUGCUGAGCGAGCUCUGGAUUGACCACUUAGCGAAAAAAUGAAAGAAUACAUAUCAGAGAUUGAUAGCAAAGAAGUUGUCCCUGUGGAUGUUGACGAAGCUGAGUAGUGACCUAAUGCUAAUCUUCAUUUAACUUUGUAGAGACUGGGCAUGUUAAAAGUUUCUGAUCUCUGGUGACAGCAAUGGUGAAAAUAUUGGGAAGUUAGCAGAUUAGGGAAGGAAAUGGCCUAAAUCACCAAUCUCAUUUCUAGAAUUCGAAUGUGAGAGAGGUUGCUGCACUACGCUAAUAGCCAAUGCUGUAUCUAUAAAGUGGCUUUAAGUUACAGGUUAAAAUUAUGUAACCUGACAAUGGUUUGUACUGACAAUGAUGUUUUCAGACUUGGAGUAACUACAAAUUUUUUGGAGAAGCUAGAGCAGUUAUGGGAGCAAAACGAGUCAAGUAAAAUAGGCUUCAAUUGGAUAUCUUUUAGCCUGUCUGAAUUCUGAUGAUUGAUAUAUGAAAAUUGUGUCCACCACUGGUUGCUUUGUAAUAAAAUUUUUUAGUAGAUUAAAAAAAAAAAUCCAAGCAUAGAAAUACAUUUAGACAAUCCUGUCCCAGGAAUUAAUCCCAUCUCAAAUAAAUUGAAAAAAAAAAAAAUUUCAGGAAUUAAUCCCAUCUCAAAUAAAUUGAAAAUACAUUUAGACAAUCCUGUCCCAGGAAUUAAUCCCAUCUCAAAUAAAUUGAAAAAAAAAAAAAGAUAGUUUGGUAACACAAUUAACUCUCAGUCUGCUCCCUCAACCUCCUAAUGGUACCUCUCGCGGUCACAGCACUACCAAUACUGGAAAGGAACAUAGGACAUAAUUUAGAAUCAUUCAAAUUAAACAAUCAAAGUAAAUAUAACAGCUAAUGAGAAUCUUACUUCAAAGUGUAAGCGCCUCCAGCUUUCACCUUGCUAGAGUCUUUGCAACCCCAGAUUCCCACAGCCUUCCUCACAGCAUACUGCCAACAGUAAGGAAUAUGUAAAUAUUUAAUACAUCCACAAGCAAAAGCGAACAGUCAUUGAACAGCAAAGAGGGGAAUGUAUUACUUUCCCACAAAAUUCACAGAAGUACUAGCUGUGUUGACAGACCUCCAUCUUCUUAAGAUUGGCACCAUAACAGGUGCCUGGAAAAUAAUAAUACUUAUAAUUCCAAGAUCACAAAGCCACACAUGCAAAAACAAACUAAAACAUGAAAGUAAGGCUAACAACAGGCGAGAGAGAAACAUGUCAAUAAACAUGUCAAUAACCCACAAUUCAUGCUCAAAGCUUAAUGAGACAUAAUAUUUCUACCUACUAUUAAUAUAAAGAUAUCCCAAGGGAAAGAAAUGAAAAUCUAAGUCUACGUUACCAUAACAUCUAUACUUGAGGACACUAAACAAACCAAAAAAAUGAAUAAAACUAGCCUCAAUAUAUAUCAUACUACAAUUCCUGUCUUCUAGGUCCUUUUCGUCUGCAAAACCCGAUAUAUGAAACCAUGAUCAAAUACAUGAAUUGGAAAAGUUUUUUAAAAAAAAAAACAAGAGCAAAACCAAAAUCAUCAGUAUUGGAAAGAGAAAAACAGUGAUUAAAAGAAAAAAAGAAAUUGGAAGAAUCUAAAUCCUUUGACAAAGAAACAUAACAAACUAGGAGGUGUUACAUCAAAGAAAGAAGCAUUGCAGCUGGAGAAUAUGAGAUAAUUAUUAACUAAACAUAUCUAAAUUCUAAAAGCUCCAACUUUGGGUUCAAAAUCUUACUAUUUUCUUAUUUUCAAGUUCAACUACAUUGCAAAUCCAGUAACAAUAAUUAGAUCAAUUGUACUCGACUUUGAUUUUCACCAACCAACAACAUGAAUUCAUAUGAAGAGAAUAAAUAAAAUAAAAAGCAUAAAGGGAGAACAGGAUACCAUUUUGCAGAAGCAUACCAAAAAUUCUAAAAAUCUCACUUCUUGUUGGUGAGAAUAAAGAGAGACGAGAGUUGCCAAGCUAAAUACCCCGUUUGUUCUUUAUUGUGCUGGUGGUAAUUUAUAUAUUCUGUAAUAAACGCAAGCUAAUUACGAGUUUAAAUCAUUUCAAAAAAACAAUUACAGAGUUUAAUAAAGAAUUACCUACUGUGUCGGGUGAUUCGAUCAGCAUAAGAACAGAUUCAUCUUCAUGAACACUGACCACUUUAUUGAUCAGCUCAAUCAUCUCAAUCAACACUAGUAAUCUCCAAAUAAUCCAAGACCCACCACACAAUUGCCUCAGCAGCAUUUGUGGGCUCCCAAAAGGUCAGGGGGUGGGUGUGCAAACGACUUCUUCACAUUGUAAAUCCUAUCAUUUGCAAUCAAUCCAACCUAAUUAACGCACAUUCCACAUUCGUAUUAACAUAUGUGCCAUUUGAUAAAUCCGAAUAAUUACCUACAACAGCAAGUAUAGGUAUCGCCCAAGAUCAAAAUUGUGUCUGUAAAAGGUGGUCGUCUCGCCGGCAGACCUGUACUCCCCCAAAUUAGGGCAUUUUAUCACGGGAUGAGUAUUUUGCUCAGCUAACUCGUGCGGCAUUUAGACAACUUUGCCGAAUGUUGCUAAGUAAGCCUUGAGUUUCUCGAACUAGAGAAGAGAGUAAUGGAGCCGAAUGAGGAAAAUUGUAUUGCACAAAGAGAGAUUACAAUGCUUGAGUUGCUUAUAAUGUUUGUUGUAGUGUUUGUUGGAUGCAAAUGCCUAAUGUCAUCCCAUAUUUAUAGGGGAGGCUUGACAAGCUCUAGAGAUUCUAGAGAAAUCUACCAACUAUCUAGAAUUUACAUGUGCUGGAAAUGCAUAGAGAAUUCUAGAAUAUUUACAAGCUCAAUGUACUAGAGUUGCCUAGAACUUUUUGGAAUUGGGCCAAGCUAGGACUCUUGGCCUUGUGUUGGCUCUCUAGCCCAAAAUUGUGGGCAAUUGGGCUAGCAUCUUAGGCGGACCGUAACAUCCUCCCCCACCUAAGCUCGCGGCGUCCUCGUCGCGAUCUCGUCCUUACUCCUUUAGGGACUUGUUCCGCAAUUUGCCGUUAGUCUUCUUGUGCUUCACUCUUGGGGAGGUUCCGCCAGUUGCUCCGCAUUUGGUCGUUUCCUUCUUUUGGUUGGUGUUGCGGCGUCCCUUCUUGUGUUUCUGCAACCCCUUAUGCUCGGAUGGCUUUGUGCAUUGCUCAGCCACUCGUCUCGGUGGGAGCUUCGGAGGCAUAGCGUCCUUGCCUUUGUCAUGGACGGCUCGUCCUUGUUGUGGGACUUGGCUUGGAGGGCUUUCGGAAUCCUCUCUCUUGCGGUGUUGCCGGAUGGAGACCAAGUGGUCCGGAUUCUUCUUGAAUCCUCGUUUGCAUUGCAUGACCGAGAGCGCCUUUUUUGCGGGUUGUGCGCGCUCGACCGGUACCACGCAUGCCUUACUUCCAUCGAAGAUGCUAAGGGAAUUCGUUGCAGAGAGUGGGAAGGCAUGUACCUUUUCGAGGAAUUCCAUACCAAGGAUCAUUACGAAAUCAUCCAUCGGCACAAUCAAGAAGUCGAGCUUCCUAUUCCAUGUCCCAAGCGUAACGUAUCCCACAAAUGGCUUGGCAGGUGAAUUUACAGCCUUGAUAGUGCCUCUGUGCUGCAUUACCUUGAGGCCUAGACACUUACCCUUUUUUUAGAGAUGAAGUUGUGCAUUGCUCUGGUGUCAAGGAGCGCACAAACGGUUCGGCCAUUGAUGAGCACACUUACGAACAUGAGCCCUUUCCUUGUAGGUGCUGGCGGUUGGCUCACGAGUGUGCUAAGGCGCGUUGGAGCGAACCCAAGUUGUGGUGAGAUUCCUCCGCAGUCGGUGUGUGUUGGCCCUUGAGUUGUGCCACGAGGGCAUUCAACGACUUUUUCUCCGGGAAGUCGCGCACCUAAUGAGGGCCAUUGCAAAUGAAGCAUGGGCUUCGAGGCUUAGGUGGCUUCUCGAACUUACUUUGCCCGCCCUUGCUGCUUGGAGGCUUUUUCUUGCUCCAUUCCUUGCAAUUGCGGUCGUUGUCCUCAUGGCUCUCUCCCCCACCUUGGUCGUAGCUAGACCUCUUAUCCUUGAGAUGGGCGGAGUAUUCGGUGAGCGACUCCGCAACGGCAAUGGCGUCGUCAAGUGUUUGUAUGCCACGCCUAUCAAGCUCGGUCUUGGCCCAAUUCUUGAGGCCAUCUUGGAAGUAGAAGAGCGAAUCCUUGUCGGACUUAUUCCUUAUCUCCAACAUAAGGGUAGUGAACUCAUUGAUGUAGUCCCGAAUGCUACCCGAUUACUUGAGGCGAUGUAAGCGCACUUGCGCUUCCUUCUCCGUAUUGCUUGGGGCGAAUUGCUUUCGAAAUUCUUGCUUGAAGUCGGCCUAAGUGUCGAUGGUGCAAAUGCCCUUGCCCAUCUCGCCAUGCUUGUGACGCCACCAUAAUUGUGCAACGCCUCUAAGAUGGGUGGGUGCAGUGCCCACUUUCGAUGCCUCAUCUCGGACACUCAUGGCAUCGAAGUAUUGAUCCAGCCCAAAUAGGAAGUUGUCCACGAUUGUGGCAUUGCGUGUGCCAUCGUAAGUGUCGGGUUUUGGCACGUCAAUGCGGCGUGCAUCACUCGAGUUUGGGGAAGCUAGACUUGUGGAGAGUGUGCGCUUGUGCCAUACCCAAUCCGAGCGGACUUCAUCCACUUCCGCACGGAUAGCGCGUAGUUCGUCCUGAACAAAACUACGAAUUUUGAGCAACUCAUCAUGAAAAGAACAAAACUCACCUCGGAGAGUGUUCGCUUGCUCUUGGAUGAGAGCUUUCGUUGCCACCGUGAACUCGGCGUAUUCUCCCUCGAGACCGUCCACUCGUUCCUCCAAUCCCUCGAGGCUUUCUUGAGCGGCGGACAAUGUGAUUUCGAGAGUAGUCACACGAGGCUCCAACGCAUCCACGGAUGGGGCCUUGGACUUGCUGCGAGUCUUGCCUUGGGCGCGUUCUCCCUCUCGGCUGCAGCUUGGUUCUGAUGGAACAUCCACACCAACAACACCCUCUUGUGCUACGUUCGAAGGGUUGGCCAUUGCUUCGUGAGCUAACUUGCGUGUGUGCAAACCUUAGCUCUGAUACCACUUGUCACGGGAUGAGUAUUUUGAGCAGCUAACCUGUGCGACACUUAGACAACUUUGCCGAAUAUUGCUAAGUAAGCCUUGAGCUUCUCGAACUAGAGAAGAGAGCAAUGGAGCCGAAUGAGGAAAAUUGUAUUGCACAAAGAGAGAUUACAAUGCUUGAGUUGCUUAUAAUGUUUGUUGUAGUGUUUGUUGGAUGCAAAUGCCUAAUGUCAUCCCAUAUUUAUAGGGGAGGCUUGACAAGCUCUAGAGAUUCUAGAGAAAUCUACCAACUAUCUAGAAUUUACAUUUGCUGGAAAUGCAUAGAGAAUUCUAGAAUAUUUACAAGCUCAAUGUGCUAGAGUUGCCUAGAACUUUCCGGAAUUGGGCCAAGCUAGCACUCUUGGCCUUGUGUUGGCUCUCUAGCCCGAAAUUGUGGGCAAUUGGGCUAGCAUCUUAGGCGGACCGUAACAAUUUGCCCUCUUCACAACACGUCUGAGGCUUCAAUUCGCCCAUUUUUUUUCUUCCUCUGAUGAAGGAAUCGCCUCCUAUUUGGUCUUUGCCAGGGGCUUCUUUCGCUUAUCACCUUGGCUUCUUUUUACAGAACAGUCAACGUGCGUUUUCAGAUAUAACUUAUAUUUUCUUAACCGGCUUCUCCGAUAUUCUUUAAUACAAAUGUGACCAUCCCUGAAGCAUUCGAUCGGUUGGCUUUAAAUCUAUCGGUUACAUUCAAUGAGGACAAAAAGUGUUGCACGUUGCAACUGUUACAACAUAGGAGGACCCUAUAAAUUAAUUUAACAUAAAAAUAUAUUUGGCAGGUGUUAAGAUAAUUUAAGAAUAAUUAGCGCAUUAAUCAACAUUGUAAGUGAAAAACUACUAAUUUUAUUAUUAUUAAAUGUACAAUUUUUAAUGUCAAUUAGCUUACUUAACAACUUUUGUGCUAGAAGUUAUCUAAAUAUCUCACAGGUUACUAUGCAACAUACUCAUCCUGUGACAACAUGCUAGCUUUUUGAAGCUUAGAAAGCAUAUUGCUUGGAUACUAUUGGAUUUAUGCCCAAAAAUAAAUUAAUAUAAGUUUUUAAUUUGAUGUCCAAUGUUUUUGUACAUGUUAUUUUUAACCAAAACAAAGAGUUAAACUAUUAAGGCUCCGUUUGGGAUUAAAAUUGGAUAGCUGUAACUUAAAAGUUAUAGCAUCAAAUUGUUUGGUAACUUUAAUUGCUAUAACUUGGAAGGUAAGUUGAUUUGAUUUUACAUUUAUAUGAUGAAAAAUCUAUUAUAUAUUUAUUAAUUUUUUUAAAAUUAUUAUUUAAAAAUUAUAUUUACUACGUACUAUUAACUUUUAAUUCAUUAUUACAAAUUUUUUUUUCUACAAUAGUUAUAAUUUAAAAACUACAAUAUCUCAAUACCAACCAUGACCUAGAACAUUAAUAAAAUAGUAUAAUAUAUUAUCAUAAAUACAAAUUUAUAUUUUAUAUCAUUUAAAAGCUUAUUUUUAAAACGAAAAAGUAUAUCAGAAAAGUUAGAGAAUACAGUAUCAAUAAAGUGCUAUGGAAACGGGAGCCAUUCGAUUAUGCUUAAGAAAAUGUCAAAGUUGCAGUUCUACCAUACUGGGCCCCAGCGAAAAUUAAAAUGUGCUUCAUUCUAAAAUAUAUAUUAAUGCUUGAUUCGACCCAACCGAAUGCCUUUUUCUUAUUUUAUUUUCUUGUAAAAUGAAAAAAAAAAUUAUAGGUAAAAAAGAGUACCACACUCACCUCAAAAACUUAUCAAUUUCAAAUCAUUUAUUCAUUCUCGCACAAACAAAAUGCCGAAGUUACAAUUCUACUGGCCAUUAGCAAAAACAAAAGUGGAAAAUGUAAGUGUAAAACGUGUUUCAUUUUCUUCUUUAUGUGUUUUUCUUAAUUUAUAUUCUUGCAAAAUAUAAAAUAAUAAGAGUAAAACAGUAUGAUUCGCAUCCUGUGUUAAAUUGAGUACAUCUCAAUACAACACAUUAAAAUUCAUUUUAAUUAAUCCAUUUUAUAUCAUUCUUGUGUCAUUGGUUGCUCUUAGGGUUAAAUAUCAUUAUUCAGCAUUGAAGUAUCCAUAAAUCCUUCAAUGAUCCAAAUAUAAAUGAAAUAAUGAUUUAAAUUAUACCUGAUUUUUUAGAUUGUGUAAAAUUCCUUCUUGUCUUCAACAUCUUCUCCACAAACGUAUCUUAAGUGUGUACUUGAGAAGGCACUCCAACACUCUUGUCAGUUUUAUAUUUAGUGAAUUUUAAUAAAUCUAGAGUUGGUUUUUCUCUACCAGAUGAGAAAAUAGCCAAAAGAUAAUUUUUCAAUCCUUUUACCUCAUAUUUAUGAACCAAAAAGAGGGGAUUUGGUGAAUAGUUAUAAUUUAAAAACUACAAUAUCUCAAUACCAACCAUGACCUAGAACAUUAAUAAAAUAGUAUAAUAUAUUAUCAUAAAUACAAAUUUAUAUUUUAUAUCAUUUAAAAGCUUAUUUUUAAAACGAAAAAGUAUAUCAGAAAAGUUAGAGAAUACAGUAUCAAUAAAGUGCUAUGGAAACGGGAGCCAUUCGAUUAUGCUUAAGAAAAUGUCAAAGUUGCAGUUCUACCAUACUGGGCCCCAGCGAAAAUUAAAAUGUGCUUCAUUCUAAAAUAUAUAUUAAUGCUUGAUUCGACCCAACCGAAUGCCUUUUUCUUAUUUUAUUUUCUUGUAAAAUGAAAAAAAAAAUUAUAGGUAAAAAAGAGUACCACACUCACCUCAAAAACUUAUCAAUUUCAAAUCAUUUAUUCAUUCUCGCACAAACAAAAUGCCGAAGUUACAAUUCUACUGGCCAUUAGCAAAAACAAAAGUGGAAAAUGUAAGUGUAAAACGUGUUUCAUUUUCUUCUUUAUGUGUUUUUCUUAAUUUAUAUUCUUGCAAAAUAUAAAAUAAUAAGAGUAAAACAGUAUGAUUCGCAUCCUGUGUUAAAUUGAGUACAUCUCAAUACAACACAUUAAAAUUCAUUUUAAUUAAUCCAUUUUAUAUCAUUCUUGUGUCAUUGGUUGCUCUUAGGGUUAAAUAUCAUUAUUCAGCAUUGAAGUAUCCAUAAAUCCUUCAAUGAUCCAAAUAUAAAUGAAAUAAUGAUUUAAAUUAUACCUGAUUUUUUAGAUUGUGUAAAAUUCCUUCUUGUCUUCAACAUCUUCUCCACAAACGUAUCUUAAGUGUGUACUUGAGAAGGCACUCCAACACUCUUGUCAGUUUUAUAUUUAGUGAAUUUUAAUAAAUCUAGAGUUGGUUUUUCUCUACCAGAUGAGAAAAUAGCCAAAAGAUAAUUUUUCAAUCCUUUUACCUCAUAUUUAUGAACCAAAAAGAGGGGAUUUGGUGAAAGAUUUGAUUUUAUAUUUAAAUCUCUAGUGUUCUUUCUAUUUUUAUUUUUAUUUUAUGUCAUUAGAUUUAUAGUUGUUUUUUGCUAUAUUUUAGCUUUCGUCACAUGAUUUUGUUAGCAAUUAUGUGCCUUUCAUUGUUAUAUUUUUGGAUUAGAUCAUCAACAUUUUUCAGGGUUUCUUAUGAAUUGUCAUGAAAUUCUUUUGUACAGGCACUUACAUUCAUAUAUUUCUUUUUUUCCGCUGCAAUUUUUUUGUUUAAUUUUUGUGUUUUAAUAAAAGAAAAAAGUUUUCAAAUAACUUGCAUGUGAGAAAUAAUUAAUUAAAAACAAAUUUUUGUGUAUCCUCCAUUAACUAGGUCUUUGUUUUUGGCACUUGGAAUUUCGUUUGUUUGAAGUAUUGUGUGUGUAUAUAUAUUUUAAUUUUGCAUAUUCUUCUUAAGCCACGUCUAUUUUCACAUUUUUGCUUCAUUUAGACAUUUGGCAUUGCUUUCAAAACCAAUAAAAUUUGGGCGCAUUUGGUUUGUCUUAUAAAGAGAGUGACACUCUACUUGGACAUGCGGAGUUGAAAAUUGCCAAUUGGGAGAGGGAGAACUUGAUUGAAUGAACUACAAGAUGCAAUGAAGUGCAGUCUAUGCAUACAAUUGAAUAUCAUUAUCUAUUGGUUAUGAGAAGUAGAGGAAUAUAUUUGCAGUGUAGUUUUCAAAUUAUCGGGAUGUUAUACUGUUGUUAUCUCGGAGAGCGGAUUUACAACGGAAAUUUCAGGGGUGUUAAAAGCUUGACUCACAAAAUUAAAGCGAUAGUUUGAAUUGGUCUUAAAUUUGAUGGGUGUGGAUUUGGGCUGAUGCCUGAUAUUGUGGACACUGGGUUCGAGAGACAGAGAUGGAUCUGCUAUAGACCCGCCCAUUCCCAUUUGUCGGGUUUUGUCCAUUGACAAUUCAAACUUGAAAGUCGUCUUCCUCCCAUGGGGAACAAAGAGAGAAAUUUUCAGGACGUUUACGGGAAAAGGAAAGAGGGAAAAAAGCAAAAGACAAAAAGGGGAACCUCGUAGCUUCUACGAUACUUCCAAAACUCAAUGGGAUGUAUGCAUUGCCAUGUCCUCACCUUAUAGAAAGUCUGGUCAGCCCCUUUUGAAAUGAAGAGUAUUUGUCCCCCCCUUUUUUUAAUUUUUUUUUGGCAAUUCACAAAUAAUAUAUUGCACUUUGUUUGUAGUAUUAUUCUCAACUGAACAUGGGAUAACUCUUUUAAAGGGGUAGUUUAAAUUUUCUGCUACAAUUAUAACACAACAAAUUAGAUCUGAAAUAUUUUUUAAAAUUUCUUUCAAAAACAUAUGUGAGAGACAGAAAAAUUUAUAUUAGUAACUCGGGACUUACAAUUAAUUCAACCACUUGGAAUGGAAGUUGUCACCGUUGAGUACCGGUAAGGCAAGAGAAAUUGUAGAAUACCUCAAAUAUAUUACAACCAAUUAAUGCAUGUAUGAUAUGUGUAAUUGAAUUAAUUUAACCACCACUUGCAUGAUAGUAGUUCAAAAUAAAUAUACACAUGUCAUGGCAUCAUUGCUUGUUGUAUGGGUGAUAUGAUGCCUCAAAUGUAUUCUAAAAUUUCUCGUAAAGCAGACAUAGAUUAGCGUUCCAACCAAACAUUAGUCUUCCAUCUCUAAUAAUCAAAAUCAAUCCUAAUAAUUAUAGCCGUAAUAAAAAAUUUCACUAAAGAAACUAUAUUUCCAAGCGUUGUUUUUAAAAUACGGAUUCGAGAUUUUACAAUAUUGUAAAAGAUUUUUAUAAUCUGUAAAAUUAAUUUACAGCAUUGUAAGAGCUAUAUAUAUAUAUAUUCACGAACAAUUGUAUUUCGUAAAAACUUUAUAUGUUAAUCAAUAUUAUUCAAAUGUCCAGUAUCUUUUUUUUGAAUUUUUUGUCUUAAAAUUUUGUUAAAAAUGUGCCCAGCUGGAUCUAGUUAUGGCACCCGAUUUGUUGUGCUAUGUAAUAUGUGUUUAUUUUCCUGGAUCUAGUUAUGGCACCCGAUUUGUUGUGCUAUGUAAUAUGUGUUUAUUUUCAUUAUUAAUAGAUGUUGUAUAUAUCAACCUAGAUAUCUUGUCAAUUGAAGCAAUUGGUCUUAUGCAAGUCCAACAAAGUCGUAUAUGUAAUAUGUUGACAUUUAAGUUCGAACAUUAUAAAAUUCUAAAUUUUUUAUUAAAUUGAAGGUAUUGAAGAAGUAUGUAUCUGCAUUGCCCAUUUCCCCUGAAUUAUCCAUCACAAUUUCCUUUCUUCUCUACGUAGAGAUGCCGCGUUUUCGUGUAAUUCAUUCCACUGGAAAUUACACGGAAGGGGAAAGAAAGAGGAAAGUUCUUGGAUUUUUACUUUUUCUUUUUUCUUUUUUAAUUAUACAUACAAUUAAUUUACAUAUACAUAUAUAUAGACGGAUGAAGAAACCCCACCCCAGAAAGAGAGAAAAGUUGUAAUUAAUUAACAAUGUAAGAGUGAUGUGAGCUCAACUGCGAGAUGGGAAGAAGAAUGUAACACAUAAACACAGUGUGAGUGUCUGUCAAUUGUCAUGGCUAACUUGGAGAAGUUGUUUCAGGAAGCUUGCCAAAGAAACGAUGUCGAAGGAGUCAAGUCAUUAAAUUCAAAGCAUCCGAAUUUACUGGAUGAGAUUAUUAAAGCAUGCCAACGCUCGGAUGAUCCUCUGCUCAUCACCGCCUGCUUGCCUGGAAGCCUUGAAGUCGCUAAAGAAAUGGCAAGGCUGUGGCCUCAACUUGCCAGUAUUAAAAAUCAGCGAGGUGAAACAACCAUGCACUUACUUUCUACGGAUGGGGAUGCCGAGACGGUUCGGAUUUUCGGAGAGAUUAAUCGUGAACUGUGCCUUGAAGUAGACAACUCUUCAAUGAUACCGCUACACAGAGCAGCUUUGGAUGGUAAUUCUGAUGUUAUUAGGGCUUUAGUUUCUAUUUGCCCGGAGUCGCUUGAGAAGUUGACUUCAAAUGGAGAGACGGCCCUUCACCUUGCUGUGAAGAAGUCCCGAUCGGACGCCUUUGAAGCCUUGGUGGAUGAGGCUAAGAAUCACAGAAAAGAGCAUCUCUUCACUUGGAAAGACAAGGAGGGCAAUACAGUAUUGCACCUCGCCACACUUAACAAGUUAAAGCAGGUAAGCUCUGUCUCUUGCAAACACAUUUUUUUGAAUUUUGAUUGCCAAAACAUAACGCAUGCCUUGACAAUCCUGUCGCGUUCAUUGCAGAUAGUGGAGCUACUCAUCCGUGAGAAUUCCAAUAGGCGCAUAAUGAUUCGAAUUAAUACCGUGAAUAAGGAGGGACAAACAACCUUACAGUUAUGCAAUGCUAAUUCUCAGGAUUCUGCUUUCAAGGAAAUAGGCUGGAUCAUUCAACGAGCUAUUGCUCAGCAAUCUCCGCAGCUCCCUGCAGAUGGAGCCGCCAAUAGCAGCAGGAACCAAACACGGUGGCCCAUGCAGACAAGAAACGUGUUAUUGAUGGUAGUAGUAACGAUUGCUGCAGCAUUUUUCAUGGUAGCUUGCCAUUUGCCAGAUUCCUUAGUCAGAGAGGAUACUCUUGCCGGUAAAAGUCUUUAACUAAAUUAUUAUUUUUCUUUUGGUAGUGUUUACAAUUUGCUAAGGAGGAUUAUCUUGCAGUUAAAACAUUGCAUGCUGAUGAGGAUGACGUACUCAGUAAGUUGCCAACCGUUGUCUACAUCAUGAUUUUCAACUCUGCUGGGUUCUUGACAACCAUGUUUGCCAUUGUAUUGCUCGUAUGGCCGUUGCAUUUGAGAACAUUUGUGCUCUUUCUUGUAAUCUGCACGGCCAUCGUUUAUAUUCUCUUAGUGGACGAGAUCAUACCUAAAUUCUAUGUGAAAGUUGGGAAAUCAAGCAUCUUAAGCAAUGGGUUGGUGUGGUCAUUAGUCCUUGCCCUCAUUUUGUUCGGAAUGUCUAUACUAAGUAUGGGGAAAUUCACUUUGUCCUUUUGGCGCUUCAUUAUCCGUUUGUGGAUGAAUAGAACCAAUCGCAGGGGCAACAGUCAUGAAGAUCUUCGCGAAAUCACUGCCCUAUAGUUAUCAAGAGGCUUAAAUCAUUGCCGACUACCUGGUUAAUUUAGCCCUUGCUUGUCAUAAUUUCACUUGGUGGGAUGCUCCGCAUCCUUAAAUGUCAAAGAUGCUUUUUAUGAUGCUAAUGGUUUCCCCUGUCAUCAAUUUUACAUAGUUUAUGUUGUUUCAUCUCCUUUUAUUUCUCCAUUGUAAUAGACUUUUCGAGAUUUUUAAGGGAUUUAAGAGUGUAAGUGACAUAUCAUGUUGCCAUGAGAAGCUUCAAAUAUGUCUUCUAACAAAAGGAAGUUAGCUUGCAUAUAAUGAUCUCUUUCUAAAUGGGACACUCGUUAGUUUACGCACAAAAGAAAAAAUCACUAUUAAGAUUCUAAUCUGUUUCAAGACACUGGCUUUCUCUCAUUUCCAGUCCUCAUUUCUCUCUCUGCCUUUACCCGGACAGCCAUUUAGUCUCAGGGCUCAUCUUGCACAGGAGUUCUUUUCUCAUUAACCCAGAACACGGCUUUGUCCCUCUUACAGACAAGCCAAUUCUUGCGCCCUUUAAAUGCCUUAAUGUUUUGAAAUAUUUGUUCAGGUUUACGAAUUGAGCAAUCUUCUCAUGGGUUUCUAUUUUGUUCCAGCUUUGACUAUAGCAACUAGAAUUACAUUUAUAUACAAUCCUAUGACGAAGCAAUUUGCUGUACUUCCUCUACCUAGCGGCCAAAUUGUCCAAUGACGUUAGUUUAGCUUAUGAUCCUGUAAAGUCACCCCACUAUAAAUUUGUCUAUUAUAAACUUGUAUGUGUUGAUGGUUUUCAAUCAUCUGUUCCUGUAGAAGAUGAUUACCUCAAUUAUGAAAUUGAAAUAUACUUGGGGGCUCUCUGGCUGAUGAAACAUAAUUAGCUUGAGGGGUUAAUUAUAUAUUUCAGGCCAUCAAGCUAAAACACAAAAAGACUCUUCUCAGUCAGGGGUUAUAUCUCACACAUGAACCCAAAUACAUAACUUGUCAAUUAACACAAUUGGUUACGUGAUUGGUUACUCUUUUUCCUCUAGCAGUACCCAAAAACUCUGUUUCAUUUGUCUUGCUGAAAUUAGCCCUACUUCUGAUCAUUGAAGUUAUAUAGAAUUACUGGAUCGGUGGCUGCAAUGUUUAUGUACCCAGGUGAAUUUAGGUAGUUAUAAACUAAAGUAGAACUACUAGUGAACCAACUAUAAAAGCUUUAUUGAUAACCAUGCCUGCUGGCAUGAUAGUUUUUCAGACUCUGUUCAUAUUUCACAUUCGUAAUUUAUUAAUACAGCAGUGUCAUGCAUUAAACACACCAGACAUCUUAAUAAUAAAAAUAGGAACUUAAUUGUUUGCUCACACCACAUCCAUAAUGAGCUUAAUUAUUGCAAUAAUGUGUCGCAUGCCAAAGAAAAUAUAUCAAGUUAUCUUCCAGGAACCUUAAAAUGUUGAGUAGAAUGAGCUCAAGUGAGGCUUUGUGAGGCCAGAUAUUAUGCACAUGUAAGCACCGAGCAUUGAAAAUGCAGAUACAAGAAGCAAUGGCCUAAGUGGAAGCUUAUUGAAGAGAAUCAUCAUUGUAGAAACCGAAGGGCACUUCUUUACUAGACACCUUAAGUUUCUGCCCAAGAUCUUUGACCCAGACUCCUAGAUGCUUCUAUAGAUGAUUUGAAGAAACUUUAACCAAGAACUUAGAGGAACAAAUCAACAAUGGUUUAAGAAUCACAAACAUAUUAAAGGCUUAAAGAAUCAACAAACAGAAAGAAUAAAGAACAGGAGUGAUUAACAUGGUUAAGCUAAUUCUCAUUAGCCUACAUUCACGGAGGAACAAGAUAACAUGCUUUUAUUGAUUGAUCUUCAAGCGACAGAGAUUUACAGAGUAUAUUUCAUAGAAUUUCAUCACCUCUCUUCAGAGUUGUAACUCCUUAUAUACUCCUCAGCUCGUCACCAGUUUGUUACACCAGAAUCAGCUACAUCCAGCUGCUUAUAACCACCUGGGUGCUGAUUCUAGAAACUCACGUGAGAAUGACACUUCAUCAAUGACUUUUAACAACCUUGUUAAUAGCUUCCCAUUCACGUGCGUCUCAUGUGCUGCAUUAAUCCAUAAACGAUAACCUAUAACAUUGUUUUAGUAAGUGUUGAAUUUGAACAACCAAAACGCACUUUCUCAGGUCGUUUCGAAGCCAUUGAAUUGAUUUCACUAGUUACAUUACAAAUCUCCACCUUGAAACAAUUCAUCCCUGUUCAUCUUUCUCCUCAAAUUCAUGCAAAUUAAAAACUGCAUAUUCCAGCUAUGUCCAUGCAGGUCUUGAACUUAGUUGUAGGUACCACCUUUGUAAGCAUAUCAGCAGGAUUGUUGCUGGUAUGUAUCUUUACCAUCUUCAUAACUCCCUUAGAUAUUACAUUCUUUAUAAAAUGUAGCUUGAUGUCGAUAUGCUUGGUUUUCUCAUGAUGAGCUGGAUUUCUGCUCAAAUAGAUGGCACUCGAGCUGUCACAGUGGAUGUCAACAACCUUCUGUAACUCACUGACCAAGCCUUUAAGUUAUAGAGCCUCCUUGACAGCUUCUGAGGCUGUAGUGUACUCAGCCUAUGUAGUUGAUAAGGCCACAGCAUGUUGCAGACUUGCUUUCCAGCUUAUUAGGCAUCCAUUCAACAUAAACAUGUUUCCAGUUAAUGACCUCCUUCUGUCUAAAUCUCCAGCGUAAUCAGAGUCAACAUAGCCCCAUAAACCAGCUUUAUUUUCCUCUUGUUUCUUUCCAUACAUCAGCUCAUACUCCAAAGUUCCAUUCACAUAUCUCAUCACUCAUUUAGCUGCCUUUCAAUGCUAUUUCCCAGGUGAUGCCAUAUACCUGCUUACCAAGCUUAGAGCAUGUGAAAUAUUUGGUCUUGUGAGGACCAUUGCAUACAUCAUACACCCCACUGCAUUGGCAUAAGGCACUUUUAACAUCUCUUGCUUUUCUUCACUUAUCUUUGGACACUGCUGGUUCGAGAGUUUGAAAUGAGAGGCCAAAGGAGUUAACACUGGUUUACAGUAAUUCAUCCCAAAUGUGUUGAGUACUUUUUCCAAGUACUUUUUCUGAGAUAAGAACAUAGUUCCAUUUCUUCUAUCUCUUGUGAUUUCCAUGCCCAAAAUCUUUUUGGCAUGUCCCAAAUCCUUCAUAUCAAACUCAGAGUUCAGCAUCUGUUUUAAGGCUUCAAUUUCCUCCCCCACUUUACAAGCAAUCAACAUAUCAUCCACAUACAGUAGUAGGUAUAUGUGACGAUCUGAAUCUAUUUUCUUGUAGUAUACACGACAAUUAAAAUUACACCUCAUAAAUCCAUGUGACACCAUGAACUCAUCAAACCUGAGGUACUAUUGCCUUGGGGAUUGCUUCAAGCCAUACAAUGACUUCUUCAGUAAGUAGACAUGAUCAGGGUGUUCAGAGCAUACAUAUCCCUCAGGUUGAGUCAUCAGAAUCUCCUCUUGUAAUCUGUCAGGUAAGAAGGUUGUUUUGACAUCGAGUUGAUUAAGUUCCAUGUCAUAUAUUGUUGUUAAAGCUAAUAAUACCCUUAUUGAGACAUGUCUGACCACUUGUGAGAAGACUUCUUUAAAAUCAACCCUUUCUUUUUGUGUAUACCCUUUUGCUACUAGCCUAGCUUUGAAUCUCCUAGGCUCAUCAACUGUCAGCCCCUCUUUCAUCUUGAAAAUCCACUUGCACCCAACAACCCUUAUUUUCUCAGGUUUCUUUACCAAUUCCCAGGUGUUGUUCUUGUAUAAUGAAUUUAUCUCAUCAUUCAUAGCCUUCUGCCACUCUGAUUUAUAUGAACUCUACAUAGCCUCUCUAUAGCUUUUGGGCUCAUCUUCAUCAAUCUCAUGUGAUGCAGCCAGUGCAUAUACAAUGAGGUCAGUGUAACCAUAUCUUUGGGGAUGUCUUAUUUGCAUUGUCUUUCCAUCUUUAGUCAGAUGAUAGUCUCUAAGUUGAGUUUGUGUAUGCUCUUAAGAUUGUGCCUCAAUGUUCCUACUACUGUCAUCUUCACCCCCAUCAGAAUCUACAGCUUCUUGAGAGGGCUUCUGAUCUGAAUACUCCACCUCAAACUGUAUACUUUCAAGUGUUUUACCCUGAGGUUUAACAUUAUUAUUUAGUGACCUUUUGUUGAGCACAAUUUCUUCAUUAAUGAUCACAUCCCUGCUGAUGAUGCACUUUGGUAGGGAUAAAUUUGUGCAACAUAACUUGUAAUCCUUUACACCAUCUGGAUACCCUAUAAACUUACCCCUUAGAGCUCUUGGAGAUAAUUUCCCUUGCUUAACAUGUGCAUAAACAUCAUAUCUAAAGGCUUUAAGGUCAUUAUAGUUACCAGGUUUUCCAAACCACAUUUCAAAUGGUGUUUUAAAGUCGAUUACAGCAGAUGGGCUAAGAUUCACUAGAAGACAAAAUGUUAGCAAGGUUUUUGCCCAUAGCCCCUUAAGAAUUGUGACUAUAUCAUCAUACAUCUGACUUUCUCUAUUAAAGUCUUGUUCAUCCUCUCAGCUAGGCCAUUUUGUUUUAGAGUUAACCUUACUGUUCUAUAUCUUGUAAUCUCUUCAUUUGCACAGAAACUAUCAAACUCUUGAUUACAAUAUUCAAGGCCAUUGUCUGUCUUUAGUUUUUUAACCAUUUUGUCAGUUUGAUUUUUUACCACAGCUUUCCACUCUCUAAAUUUCCCAAACACCUGAUAUUUAGCUUUCAGCACAUACAGCAAAACUCUCCUAGAGUAGUCAUCUAUCAUGGUCAUAAAGUAUCUAUUCCCUCCCAGAGAUGGAACCUGAGAUGGACCCCAAAGGUCUGAAUGUAUAUAUUGCAAAAUUUCAGUGGUCUUAUGUAUUGAUUUCUUAAAGCUAUUCCUAGUAAAUUUUCCUAGAAUGCACUCUUCACAGAAGAUUAGCUCCCCAAUCUUAUCAUUCUCCAGAACACCUUGUUUUUCAAGUUCUUUCAGACCUUUGAUACUCAUAUGCCCAAGCCUUAAAUGCCAUAGCUUAGUUUUGUCUAUCUCAAUGCUUUCAAUGGCAUUAGAGACCCCUGUUACAGACUCCCCAUCUAAGACAUAAACCUCAUUAUUUCUUGUUCCUUUCAUAAUCAGUGUGGAACCAUUUAGAAUCUUCAACUCCCUUGAUUCAAGUUUAAUGCUACAUCCCAUUUGAUCCAUCAUUCCCAAGGAGAUCAAAUUCUUUUUAAGUUCUAGAAUAUGUCGUCUAACUUCCUUUAUGGACUCAUCAUGUAGCUUAAGGUGGAUUUUACCCAUCCCAAUGACUUUACACACUGAAUUAUUACCCAUCAUUACUCUUCCUCCAUCAAAUUCAUGAUAAUAAGAAAAAUAACUCUUGUAUGGACUCAUAUGAAAAGUGCAACUAGAGUCAAGAAUCCAAUUACCCUUUUACAUAUCCUCAGUAGUAGCACACACACUUGCUGACUCAUAUCUUUCCUCUUCUUCAGCAGUAGCUGCAUAUCUAAUUUUCUCCAUUUUCUUAUUCUUUAAUUCUGGGCAAUCCUUCUUAAAAUGUCCUUCCGUAUGAGAAUGAAAGCAUUUCAAGUCCUUUGGCUUAGUUUUAGUCUUGAUUGCUUUUUAUUCUUAGCUGCAUUUUUAUUCUUAUCAAUUUUCCCAUUUACUGUUAACCCUACUCCACUUUCUAUACUCACAGAUUUUUCUUGCAACCCUCUAGUAUUUAAGGCUGCCUUCACCUCAUCCAAAGACAAUGUCUGCCUCUUAUACAUUAGGGCAUCCAGUACCGUACAUCCGCCUUGGCCGUACAGCAAAGAAAAAUAUUUUUCAAUGUGAUUAAAAAAUUAUUAAUAAAAUUUUUGUACUUUUUAUUAUUUUUAAAUAUUUUUCAUAUAAUAAAUAAGUAUUUUAUAUGCCAAAGACAGAUUAUCAAGCAACCGGCCUAUUUACUUCUUUUUGAAUUUAAAAUUUUUUGUGUGGAGAGAUUUUUUAUUAUUAUAAACUGCUGUACCGUACAUCCGCCUGCAACCCUCUAGUAUUUAAGGCUGCCUUCACCUCAUCCAAAGACAAUGUCUGCCUCUUAUACAUUAGGGCAUCCACAAAAUUGGAGUAUGAUGGUGGGAGUGAACUUACCAAGAGCAGAGCUUUACUUUCAUCAUUGAGGAUUUCAUCAAUAGUCUCCAAGGUGUCACACACUCUGUUGAAUUCUUUAAUAUGAUCAUCAAAAGACGAUCCCCCAACAAUCUUUAGAGUAAACAUCCUUUUCUUGAUAUGAAGUCUGUUAGCUAGAGACUUUGUCAUAAAAAUUGUUUCCAGUUUUGCCCACAAAUCAGCCACUGUUUUCUCAUUGGCAACCUCUCUAAUAACAUAGUCUCCAAGACUCAAGAUUAUUGUGCUUCUUGCCCUUUUAUCUAUAUCAGCAACCUGUUGUGGAGUUAGUGACGAUAAAGUUUCCAUUCCCUCUUUCUUGGUGACUGGUUCUAAAGCAUCUCCUAGUCCUUGAGUUAUCAAUAAAGCCUCCAUUUUAACUUUCCACAUAUUGAAAUCAUUCUUGCCUGUAAACUUCUCUAGAUCAACUUUCAGAUUAGCCAUACUAGAAUCUGAUUAAAGACCCGGCUGUGAUACCAAUUGUAGAAACCGAAGGGCGCUUCUUUACUUGACACCUUAAGUUUCUGCCCAAGAUCUUUAACCCAGACUCCUAGAUGCUUCUAUAGAUGAUUUAAAGAAACUUUAACUAAGAACUCAGAGGAACAAAUCAACAAUGGUUUAAGAAAAUCGCAAACAAAUUAAAGGCUUAAAGAAUCAACAAACAGAAAGAAUAAAGAACAUGAGUGAUUAAUGUGGUUCAGCUAAUUCUCAUUAGCCUACAUCCAUGGAAGAACAAGAUAAUAGGCUUUUAUUGAUUGAUCUUCAAGCUACAGAGAUUUACAGAGUAUAUUUCAUAGAAUUUUCUUCACCUCUCUUCAGAGUUGUAACUCCUUAUAUACUCCUCAGCUCGUCACCAGUUUGUUACACCAGAAUCAGCUACAUGCAGCUGCUUAUAACCACCAGGAUGCUGAUUCCAGAAACUCACAUGAGAAUCACGCUUCAUCAACGACUUUUAACAACAAAAAAGAUGGUCAGGGGUGUCGGAUUUCCCGACGUUAACCCUUCGACACUCAAGUCAGAGAUCUUAUGUGAUUUUCUAUAUUGAAGAGAUUAUAUCUAACUCAAAAAGUCCAACCCUUGUUCUGGAUCUUUUUCCCGCUUUUAUAGGCGAUCACGAGCAUCGGUUAUUGUGGCCAUUAUCUAAUUAAAUGCAUUGAUUGUAUCAUUUAAGUGUGUGGGUUAAUAUGUCCAUUUAUACAGUUAUUGGUCAGCCGUUGUAACGCCUGAUUAUGCCUUAAACACGUCUGGAUGUUACAGACCAAUUCCCGAAAGGGACUCAUUGUCUUAACCUGGGAAAAUCAUGUGACCAGCUCAUGGUCUGCUCUAGUCAUACUGGUCGUGUUUGCUACAUGCGACUAGAUAAGUGUUUUAUACAUGCGACCAGAUAACGAAACUCUCCUCGACUUGGCUAAAUCUUAAUACCCAAACAUAAGUCCCCCCCAGUUUUUAGUGCUUUGAGUGAAAUGAAAUAUAACUAGAAACUAUAUACCUGGUUACGAGUCAGUAGUUUCUUUACUCAAACCUAGUCAGGUUUGCAUUCUCUCGUAUUAAAAGCACGUGAUGUGGCUAAACCCGAUCCAAGCGUUGAAAAAGCGAAGUGGUGGCCCUUGGGUUUAUCAAUACAUCUUAUUAUAUCGAUAUGUCUUUUUGAAUCCUUAUUAACGCCAUCUGAAAUGUUGUUUCCCUUUCUAUAAACUCGAGAUAAACUUUUCAAUUAUUCUUCUCCCUUUCCCUCAUCUGAGACUUCGAAUGAGAGCUUUUCCUUUUACAGUCAGAUUUGCAGUACUUGCCUUCUCAGUUACCAUACUUACAGGUAUUGAACUCAUAACUCUAAUCUCACUUGAUUGCCCCUUAUAUCGCUUUUUGUUUCUUUUUGUUUGGGUUUUUAUUCUAUCCACCAUGAUGCCUAGAAUGAAAAGAACAUCAUUAAACCCUGGUAGUGUGUACGAAUUGAAUGCCCUGCCUGAUCAUCCUAGUGGGUUAGGUUCUAGCCCUCGUAGGUCUGUGGAAGGGAUCGAGUCGUCUAGGAUUAGGGAACUUCCUUGGAGGAUGUCCCUCUGAGAGUGUUGAUGAGAUAGAGACGGAUUCCAAUAUGGAUCCUGGUACUAACAUAGUACCGUUUAUUGAUGAAAGUGAAGUCAGUUAUGAAAGCUCCUCGGAGGAGUCUGAUUUAGAGAAAAUUAAGAUUAGUCAUAAGGCUGGAGCUGAGUCUUAUCCCUUUGAUUUCACGAAUUGUGAGACCACUCAUGAAGAUCUGCAUAGGCUUAGGAUGGAAUACAGCAUUCCAGAUGACAUUGAGCUAAGAAUUCCUGGUAAAGGUGAUAUUCCCAAGAGGGUUUGUGACUUUGUAUUUAUAAUGUUUUAAGCUCGGUGUUAGGCUAUCACUCCAGCCUUACUUUACCAAGAUUUUAGGAAGAUUGCACCUAUCACCUAGUCAACUCAACCCUAACGGAUGGAGAGUCCUUUCUGGCCUAUUUGUUCUAUACUGGAGAUGUAGGAUGAUUGUGCCUUCUUUAAAAGAAAUAAAAUAUUUGUAUCAACUCAGAAGUAGUCCAAAAGACACGGGCUGGUAUUACCUCAUGAGCAGUUCAAAACAAAGGAAACCCAUCAUAGAUCUCCCAACCUCUGGUGCAAAUUGAAAGAAUAAUUUUUUCUUCAUCGGAGGUAACUGUGGUCAAGUAGUCUCUACUUCAAAAGGAGAAAUACAUGUUCCUUCUCGCUUUUGCACCCCUGGUUGCUCGCUUUUCACUGUUCUUCCUUUACUAUGUUUAUUGUUUUUUCUGAUCUUGAUUUUUAUGUUCCAGCUUCUUGGAGUCUGAUCUACAAGAUCAAGGAGAAACCAGAAUUGCAUGUUGAAACAGCACUAGCUAACGCAAGCUCGUAUAGGGACUUACUGUCUAUUAAUAACCUGGUCAAUUCUCAUCUAAUAUAUGGUACUUCUGAAGAUAUGAGCAGCAUUCUCGAGCGGAUGAAAAAAUGUAGUCGAACAGACUACACCCCAAGCAGCUCAAUUGCUCCACUUAAGAGAUCACGGUCUUCUAAAGCUGCUUCUCUUGUCUAAACCCUUCCUCAUCCUUCUCCUGGUGAGCCAGAAGAUAUAGCAGAAAAGUCUUCUGCUUGCGAGCUUCCCGCUCCCUCUAGAACCCGAUAUAAGACUGCUUUGCAAGGUUAGAUGAUUGAACUCCCAAGCUCUUUUAAAAAAGACUUUGACAAGUUUGUGAAGCAGGAGUUUAUUGCUGAGCAGAAUAAUCGUCAUGCACCUAAGUUGUACAACACUAUGCAGCGGUGCAUCUACCAGCUUUCUACCAUCAUUUCCUCUCUACAGGUCUAAAGUUGGCAAUUAUGACAAGAAACUGAAGGUCGAAUGAUAAAGUUGGGAUGGAGAAAGAGCAAUCGACCAAACUUGGUUUAAUGAUCGAGAAGCUCAAGGAUAAAGUUGUUUUGUCUGAAUCUACCUCUUCGCACCUUGAAUGUGAACUUUCAGUCAUGAGGAGUGAGCUGAUCAACUAUAAGAAAGAUCUCGACACUCAAAGGUUUGCUUUCGAGCGUUAACUUGAAGCAGAGAUGCACCGCCUCCAAAGAAAAAUUGAUUCUUUGGAAAAGUGGAGUGUCACUUAGUACAACUCUAGAGUAACAUUCUGUUACGAAUGCAUUAUGCUUGUACUCAAGAAGGAAUAUCCAGAGUUAGACAUGAGGAAACUUGAAGUUGGGAACCUGUUCAAACCUUCACCCUUUCUACUCGCAGAGCCUGUGCUAGCUUCAACCUUACAAUAAAAGCUUCAUAUUUCGCUUGGUUGUUAGUGGCUUUGAAUUCGAAUUUUAUUGCACACGAAACCUCUUCACCUUCUGGGCUGACUAGGAUUACUCUUGCUCAUGCUCCUUGUUCUCCACUAGAACCAUCAACCAUUACCACCCAUGUUUCACUGACUCUCUCCUUGUUCGCUCUGUCAUCACUUUGAAGACCUUAAUUUGCGGAUGUGUUCGCUUGGUCACACGACAAAAUGUUAGGAAUUGAUCCUGCAAUCGCUUGUCAUAGACUGGCGAUAAAGAAAAAAGCUCGACUGGUGAGGCAAAAAAGAAGAUGUAUGACUACUAAGAAGUGGGGUAAUGUUUUCAAAACCUUUACGAUGGAGGCUAGUUAAUGGUUAAAUGAGGAAAACAGGGCCGUAAAAAGAAUUGACUUGAAACCAAUAGCAAAAGUGUAUGUUAAAAUUUUAAAAUCUAGACUGAUGCCCACAACACAAGCCAUCAUUGUAUCUCAAAGAAGAAGAACUAGAAGAGAAAGAAGAGGAACAUAGUAUAGAAGAAGAAUCCGCAGAGGAGCAAGAUGAGGAACCUCAAGUCGCGCCUCCUAAACGAGAAAGAAAGCACAUCAUUAAAGUUGAUGAAGAGGACGACCAAGAUAAUGAGCCCUCAGUUUCAGUAUUUCCAAGCAAAGACAAGGAAAAAUUCAUGAUUGAUGAAGACUCAGAAGAAGAUCAAGAUGAUAUUGAUGCAGAAAUUAAAGCAGUUGCCACCAGAGCUACCAAAACUACUGAGGCAAAGAAAAGUUUACUGUAUAUUAUUGCUGAAAUCAUAUAUGAGGAAACUGCUACAACAACUCUUCCAGCAACCAUUGUUCAGGACUUUCCCAUCAAAUCUCCUAGCCGAACUCCCUGGCCAUCAAGCAAGCGUAAAGGGGCACAACCCUCUAGAGAUGCUGUAGUAGUGCAAGCAUCAGAAGAAUCAGAACCUAAGAAAGCAAAGUCUGAUUAGUCCGCACUUCAAGAAGCUACUGGUACCACACCAACCAGUCCAAACAAGAAGAAAAAGAAAUCAGUUGUUUUCCAUAAAUCUCACCAAGGAAGAGUGCCUGAAGUGGAGCCCAAAAGUAGUAAUUUUGCUCUAUUAGUGCUGUAGCAUAGCCCUCCAACAACGAGGAAGUAUCCUUUGUCAACCUAUUCUUUUUCAAUUUCUAAACUUUUUUAUUUUAUUUUCUUUUUUUGUUUCUAGUUUCUUCUGUAUUGUUUGUAACUUUACUUUCAAAUAUCUAUCUGUAUGUUUUAGUUUAGAAUAUGUGCUUGUGAGGACACAUCACCUCAUAAGUUUGGGGGGGGGGGGGGUUNNNNNNNNNNNNNNNNNNNNNNNNNNNNNNNNNNNNNNNNNNNNNNNNNNNNNNNNNNNNNNNNNNNNNNNNNNNNNNNNNNNNNNNNNNNNNNNNNNNNNNNNNNNNNNNNNNNNNNNNNNNNNNNNNNNNNNNNNNNNNNNNNNNNNNNNNNNNNNNNNNNNNNNNNNNNNNNNNNNNNNNNNNNNNNNNNNNNNNNNNNNNNNNNNNNNNNNNNNNNNNNNNNNNNNNNNNNNNNNNNNNNNNNNNNNNNNNNNNNNNNNNNNNNNNNNNNNNNNNNNNNNNNNNNNNNNNNNNNNNNNNNNNNNNNNNNNNNNNNNNNNNNNNNNNNNNNNNNNNNNNNNNNNNNNNNNNNNNNNNNNNNNNNNNNNNNNNNNNNNNNNNNNNNNNNNNNNNNNNNNNNNNNNNNNNNNNNNNGUUUGGGGGGGGGGGGAGUUAUGUUCUAAGUGUGUUCUAGUUGUGUUAUAAGUAUGUUUCAAGUGUGUUAAAGAGUAUGUAUGUAAUUUAGUUUAUUGUUGAUAUAAGAGUGAAUGUGUGAUGUGUGAAAAAAUUAAAUUUUAAGCUAAAAAAAAUUGAAUGUGUGUGAUUAGGUGUAUAGCUUGGUUAUUCAGUGGUUGUUUUUUAUUAAAGGACACCUAAUAAAGAUGAUCUGAGUGUUAAAUAAUAAGUUACCUUCAAUUAAAGAUAGUUGUGGACAAAGGUUGAGUUUGUCUCAACAUUUCUUUUUGGUUGAAUUUUGUGAGUUUGUUGUGGCAAGACUUAGUUGAAUGAUUAAUAGAAAAUAGUUCAAGUUUGGGUGAAUUUAGAAACUUUUUUAGAAUUUAGCGCAAACUGUGUUGACAUGAAAUAAAUUAUGCUACAAUGGCUCAGUUGCUGAGUAAUCAAGGUUGUGUGUGUACCCCACAUGUAGACUUAAGUAAAAAGACAGCAACACUUGUGAGUAUUGUUGUAACAAAAAUGAUAAAAAAUAAAAAAAAAUUUAAGUCCUCUAUCUAGUAUGUUGAGGAACCAUGUUUGUUCAUGAACCCCAUGUCCAGCCUUGAGUAAGAGGUGUCUGAAGAUAAAGGCCACUGUAACAGCAUCUUGACUGCUACUGUUGCAGCCACUCUAAUUUGUACAUUGAUGAAAUAAUUGGAUGUCAUCAGUAACCUUGAUAGAUAUUCACAUGAAAAAUUUAUGUCACACUAGAGUAAUUAUGCUAAAACGUUUUAUUGUUAUAACACAGUUUGCAGUUUUUAUAACCUAUGUUUCCCCUAUAAAUAAGAAUGUCUUCGAGAUGUAUUAAAUGAUUGAGUAUUGUAGUAACAACUAUGAAAUUUGAUGAGAAUGCACACAAGCACAUAGGAUAUAAUUAAACCUAAGUCUAGCAUUGGAUCUGUUAUUGGUAGUCUUAUAUGAAGAGAAAGAAAUCUGAGGGUUGUGAUAAAUCAAAACAAUCUAGAUGACAUAGCUUAUCUAUUUGUUCAUUGCAUGAUUGUGUGUUUAAGGGUUAGGUCUAUUGAUAUUACUUGAGGUUAAGUAAUGGAUUAAGUUUAGAGGUGUAAUAAAUUUAUGAAAUGAGAGUUAUCAUGGUGCUUUUAUGCUUGAAUCAACAUUACUUAGAGAGUAAAUGAUAUGUUUUUGCUGCAUUUUAGUUACAUUUUGCAUAAGUAGUCAUUUAAGUUUAAUUUCAAUAAAAUUCAUGGGUUUUUAGAUUAUUGUGUGCUUUGAUUAUGUGCAUAAUUGUAGGUGACCAAAAAGCUCAAAUUUCAUGGAUGGAACAAUGCAGCAGCAGUCAUGCAAAGUUACAAAAGAACUUGGAUGCAGUGGAAUUAAAUUAAGUCUGGAAUAUUAAAGAUGCUGGAGCAAUAUGUUGUAGCAUUGUUGCUGCAGUAACGAUUGGAGCAACGAUAAACCAGAUUUCACUCGUUAGAUAGAAGAUUACAAUCUAAAUAAGAGAUUCACUGUCAUACGUUUCUUGUAACCCUAAUUUCGACUUAUAAAAGGAGUACAUUACAACAAAAAAAGGGGUCAUCAUUGGAGAAGAGAAAUUAAGAGACAACAAAAGAAAAAAAAAAAGGAUUAAGAGAGAAUUGGGGCCGCACUUAAGGAAUCUGAGAAGAGCAUCGAGGGGAUUCAUAAGAACACGUGGAUUUUAACUUUAUUUCUUAUUCUCUUGUUUUUAUCUUGUUCUAAUGAGUUGUUUGAUUGCUGAAAAUAUUUUCGUUUUUGUUUUAUCACAAACUAUGAACUUGUGGUUGAGUGAUAAAUAUGAACUUGUGGUUGAGUGAUAAAUAAUUUUGAUGGUUAAUUGACUGAUUAUGUGAGUUGCUUUAUGUUUGCUAUAGCACGUUGAUUUGAUAAUACUUAUUUCAAUUUACGAUUUUGGUUGACCACCCAUUUAGUAAUACUAGAUAAGAAAGAGCUUAAAAAAGGCCUAACUUAGUGGAACAUAUUAAAGCAAUACUUGGUUUUAUAUUUUUGGUUCGGUUGCUACAACACUGGGUAGAAUCCUUAUGCACCCUCAACUGUCGCUUGUUAGAUAUCUUAUAUCUUGAUGCAACUUAACAGCGACCAAUUGCUAUGCCAACAUAAGAUGUAACAUUACACGUUUAGGUUCUAAUUACCCUACAAAGUGAAUCCAUAUGCUUAGUUCAUCAUAAGUUUUAGAUUAAGCAUGAUCUUUUUCGAAUCAAGUUAAACUCAACAUAAGAAACCCAAACAUAGUCAAAACCAUUAAGUGAGUUUAAUCACUCAACUACUUCAUUCUCAUCAAUUAGUCUCUUGUUUUAAAGUUGAAAUUCUUCUUCAUCACAUUUUAUUUAUUGCCUUGUUAAUUUUAGGAAAUCAAUUUUAUCAAUUGUUCUUUUAUAAUUAAGUUAAAAUUGCACUGAUUAGGUUGCUGUAGCAAUUCCUAUAACAUCAAUCCAUGUGGAGACGAUUUUGAAUAUUUAUCAUUAUAUUACUUGUUGUGUAUACUUGUACAUUGACACUCAUAGCGAUAGAAUUCAAACAUCAAUGGCAUAGGAUCAUAUGUCUUAAGCUUGAACUUCAUUGUGAUUUCAAUUUUCGAAGUAUCUAUAUCAAUAACUUGAGCUAUCUUCUCCACCAAUUCGGCGCAUGUUGUCAAUCGUGGUAUUAUUAUCCCUUUAGCCUUAGGACCUUUGAACUUAUACUCAUUUUGUUCAAUCCAUUUACCAUUGAAGAGAAUAGGCACACGUACCAAAAAUCAUAUCUGUUGAUACAAUAAAAACAAUAAUAUCUAAUUUCAUAUAUAAGUAACUACAUGACCUACACAACUUACACAACCUAACGAUUACAUUACUUAUAUAACCUACACGACCUACAUGACUAUAUUACUGACAUAACCUACAAGACUUACACGACUAUAUUACUUACAUGACCUACAUGACUACAUGUCUACAUGACUUACACAAUUGAUUACAUAAUGUACACGAUGUCAAAAGGAAUACACGACGCACAAUAUUUUCACCAUAAAUAAAUUAUAUUGUUAAUAAUUAAACAACUUGCACUGCGUUUAUUUCUACAUAUAAGGAAAAAUUAUGGAUAAUUGAAAAUAAAACAUUAUUAUAUGAGGAAAAUUUCCUUAUUAACAUACCUAAAACUUUCUAAAUUUUCUAAACUUUGAAAAUAAAACUUUCUAAAUUUUCCUAAAAAAUAAAAAACUUAAAACCCAACAAUAUUAACAUACCUUAUUAGGUUGUUUAAUGAGUAAUGCACCUCCUUUCAAUUAAAAAAAAAAAGUGUGGAAGUUAAAGAAGUGAAUACAUAAUUGUAUUUGUGUAAGAAUUUAUAAGAGAUAUUGAGAGAUUUUAGGAGACUUUGAAAGAAUUUUGGUAAUAAGAGAUUGGAGUGAAAGAACUAUGAAAACAAUGAAGUGGAGUGAAUUUGAUGCAUUCAGUAAGGGCAUUUCAGACUUUACACACAUUUGUUAGGGUAUCCAUGAAAAUAAAAAAGAAAAUGAAUAUUUAAAUAAUUUAACAACUAUUAAAGGGUAUUUAAUUAAAAACCCCUUAUUUUUCUAGUAUCCAAGCGGAUUGGAAUAUGGAAUAUCAUUAUAAUAGUAUAAAUUAAAUUUUUUUUUAUUCUAUAUAAAACUCCGUGAGUAUACUCCUAAUGGUAUGCUUAUUUCCACAUUCCAUUUAUUCAUGCACGUCCAUUGGACAGAAAUGAGCACCAUCACGUGUCACAUAACAAAGAUAAUGUAUCAAGUUAGUUUGCAGGAUUGCUGAAAUGUUUAAUAUAUUUUCUGCUAUUGAUUUUUGUGGUUCUAUGAGAGCUUAAUUCAGUGUUAGAAUUUGGCUUAUAAACUUCAUCGAGAGGCAACGGAAUUAAGAAAAGGGAGUGUAUGCAUUAGAUACUAACUAUGUUUAUUUGAUUUGGAGGCAGAACUUUGCUCUGUAUGGAAACGAAAAUCUAAUCAAUAAAUAGAAAUUUGAGAGGUAAAAUAUUAUAAUUUAAAAACUAUAUAGGCCAAAGUUUAAUGAAAUCUCUCCCAUAGUUCAUUUGGCUGCUUGGAAAGUAGGGGUGGGCAAAAUUAGGUUUGGAUCGGGUUCGGAUCAAUCCGAUCGGGUUUCGGGUUGAUCGGGUUGGAUGAAAAUUCAUCCGAACUGAACCUGAACCUAUAACCUGAUCUGAUCCAAUCCGAAUAUAAUUCGUAUCGGAUCGGAUUGGAUCAAAAAAUGGAGUUAAAUUCAUAUCAGAUCGGAUGUGGAUUAGAUGUGGUUCAGGUUACAUUUGAAUCAAUUCAUAUUAUUCAGGUCAAUUCGGAUCAAGUGAAAUUCAACAAUACAUAAUUACCUAUUAUUAACAACCACCAAAUAUCAAUUAAACAUUAAUCUUUCACACAUAAUAUAUAAUAUACAUUUGUAGCAUCACUAUCAAAGGCUCAAAACUUCCAAAACCCAAAGUUAAUAGCCAAAAUUCAGGUUGCCGCUUACCGGGUUCGAACGGGUGUUGCCGGGUUCAAAUGGACCUUGAAUCAGAUUAGGUGAUGGUGGAGGAUUAGAGGCAUGGAGGUGGCCCAGUAGAUCCGGUACUUCGUAGCAGUAGAUCGGCAAAUUGGGUCAUGAUCCUCGCGGAGUAGCUUCGGUUGGUGUCGGAUCUCAGCGGUUGCUGCGUCUGGCAUUGGCUCUCCGCUUUAGUUGGCGUCAGCUUCGGGGGUGUGUGUGUGUGUGUGUGUUUGUGUUUCGUUUAUUUGGAGGAGGCUGGGGGUUGGCUGUCGGCAGUGAGCUGCAAGCAAGGGAGGUUGUGGGUGAGUGAGUGGCUUUGUACGUCGCCUGUCGUCGGCAGUGGGCUGUUGUUGCUGCCGUGCUGCAUGUGCUGUUGUUAAUUUGUUAUUGUGUGUGUUUGUAAUUGUUUGUGUGUGUGUGCCCAACUUGUGUUUGUGUUUGUAUUGUGAAAUGUGAAUAUGUGAUAUGUGAUUUGUGUGUGUGGCGUGCGUGUGUUUAGAUUUAGGUUUUUUUUUUUUAAAUAACCCGAUUGGGUUUCACCAUUUUCAUCCGAUCGGAUUUUCUUUAUAACCCGAUCCGAUCCAAUCCGAACCUAAAAUUUUUCGAAUCAAAUCGGGUCGGAUAUUUUGUCCACCCCUACUGAAAAAGGCAUGGCUGGAUUAACAUACUCUCCUGAUCUAAACUUCUCAAAAUAGAAAUUCCACAAUAAAUUGCGGCAAGCAUUUACUGAGUUGGCUUGAUGUUCUUGAGUUAUAUGGCCAUUGCACCACAAAAUUUGAUAUCUAUGAGAUGGAAAGAGAAAGGGCAGAGAAAAUCAAAACCUUAAAAGUUUUGAAUCAAAUUAAACUUAAUACAGCAAACAUCACAUAUUACACAUCGAAAUCAACAAGAUUAAAAACUACUAUAUAGAACACCAUUUUUUUUUUUUUUUUUGACCAUAUCACAAGUGCACCUGCAAAUUAUUUGACAAUUUGACUGCUAUGAGCGCAUACAAGACAAAAAGAAUCCUAUAUCAUGCACAAGUAGGCAGCAAGCAUUGAAAAUACAGAAACUAGCAGCAAUGGCUUGAGCGGAAACUCAUUAAAGAGAAUGUCAUAAAUGCUAAGCAUAAGAAAAAGGCAGCAGAAUUGAGGGUGAUUAGUAAUUGGAAUAAAUGUGGAUGUUUAUUCACAACCCUGCAGAAGGGAUUUAGGCUUGAAAUCUGCUGGAAACCUUUUUCUGAUCUACAGCCCAUGAUCUUCAAUGCUGCAUGGAACAUUAUUGUUGAUAACAAUGCCAGCAGUAACAGCAGAUGAAAGACAUAGCUUUUAGACUUAUUUUUUAUUUUGAUAUUGAGCCAGGUGUUCUGCAAAUGCAAUGACAGGCGCCCCCAUUUAAAUAUCUUCCUCAUUUGAUCAUAUUUAGCUCCAAAAGCACCCCAUAAACGUUGAGUUGCCUUAAUUUUCAUUUCUGUCUUCCCAGCUUGUGAUAAGUCAUCUGAUAUGUCCAACGCUGUACAGCCACCACCAUCCAUUAAGUUAACCUUGGCAAUGAAGUUAUGAGGCGUAGCAGCCAGGAAAGAUUUUGGAGUCUACAACAUGCACAAAAAGAGGACAGACGCUUGGAAAUAAGAAUUAAUGAAUGAACUUCUAUGCCAGGCCAACAAGAGAAGUCAAGCAUAGUUUUAAAAUGAACAUAAGAAAUAGAGGCAAAGAUCAAAAUGAAUAACAACCUCUUCAAGCAGUACUUGAUGGCUUGAGAUCUCUGUAAAUAUUUUGCUUCUCAGAACUUUGCAUAGCAACCAUGGUUUUAGCAACUCCAAUGACAAUUUCAAGUCUUUUAUCCCAAGAUCCUUCUUUGGUGGAAAAGGAUUCUGCAUAACCAUGCAAUUCAAUGAUUACUAUAAAAAUAUCCAUAGAUAUGCAAUCUUUAUUUUCUUUUGUUUCUAAAUUUCCUUCAGUUCUUCUGAAAAGAUGAUUUUCAAAGCUCUC
rnacentral:lncRNA from 1 species